AAAGAGGGUGAGGAGGAAGAUUAGCCCGAAGCCGGCGACGUUGAGGAGGAGGACGAUCUUGGCUGUGAAAAUCUUGGCCUUCCUGGGGGCGUAGACGAGGUACAUGAUGAUGUAGACGGUCUCGAUGACGCAGCCGGCAGCGUUGAUGGUGAUGAGGAGGCCCUCGCCGGUCUUGACCAGCGCGUAGAAGAUCCACAGCAUCGCGCUGAACAGGGCCACGACGUAGGGCACCGACUGGAACCCCUCAGUGGAUUUGCUCUUGAAGAUCCGGUAGAAUGUUGGUCUAAUAUUUAUUGUUGUGUGUACAUUAGUUAUGAGAGAACUUAUUAAGAUGGUCUAUCAAAUGAAAACUAGAAAUGACAGAGGCACUUUGCUUACAUCGGGGCGAGGAGGCUCGUAAAAGAGAUGAUGUUGCCUGCACGGCACAAAGUUAGAGAAGUUAGCAACCAGUUGUGAUAUUUGCAGGACACAUUUACAUCUUUCUUUUAUGCGCUUUAUCGUAUGCAAAAUAACAUAGGCAGUUCAUUUGUUGUUGCUUCUUGAUGGGUUGUUGGUGCACCGAACUAGAUGUCACUAGUGCUAGUACUAGACUACAUCAAUUAAUCAAUCUGUGGCAAAGAUAAGAUAUAUAGAUAGAUGCUGCAAAAGGAUGAUCUUAAACGACACAAAGUAGUCUACUAAUACUGCACUAGCAAAUAACAGCUGUAAUAAGAGACUAUCAUAAUACAAGGGGUAAUUCUUGGACAUCUUUUUCUCGUGGUGAGAAUAAUAUACCCAGUAGGCCGAAGGCGAAUGCCCAAGGGUGCUCCAUGGAUAGGCCAGCCAUUGUGAUACGAAGAUAUUGAAGGGAAAUAAGACAGAUAUGAAGUUGACAACAAGCCUGCUGGCAAAUUAAUCAACAGUGGGGCUAGAGGUUGUUUUUUGCUCUUCUCUCACUCUCUGCCUCUCUCUAACCCUAGACUCCUGGAGGGGAGAAGGGAGAGGUCUGAAGAGGAGAGCUCACUGUGUUGGUUGGAACUCUUGGCCUGAAUUGUAAGGUUGUUAAUGGGGUGCUUUAUAUAGGCAGGAAGAUUACAUGACUGCCUUGGUGUAUGCAAGCUAUCCUAUCACACAUAUGCCACACAAAAUUAAUGAUUGGCUUUCUAGAAAGAAAAAAGUUUCCAGCAAUGCAUAAUUGAGCUUAUCUAAUGUGCUAUGCUUUUUUCCCCGAAAAAUCUGAUGUGCUAUGCUUGAUAGAGAUAAUGAUAGAAUUUUUCAAAAGUUGUCGCUUUGGUGUACACUUUAGCUUUACUGUGCAUAAUACAUCCGCUCCUGAAUAUUUAUACACCCGGAGUUGUGUUAUACUACGUCAUUCUUCCGGUCUUCCCAACCUUAGAUCUUUGGGGUGUGGUAAUAGCCGCCACGCAACUGUAAACGAAAUGAGACAUUCCAACUGGGAGGACUCUUCACACUAUUAGUUGAUUAUUGAUUUUACGGAAUGAAAUGUCUUACAAGGAACAAAUAAUUAACUUUUGUAUAUAGACAUAGUGUCCAGUAGCUGAAUUAACUUAGCAGCCUUUUCGCAUUAAAAAUCUACAAGCAAAGAGUCAUUAAAUUAAUAUGCUGACAUUCUCAUACUUUUCGGUGAUCCGCGUGUAUGUUUUUCAUGAUUUGAGACUAACUAUCACGACAUGCAGUGGUCAAUUCAUUGCAUGUAAUGAUAUUAAUUAGCAAACUAACAUUAAUUUCUCUUAUUUUCCUCUCCGUCUAGGUCGCGGUGCACAACCUAAUAUGACUUAUAAACCGAGACGGAGGGAGUACAUGGCCUUGCAAAUACAUUCAAAUAGUGUUACUCAUCUUAAACUCAUCCAAACACAGGUACCACAGUCCUGAAAAGAUUAGUUUCAAGGGAAUACAAUCCAAAUGAAUUUACUUUCACCCUCUGCCUGAAUAAGAUAUACACAGUCAAUAGAACCACACACACUAGCAAAUACAAAGUCAUCCCAGACCAAUACAACACAGACCUCCGCGUCGCUCCUAGGAGAGGCGACUUGGGUGGAACCCUAGUGCAGCCUCCACCCCUUCCCCCUACGAUCAAUCUUGCUUAUCCCGCCAUCGUCAAAGAACGCCUCCGGACAAAGUCCAUGAGGCUGAUGCUGGCGGCGGGUCCUCAUCCUCCUCGCAUGAAUGAUGGCGGCAGGGGGCCCAUCGUUUCUCGUGUUGCGGGAUCUCCGGCCGAAGAUCAUGGCAGCCCUGGAUGGCGUGGUUCGUACAGCAGAGAUGGACAUCGAGGCGGUGGCCCCGGAUUUCUACGGUGACCUCGAAUACCAUUGUGGCCGCGAAGGCGACACAGCAACCGGUUCGGGGGGGGGGGGCUCGGUGCAUCUCAACUACUUAUCUCUGCAUGGUGCGGGUGGUGACGGCGGUGCCCGUUCAGAUCUUCGGCCUACCGUAGGAAACCGGUGGAUGGUGUGGUGAUACGAUCUCUAACAUAUCUAUUUUUCGAUUGCUCCAUGCUAUUAUAUUUUUCUAGGGUGCUUUUUAGGCAUUUAUUUGCUGAUUAAUAUUAUUUUAAGCACUAAUCUAUUAAUCCAGUGCCAAAGUUCUAGUUGUUGUUUUCCGCAUGUUCUAGUUGUUGUUUUCCGCAUGUUUUUAGCUUGUCAGAAAUAUUGUACCAAAAGAAGUCCAAAUACCCAGAACUUUUUGAUUGUUUUUUUCUGGACAAAAUAAGGACCUGAAAGCUUUGAAGGAGACCGGAGGCCCCAUGAGGUGGUGCCAAGCCAACAGGGUGCACCCAAGGGGGGUGGUCGCGCACUGAUGGCCUGGGGCCACCUGCCUUGGCCUCUAGCCCUCCUCCGUGUCCUAUAAAUUCACAUUAAUCCCAAAAACUCUAAGUAGCCUCUGGAAACACUUUUUCUGCCAUCACAAGUCUCUGUUCCGCCAUGUGUUCGUCUGGAGCCCUGUCCCGGUGCCUUGUCGUAGGGGGAUCAAUCACAGUGGGCCUUUACAUCAACCUUGAUGCUCCCAUGCUGGUGUGUGUUUAGUUCACCACACACCCGUGGGUCAAUAGUUAGUACCUAGAUGGUUAUCUAUCUCUCUAUGUUCUUCAUUGCCAUGAUCAUCACGACUCAUGUGGUGAUCCAUCUUAUGUAAUCAUUGUUGUGCGGUGCAUUUGUUGGGAUCCGAUGAAUUAUGGGUUUAUGUUUAGAUUAUUCAUGAAUAAUAUUUGAGUCUUUCUUGAAUUCUUAUAUGCAUGAUUGUGAUAGCUUCGCAAUUCUCUCUGAUCUAUUGAUUUGGUUUGGUCAAGUAGAUUGAUCUAUCUUUAGUGGGAGAGGCGCGUUGUAGUGGGUUCAAUCUUGCGGUGCUCAAUCCUAGUGACAGAAAGAGAUAUGACACGUAUUAUAUUCCUUCCACUAAGGGUAAAAACGAUGGGGUUGAUUCAUAUUAAUUGGAUUUACUUUCUCUACAUCAUGUGAUUAUUCUCCAAGCAUUACUCUGUUUUCACUUAAUACUCUAGAUGCAUGUUAGAUAGAGGUGUGAUAAUAGUAGAUACAUGUAGAAGUCGGUCUCCUUUCUUAGAGAUGUGAUGCAUAUAUGUAAUGCUAAUUGCAAUGAAUGAAUACUACAUAACUAUUCGCUUUUCUAUCAGUUGACCAACAAUAAUUUGUUUACCCACCAUAUGUUUUCUACAAGAGAGAAGCCUCUGAAGAAAUCUAUGGCCCCCGGGUCUAUUCACAAAUAUAUUUAUCAAAACACUAAAUACCUUGCUGCCUUUUAUUGUUUGUAUUUAAUUUUUAUAUUUCAUAUAUUUAAACUAUCUAUCUAUCACUACUUAUUACUUGCAAGUAACGAGUCCAAGGGGAUUCACAACCCUCUUGCCCGCGUUGGGUGCAAGUGUGUGCUCUUUUGUGUGUAGACGCUAAAGACAAAAAAUUGCGUGGUCCUCCUGUUGGUUCGAUAACCUUGGUUCUCAUUGAGGGAAAUACUUAUUUAUAUUGUGAUGCAUCAUCCUUUCCUCUUCGGGGAAAACCCCAAUGCAGAUCACAAGUAUGACAUGGUCAUUGGGUCCUUUUUGCUCUAAGAUGAUGGUGUUCUGCCGGUUGCCAACUCUCAUGGAUCUGCCAUUGACGUGUUCCGAAAUGCUCCGCCAAAGAUCUUCAUUCGGUGCUUCACGCAUGUAUAUUGUUGGAUCGAAUGGAAUUCGGUCAUGUGCGCCCUUGUUUCAGCCCGAGUGGCUUCACGAGGGUCUGACGCGAAAGUUCGGUCUAUGUUGACAUUAUGGGAGAUGACGGUUUUUGGAUAUUCAUGUUGAAGCCAUUAGCAUAGAACGUCAUGGCGGAUGAGCUCUGAGGCCUCGUAAUGUAGAUCGAGUCUUCGUGGAGAUGAGUACUUUCCUUGGUGAUUUGUGACUCAUAGCCUUGACAUCCGCAAGUACGGGCGGUAGCACAUGCGGAGUACAAAGUCUUAGCUUUCAGGGUGAAAACUCAAGGCCUGACCUUAAUUGGUUCUGUAUGGCAGAUACCUUGUCGAAGGCAUUGAUUUGAUAUCACGGAUCUUCUCUAGGGUGAAGACCUUAGAUCUAGGAUAGGCUGAUGGGGGUACUUGCACUAGUAGAGAAAUGGCUAGCCAGAAGUUUUGUUGGUGGGGCGCCAUCUCACACCAAUGCAGAACAAGCACCUCAAUACAACGCGUCGAGUUGCCUUUUCGACCCCUCCGUCGCCCAUCAUGCAGGAGACCAAGGGGACACAACCCCUCGUCGUCGGUCCCCCUCCUCCUAUCCCCUCACCCCUACGCCCCCGCCGGUGGUCGGCGCCGGACUAAGCCUGCGCGUGGGCGGCGGCGGAGGAGGAGUCGCCCUCUCACUCAGGGAUUAGGAUGCACGGGAUCCCAGAUCUCGAGGAUGAGGCCCCGAUCGAUCACGACGAUGUUGUUCUAGCCAUGACAGCCUCCAUUUGGAGUGACCCGACCGACCGAUGACCGAGUGGCGUUCGUGGCGACAGACUGGCUCUGCUCUGCCUAGUCUGCGACGAAGGGUCGUGGAUCCGGGGUGGUGGCCCCUAGGUUGGCCUCCUUGUCCGGCAUGAUGGGGCAGGUGGGUUGCCGGGGAUUGGAUCGGGCAGCGGUGAUCCUGCGACGGCUUGGCGCGACGGCGUGAGAUCUGGAGGUUGCCCCUUUCUCCUGUUGCCUCUCUCGUCGUCCCGGUGGUUUGCGGCUGCAGGCUCCGGUGAUGGUGAGCCCUAGUGGUGUACCUUGGGUCCUGGGGAAACCUUGACCGGUCUGGCCAGCCCGGCAGUGGCGUCGCCCAUGGGUGUCACUUUCCUUCAUGAAGUUCAUUCUGCAUCCGAUAUAUCUAAUUUGAAGAAGGGGGUCAAUACAUAUAUAUGAAUAAAUGAAACUGAACACAAAUGAUGGUAAUAAAAUAAAAUUGUGAAUAUUAUUAUUUGCGCACGUCAUAUUGUUUGUCAGAGUAGCCCCGCUCACAGGUCACGUGGCAGAUGGACUCGCAAAUGUAGUAUCCACAGUAAUCAUUCCCUGGUUACUGCCACAACCACUUUACAAGAAAUAGAGGUCAAUCAAACUGAUAGUUAGCAAGCAUGCUAAAUGGUAUUGAUGAAACUAGCGCUUGAAUCACUAGGAGAUGCGUGGAACAUGCUACUAUAGUACUUACUUUCGGGUGUCUAAAUUGCAGCUUCUUCGGCAGUCCCGGAGUUUUUGCGGUGAAUUUUUUCCAAACCCUGUCAGACAAGAAAACAAUUACUUGAUAUCAGGAAAUGAACAAAGUUGCCGAUAUGGUGCGAUAAUGAUCGAUUUAACUUACUUCUCUAGAAUUCCAGUCAUGUCCGCAUACUCGUUGGGAUCCUUUCGUCUUGAGUCUAAGACGGUUACUAGUCCGUGCUCAAUCUUAAUCUCUAGGAGAAUAUAGUGGAAGCUGCGCACGCAUGCAUAACUCAUCAAUUACAUUACUAUAACCUUGACUAAUAAGGGAAACCGAAUAUGCACAAGACAGUAACACUCACUGGAAUUUGUAAGGAAAGAGUAUUAUAGCUUUGUUUUGAUUCAAUACAAACGAUUGUAGCAGGUUGGCCUCGGUAUCUUUGGCCUGAGAUUUAAUCAUAAAUGCAUCUACGAGAUUUGUGUUAAUGAACCCAAUAUCACCGAUUUGUCUUUUCUUCAAUUCGACGAUCUUCAAUCUGCAUAUAAUAUAGUGAGGAUAAUUAAAAAUACAUGCAACGAAAAAGCUGACCUAUAUAUAGAGACUUAAUGACAGAAGUAGUACUACUUACAGGCAGUAGCAAGUGAUCAUUAAUUUAUCGAGGGCCUUUAGAUUGAAAAACGGAAAGAACUCCUCAAAUGGAACCAUCAACAGUUCAAGUCCAACGAGGUCAUGCUCCUUUCUAACUCCGAGCAGCAAAAUAUUACUCCACCCGGACUCUUUGCAAGUUUUCAUGUACCAAUCAUGGAAUCUUCGCAUCAUCGUUGUUAGAGAUCUUUCAUCUUUGACGAGAGGCUUCCCGUACACGUAUUUGUGUCCGUCCACCUCCAAUCAAUCAAAAUGUGCAUCAUCGGGCAUGUAAUCUGCGGGAUUGGUACCGGGAAACAAGAUCCUCGGAUGAUUAGCGACGAUAUCGCUAGACACCUUGAGCGGGGGGAACGAUUGGUUCGCUUGUUCGCCGAGCUGGGCAACUUUUUUCCCAGCUCCUCGUUCUGCUAACCUUUGAUCACUGACAGUACUUCCUGACCGCAGCGCUUCGAUAAAUGACUUUGUAAUAAUGCGCUCAUAGUUGCCUUUCGUCGGAGACUUUGGUGGUUUCUUCAGGGCAGCCAGAGUACGCUUUGCUUUUACCAGAUCUAUCUUCUCCUCCGGAGGUGGAUGUUUUUUUGCUUUCACCCCUUCAAAGAAGUUCUUCACUUCGGCUUCCACGAUCUUCGUGAUUUCCUCCUGGCUCCUCUCGUAUGGUAACUUCUCUGGAGUCUUCAGAGAAGGACCGUAUCUGUAUUGCCUGCCUUUGGCUGUAGUGCUAGACGCCGGAGCAGACGGAGCGGCUGCGGCUGUCUUUCCUUUCUUACGAGGCGAAGCAGAAGGACGACGCGCCGGAGGAGCCGGUGCGGCGGCGGGUCUCUUCCGCCCUUGUUGACGAGGCGGAGAAUGGGGAGGCAGCUGGCUGCUCGGGCGCGCCAGCGCAGGCGAAGAAGGAGGCGAAGUGUCGCCACGCGCUGGAGAAGGAGGCUGAGUGCCCUGAUCACUCGCCGGAGGAGGCGGAGUGCCCUAGCUCGCCGGAGGAGGAGGAGGAGGCGGAGGCGUCCAGUUCGGAAGGUUGAUGAGUUCCUUCCGCCAUAGGCAUGGAGUCUUCAGAGAAGAACCCAGCCGAAUCUCCCCUUCACCCGUAGGAUGGUCAAGCUCAAGGUCCUCAAAUCCGUCUGUUAUUUGAUCCACCAUCACCCUAGCAUAUCCUUCUGGAAUGGGCUGGCCGUGGUAGGUUGAGUCAGGUUCAUUAGGUAAAACAGAGCCAACAGCCGCCUUGACUUUAAAUGUCAUCCAUCGCGUCAUAAGGUGGCAAUGUUGAGACUCUAUGAUAGCAUCCACGGGGUAGCCCGUGAAGACAGGCUCCAACUGCUGAGUUUUCUCGGUGGAAGCCAGGCUUCUUCUCCGCUGAGAUGGCGGGGUAGCUUCAGGGGAAGCUUCGGCAUGUCGUUUGCUGCGAUCUGCUUCUCGUUCCUCUAGCCCUUGUACCCUUUCGUGCAGCACCUGCAGUUGGCUAUGCUCCACUUUCUUCCUCCUCUCCUGGGUUUUGUAACCCCCUGCGUCCGGAAACCCAGCGUUCCAUGGAAGGGAGCCUGGCGUGCCUCCUGUCCAUCCAGGGUGCUCAGGAUUCCCAAGGGCCAUUGUGAGCUCGUCCUUCUCUCUGUCUGGAACGAACGUCCCUUCCUGUGCUGCGGCGAUAUAGUGUCGAAGCUUCGUGACGGGUAUUCACAGUUGCUCUUCCGUCCAAACGCACUUCCCUGAUACAGGGUCCAAGGUUCCGCCAACCCCGAAGAACCAAGUCCGGCAACGUUCUGGCCAUCUCAAUGUCUCUGGUUCGACCCCUUUAGCAAUCAGGUCAUUCUCAGCCUUCUCCCACAAAGGUCGGGCUCUGAGGUAACCACCUGACCCCGUGCGAUGGUGAUGCUUCUUCUUCGUAGCAUUUUUCUUGUUUGUCGCUGACAUCUUCUUACUCUUUUCCGAUGUCUUGUGGGCCACAAAUGCAGGCCAUUGAUCUCUGAUCUUCUCAAACCGGCCGGUGAAUUCUGGUGUCUCUUCUUUGUCGACAAACGUUUUCAGCUCAUUCUUCCACCUCCUGAAUAGUUCUGCCAUCUUCUUAAGAGCACGAGACUUGAUCAAUUGCUCUAUAACUGGCUUCUCCGGAUCCUCCUCUGGCGGUAGGGUGAAAUUUGCCUUAAGCGUUGUCCAAAGAUCUUCUUUCUGCAUAUCGGAGACAUAAGACGUCGGCACCUCAGGGUCUUCCUUCUUUGGCUUUAACCAUUGCUGGAUACUGAUCGGUAUCUUGUCCCUAACAAGAACCCCGCACUGAGCACGAAAUGCAACCCUUGUCCGGAUGGGUUCAAUCGGCUUGCCAUCGGGCGCGAUUGCUGUGAUCUCAAACCUUUCAUCCGAGCGCAAAUUUUUCUUUGGGCCUCGUUUCUUUACCGAAGUUGAGCUCGAUCCGAAGGGCUAGAGAAAUAAGAAGAAAGACGAGAGUUAAUUAAUAUGUGUACAUAUGAAAACAAUGAAUGCAUCAGUUAACUAGUCAGCACGGGCUUAACUAAUAUAUAUAUACCUGGCCGAACUCGGUUCGGUCACCGGAGCCGUCAUCACGGUCUCCUUCUUGUACCUCGAUUGGGUCACCAGAGCCAUCAUGAACAUAGCCCUCUUCUUGUAUCGGCACUAAUGGGUCACCGGAGCCAUCAUUAACAUAGCCCUCUUCUUCACUCGGUCCUUCCUGACCAUCGGUGUCGUAGAGAAACGACACAAUGACAUCAGUUCCUUGUGCGAUUAUCUCCCCCAACAUCGCUUUUGAUGCUUUGUCUCGGGAGGGAUCCAUAGUUUCUGCAAAUAUUUACAACAUGUCAAUUAUUAUUCAAACAUGGUACAGAUGGAUAUAUAUUAUUGGCAAACGUAGAACUAGCUAGCUAAUCACAAUAAGGAAUCAUGUUAGUGGCCUCGACGUUGCUUCUCUAGGGUUUGGGGUGGCCUAGACAACGCUUCAAGGGUUUGGGGUGGCCUCGACACAACGCUUCAAGGGUUUGGGGUGGCCUCGACGACAACGCUCUUUUAACUUGGUAAAUUUGGGUGGCCUCGAGAGAGUUUGUCGGGUAGGGGCGAGGCGGGAGGGGGUAGGAGACCAACAUCGUUUUUUCUCUAGGGUUUGGGUGUCCUCGAGAGUUUUGGUCGAGCGAGAGAGCCGAGGGGGGUGCUCCCGUGGUAUAAGUUAUCACGGUCGAGAGUGGGUAUAUAUAUCGAUCGCCCCUUAUGUCGAAGUUAUCCGGGAGGGGGUUAUAUCGACAACGACGCGACAUACAUAUACAUGGGAAAAUAAUGUUAUCGGGGAAGGGGUAUAUCGGUACCCCCCCCCUCGAGUUGAAGUUCGAUCGGGAGGGGGUAUAUCGACAACGACAUACCAGAUAAAAAAUAAGAAGACAAAAGAAGAAAUAAAAAGAGGAGAAGAAGAAAGGAAUAGAAGAGAAGCAAUCGAAGAAAAAAAGAAGAAAAAAAAGAGAAGAAGAAAGGAAUAGAGGAGUAAGAAGAAAAAAAAAUAGAAAAUUAAUUUUCUAUUUUUUUUCUUCUUACUCCUCUAUUCCUUUCUUCUUCUCCUCUUCUUUUUCUUCUUUUUUCCUCUUCUUAUUUAUUUCUCCUCUUCUUCCUCUCCUCUUCUUCUCCUUUCUUCCUCUUCUUAUUUUCCUUUUUCUCCUCUCAUUCUUUUUCUUCUUCUUCGUUAUCUUCCUAGCUAUAUAUAAUACUUUUCUAAAAAUGUAACUUUUGCAUAUAUAAAUCUUUUUCUUCUUCUUACUUCUUCCUUCUUUUCCUAAAUAUAUAAAACUUUUCUAAAAAUGAAACUAACCUAAAAUGUAGUAAAUUAGAGAACAUAUAUAGAUAAAACUAACCUAAAAUGUACCCAAAUGUGCUAAAAAUCUAACUUUCAUAUGCACAGAAAACAUACAUACAUAUAUACAUUUUUAUAAAAAUGCAAAAACAAAUCAUCAUUUAUAUGAACAAAGGAGAGGACAGGGUGGGCGGCGCCGGCCUGACCAAGGAGAGGCACGGCGCCGGCGUCGGUGUAGAGGGCGGCGACGGCCGCAUGGUCGGGGCAGGGGCGAUGGCGAUCGACGGGGCAAAGGGAGGUGACGGCGUCGACGGGGCGGGUAGGGGCGCGGUAGAGGCACGGCGAGGGCGCGCGGCGUGGUCGGGGGGCAGGGGCGACGACGGCGUGGUCGGGCCGGGCAACGGCGGCGUGGUCGGGGCAGGGGCGACGACGGCGAGCUCGGGCAGCCUGGCGGCGUCGUCGGAGGAAUCGAAGAAACCGACGAAAUUUUCACAAAUGCUGGCUUAUAUAGCAAAGCCAUUGGUACCGGUUCGUGGCACCAACCGGUACCAAUGCCUCCUUUAGUCCUGGUUCGUGCCACAAACCGGGACCAAAGUCCGCCGCUUCCCGCCCGUUGGGCUGGUGAAAAGUGACCUUUGGUCCCGGUUGGUGGCACCAACCGGGACUAAAGGUCACUUUUCAGCAACCCAAAGGGCGGGAAGCGGUGGCCUUUGGUCCCGGUUGGUGCCACGAACCAGUACCAAUGCACCCCCUUUAGUCCCGGUUGGUUCCACAAACCGGGACCAAAUUCUGCCCGCGUCACGGCCAAAGUUUAGUCACACCUCGCUAGUUGAGAGGGGCGCGCAGUGGUUUAUAAGCCCCACUGCCGCACCCCUCUCGAGCUCCUCUCCACUGCAGGCUUACGGGCCUACUUGCUACUUCUUUGCCUGAUGGGCCUUCUGGGCCUACUAUGGGCCUGAAUCCUGGCCCAUGGAUGGGUUUAUAGUCGUAUUCACGCCGUGGUGGCCCAGUUGGUGGCAAAUGUUUUAUUUUUUCCCAGUUUUUUUUGUUUUCUUUUUUUUUAUUUUUUUUUUUUUNNNNNNNNNNNNNNNNNNNNNNNNNNNNNNNNNNNNNNNNNNNNNNNNNNNNNNNNNNNNNNNNNNNNNNNNNNNNNNNNNNNNNNNNNNNNNNNNNNNNNNNNNNNNNNNNNNNNNNNNNNNNNNNNNNNNNNNNNNNNNNNNNNNNNNNNNNNNNNNNNNNNNNNNNNNNNNNNNNNNNNNNNNNNNNNNNNNNNNNNNNNNNNNNNNNNNNNNNNNNNNNNNNNNNNNNNNNNNNNNNNNNNNNNNNNNNNNNNNNNNNNNNNNNNNNNNNNNNNNNNNNNNNNNNNNNNNNNNNNNNNNNNNNNNNNNNNNNNNNNNNNNNNNNNNNNNNNNNNNNNNNNNNNNNNNNNNNNNNNNNNNNNNNNNNNNNNNNNNNNNNNNNNNNNNNNNNNNNNNNNNNNNNNNNNNNNNNNNNNNNNNNNNNNNNNNNNNNNNNNNNNNNNNNNNNNNNNNNNNNNNNNNNNNNNNNNNNNNNNNNNNNNNNNNNNNNNNNNNNNNNNNNNNNNNNNNNNNNNNNNNNNNNNNNNNNNNNNNNNNNNNNNNNNNNNNNNNNNNNNNNNNNNNNNNNNNNNNNNNNNNNNNNNNNNNNNNNNNNNNNNNNNNNNNNNNNNNNNNNNNNNNNNNNNNNNNNNNNNNNNNNNNNNNNNNNNNNNNNNNNNNNNNNNNNNNNNNNNNNNNNNNNNNNNNNNNNNNNNNNNNNNNNNNNNNNNNNNNNNNNNNNNNNNNNNNNNNNNNNNNNNNNNNNNNNNNNNNNNNNNNNNNNNNNNNNNNNNNNNNNNNNNNNNNNNNNNNNNNNNNNNNNNNNNNNNNNNNNNNNNNNNNNNNNNNNNNNNNNNNNNNNNNNNNNNNNNNNNNNNNNNNNNNNNNNNNNNNNNNNNNNNNNNNNNNNNNNNNNNNNNNNNNNNNNNNNNNNNNNNNNNNNNNNNNNNNNNNNNNNNNNNNNNNNNNNNNNNNNNNNNNNNNNNNNNNNNNNNNNNNNNNNNNNNNNNNNNNNNNNNNNNNNNNNNNNNNNNNNNNNNNNNNNNNNNNNNNNNNNNNNNNNNNNNNNNNNNNNNNNNNNNNNNNNNNNNNNNNNNNNNNNNNNNNNNNNNNNNNNNNNNNNNNNNNNNNNNNNNNNNNNNNNNNNNNNNNNNNNNNNNNNNNNNNNNNNNNNNNNNNNNNNNNNNNNNNNNNNNNNNNNNNNNNNNNNNNNNNNNNNNNNNNNNNNNNNNNNNNNNNNNNNNNNNNNNNNNNNNNNNNNNNNNNNNNNNNNNNNNNNNNNNNNNNNNNNNNNNNNNNNNNNNNNNNNNNNNNNNNNNNNNNNNNNNNNNNNNNNNNNNNNNNNNNNNNNNNNNNNNNNNNNNNNNNNNNNNNNNNNNNNNNNNNNNNNNNNNNNNNNNNNNNNNNNNNNNNNNNNNNNNNNNNNNNNNNNNNNNNNNNNNNNNNNNNNNNNNNNNNNNNNNNNNNNNNNNNNNNNNNNNNNNNNNNNNNNNNNNNNNNNNNNNNNNNNNNNNNNNNNNNNNNNNNNNNNNNNNNNNNNNNNNNNNNNNNNNNNNNNNNNNNNNNNNNNNNNNNNNNNNNNNNNNNNNNNNNNNNNNNNNNNNNNNNNNNNNNNNNNNNNNNNNNNNNNNNNNNNNNNNNNNNNNNNNNNNNNNNNNNNNNNNNNNNNNNNNNNNNNNNNNNNNNNNNNNNNNNNNNNNNNNNNNNNNNNNNNNNNNNNNNNNNNNNNNNNNNNNNNNNNAACUAGAUGCACUUCGUAUACAAAACGGACAAUCUCCUUCGAAGUAUAAGGGUUUCAUACGGAAACUCGUGUGUUACAAAGGGAUUUCAAUUUUUUUAACUUAUUUGAACCCCCUUGUUUUUCUGUGUUCAAAAUGUACCAUUCAAAGCCACAUCAUCAAUUUACAACCCUUUCUGACUUCAUUUGUUAUUUUUCAUGCAUUUACUGAUUAUUUUCACCUAUAAGACCAUGAAAUUGAAAAGCAUUUGAAAUGAACUCUCGAAAGGUUCCAAGUUGGCAUGGUAUCAUCAUUUCACCCACAUAGCAUGUGCAAGAAAGUAGAGAGGCUUGCAUCAAAAACUGGAUGCACUUCGUGUACAAAACGGACAAUCUCCUUCGAAGUAUCAGGGUUUAAUACAGAAACUCGUCUGUUACAAAGGGAUUUCAAUUUUUUUUAACUUAUUUGAACCCCCUUGUUUUUCUGUGUUCAAAAUGCAUAAUUAAAAGCCACAUCAUCAAUUUACAACCCUUUCUGACUUCAUUUGUUAUUUUUCAUGCAUUUACUGAUUAUUUCCAGCUAUAAGACCAUGAAAUUGAAAAGCAUUGAAAUGAACUCUGAAAAGGUUCCAAGUUGGCAUGGUAUCAUCAUUUCACCCACAUAGCAUGUGCAAGAAAGUAGAGAGGCUUACGGCAAAAACUAGAUGCACUUCGUAUACAAAACGGACAAUCUCCUUCGAAGUAUAAGGGUUUCAUACGGAAACUCGUGUGUUACAAAGGGAUUUCAAUUUUUUUAACUUAUUUGAACCCCCUUGUUUUUCUGUGUUCAAAAUGUACCAUUCAAAGCCACAUCAUCAAUUUACAACCCUUUCUGACUUCAUUUGUUAUUUUUCAUGCAUUUACUGAUUAUUUUCACCUAUAAGACCAUGAAAUUGAAAAGCAUUUGAAAUGAACUCUCGAAAGGUUCCAAGUUGGCAUGGUAUCAUCAUUUCACCCACAUAGCAUGUGCAAGAAAGUAGAGAGGCUUGCAUCAAAAACUGGAUGCACUUCGUGUACAAAACGGACAAUCUCCUUCGAAGUAUCAGGGUUUAAUACAGAAACUCGUCUGUUACAAAGGGAUUUCAAUUUUUUUUAACUUAUUUGAACCCCCUUGUUUUUCUGUGUUCAAAAUGCAUAAUUAAAAGCCACAUCAUCAAUUUACAACCCUUUCUGACUUCAUUUGUUAUUUUUCAUGCAUUUACUGNNNNNNGUAUCACGGUUUCAUACGGAAACUCGUCUUUUACAAAGGGAUUUCAUUUUUUUGAACUUAUUUUAACCCCCUUGAUUUUCUGUGUUCAAAAUGCACCAUUCAAAGCCACAUCAUCAAUUUACAACUCUUUCUGACUUCAUUUGUUAUUUUUAUGCAUUUAUUGAUUAUUUUCAGCUAUAAGACCAUGAAUUUGUAAAGCAUUUGAAAUGAACUCUGAAAAGGUUCCAAGUUGGCAUGGUAUCAUCAUUUCACCCANUAGAUGCACUUCGUGUACAAAACGGACAAUCUCCUUCGAAGUAUCACAGUUUCAUACGGAAACUCGUCUGUUACAAAGGGAUUCCAAUUUUUUUGAACUUAUUUGAACCCCCUUGUUUUUUUGUGUUCAAAAUGCACCAUUCAAAGCCACAUCAUCAAUUUACAACCCUUUCUGACUUCAUUUGUUAUUUUUCAUGCAUUUACUGAUUAUUUUCAGCUAUAAGACCAUGAAAUUGUAANNNNNNNNNNNNNNNNNNNNNNNNNNNNNNNNNNNNNNNNNNNNNNNNNNNNNNNNNNNNNNNNNNNNNNNNNNNNNNNNNNNNNNNNNNNNNNNNNNNNNNNNNNNNNNNNNNNNNNNNNNNNNNNNNNNNNNNNNNNNNNNNNNNNNNNNNNNNNNNNNNNNNNNNNNNNNNNNNNNNNNNNNNNNNNNNNNNNNNNNNNNNNNNNNNUCAUUUCACCCACAUAGCAUGUGCAAGAAAGUAGAGAGGCUUACGGCAAAAACUGGAUGCAUGUCGUGUACAAAACGGACAAUCUCCUUCGAAGUAUCACGGUUUCAUACGGAAACUCAUCUGUUACAAAGUGAUUUCAAUUUUUUGAACUUAUUUGAACCCCCUUGUUUUUCUGUGUUCAAAAUGCACCAUUCAAAGCCACAUCAUCAAUUUACAACCCUUUUUGACUUCAUUUGUUAUUUUUCAUGCAUUUACUGAUUAUUUUCAGCUAUAAGACCAUGAAAUUGUAAAGCAUUUGAAAUAAACUGUGAAAAGGUUCCAAGUUGGCAUCGUAUUAUCAUUUCACCCACAUAGCAUGUGCAAGAAAGUAGAGAGGCUUACGACAAAAAAUAGAUGCACUUCGUGUACAAAAUGGACAAUCUCCUUCGAAGUAUCAGUGUUUCAUACGGAAACUCGUCUGUUACAAAGGGAUUUCAAUUUUUUUGAACUUAUUUGAACCCCCUUGUUUUUCUGUGUUCAAAAUGCACCAUUCAUAGUUGUAAGACCAUGAAGUUGAAAAGCAUUUGAAAUGAACUCUGAAACCAAAGUACAUACAUAGUUCUCGAGAGCAUUAAAACCAAAGUACAUACAUAGUUCUCAUUGAACAACAUAUAGCUCUCUAGAGCAUCUAAUUAAACCAUACAUUGAGAUUAUGUAAAAAAUUUCAAUGCAAAAACAAAUGCGAUCAUAACCGCUACCAAGGUAACAACUGAUCCAACUGCAUAAUGAUACCAAGCCUCGGUAGGAAUGGCAUAUUUUCUAAUCUUUUUAAUCUUCAACCGCAUUGCAUCCAUCUUGAUCUUGUGAUCAUCGACGACAUCCGCAACAUGCAAGUCCAAUAUCAUCUUCUCCUCCUCAAUUUUUCUUACUUUUUCCUACAAGUAAUUGUUUUCUUCUUCAACUAAAUUUAACCUCUCGACAGUAGGGUCGGUUGGAAUUUCCGGUUCAACAACCUCCUAGAUAAAUAAAAUCUAUGUCACAUUGGUCGGCAUAAUUGUCAUAAACAAUAAAUGAACCAAAUAGUUAUGAAAAGAUAAUAUAUACCACAUGUGAAUCAUAGACAGGACGAGGGCCGACGGGGGCGGAUACCAAAACCAUCGCACUAUAUAAUAACAAGGAAUAAUAAAAGUAAGAAAAUUAGACAAGUAUCUAUCUGAAGUCAGAAUUUUUUUCUUUCAGAAAGAAGAUAAGAACAAGAGGCUCACCAUGGUGGUGCUGGCGACGAGAUCGGCGCGGGCAAUCGACGGCGAUGAAGACGGGGCGUGACGGACCGCUAAAUCUAGACAAAUCUCGUUGAAAAUGGAGCUCGGAGGUCGAGUUUCGAGAGGAGAAAGCUUAACUAGUGUGGCUCGGGCAUUUCAUCGAACACCUCAUGUGCAUAGGAGGUGAACUAGAGCACCCAAAUGCCCUCCCCUCGCCGGCUUGACAAAAACAGAGCACUGUGGAGUGCUCUGCCGUGGCGGUGGGUAUAUGUAGGCAAGUUAUUUGUCCCGGUUCAAGCCACGAACCGGGACCAAUGGUUGUGGGCCAGCAGCGAGGACCAUUGGCCCCGGUUCGUGGCUCGAACCGGGACAAAUGGUUACACAUGAACCGGGACCAAUGCCCACGAGGCCCCCGCCGGCCCCCUGGGCUCACGAACCGGGUCUAAUACCCCCCAUUGGUCCCAGUUCUUGAAGAACCGGGACUAAUGGGCUGGCCAGGGCUGAAACGAUAGCCCUGUUUUCUACUAGUGGAAGAACCUAAUGAUAUUUCUGCGUCUGAUGCAGAAACACAAUCUGGUGAUGAACAUGAACCUGGUGACAAUAUGGAUAGUGAUGUUCAUAAUAAUGCUCAACCUAGCAAUGAUGAGGAUGUGGAGAUUGAACCGGCGGUUAAUCCUGAUAACCCACAACCUAAGAAGUACCAUAAGAAUGACUUCACUGCUAGGAAGCAUGGUAAUGAAAGGGAGCCAUGGGUUCAGAGACCUAUGCCCUUUCCUGCUAAGCCAUCCAAGAAAAAGGAUGAUGAGGAUUUUGAGCGCUUCGUUGAGAUGAUAAGACCCGUCUUUCUGCAGAUGCGGUUAACUGAUAUGCUCAAGAUGUCUCCGUAUGCCAAGUACAUGAAAGAUAUUGUGACUAAUAAACGGAAGAUACCAGAUCUUGAGAUCUCCACCAUGCUUGCCAAUUACACUUUCAAAGGUGGAACUCCUAAGAAACUUGGUGAUCUCAGAGUGCCCACUAUACCUUGCUCCAUUAAAGGGAACUACGUAAGAACUGCCUUAUGUGACCUUGUAGCCGGUGUUAGUGUUAUGCCGCUCUCUCUUUAUCGUAGACUUGAAUUGGAUAAGUUGACACCCACUGAAAUUUCUCUGCAAAUGGCUGACAAAUCAACUACUUUCCCUAUCGGCAUUUGCGAGGAUGUGCCUGUUGUGGUUGCUAACACCACUAUCUUAACAGACUUUGUUAUCUUGGAUAUUCCCAAGGACGAUGCCAUGGUUGUCAUCCUCGGAAGACCCUUUUUAAACACCGCAGGGGCUGUUAUAGAUUGAAACAAAGGCAAUGUCACUUUCCAUGUCAACGGUAACGAGCACACAGUGCACUUUCCGAAGAAACGAUAUCCAGUACAUUGCAUCAAUGCUAUCGAAAAGACUUCAUCGAUUCUCAUUGGGAGCUUUGAAUGCCCUAUUCCUCGUGUCAAGAUGAAGUAUGAUUUGCUUGUUGGGGAGUUACAUAUCCCCAUUGAGGUGACUUAGUGGCUAUCAGAAAAUUCUCCGUUCUCUCUUGCGAUUCGAGAAGGUUUUGUCAUAAGGACUUGAUCAAUCCCAUUGACGGAUUUCUUUCGAUGACCAUGAAACGGAUGAAUCAAAGAGUCACAUACCUCUGUUUUGAGCUUUCAUUUUAUUUUGCUUAGAAUAAAAAUGAUAGAAUUAGUUUAGUUUUUCCUGUUUUCUGUUUUAGCGUCCGGGAGAAAAAUACCUCGAAAAUAAAAGUUCUUCGAUGGUCCUGAAAAUUUGUAUGAUUUUUUCUGGAAUUUUUGAAAAAUUAUGGGCCUGAGAGCUUGCCUUGGGGCCUGACCAGUGGGCCACAAGCCCUCCCACUGCCACCUACCCCCCUGGUGGUGGGGUGCAAGCUUGUGGGGCCCACAGGCACCCCCUCCACUCAUUCCAGCUCUCAGCCUCUUCUUCCACCUCCAGAAAAAAUUGUUUCGCAGCUCAAACCCAUCUUCUUGAUCAUUUGGCUGUGAUUUUCGAUCUCCUUGCUCAAGCACCAUUCUCCGAACCGUUUGGGAAAAUUACUCCUUGGUAAGUGACUCCUCAUUGGUCCAAUUAGUUUUUGCUCUAGUGCUUUAUCCUUCGCGUAUUCUUGCUACCUUGGUGACCAUGUUCUUGAGCUUGAAAAGUUGAUUUUAGCUGGUCCCAAGUAGUUUUAGCGCGUGAUACGGUCUCUAGGCACUAGUAGGAGUAGUUGCUACAAGUUGGGUUAAUCUUUAUUCGCUUUUCUUUCGAACUCUCUAAAAAUUUCAGAAAUAAAGGAAAAGACGAGGAGGUUCUUGAGAGGCUCUUCAAGCUGUAACCCCAAGGAGGAUGAGAAGAACCACCCCAAGUACGUAGUCCCUCGAGUCACAGAAGUUCGAGCGUGCGAGUGGCCAAGUGAUGAAUUUUUGCGCGCCGCCGGAUUUUAUGAAGACUUUUAUUACUUGGUGGAGAACGCAGGUCUUACUGCGUUCGUUGAAGAUAAGUUCCCACAAUACCUCCUCCUCACCAAUAUUUUCGUUCAAAGCUUCAACUUUUAUCCGAGGAAGAAUCCUCCCAUGGUUGAGUUCAUGAUAUACGAUGUUCCCCAGUGCAUGACACUACAGGAUUUUUGCAAUGUAUGCAAAUUACCUUAUGUUGGGGAUAUCCGUGAUCCUCGUCCACGGGACUUGGAGGAUUUCAUUAGUUCUAUUGCUGUUGGAGAGGAGAGAGGAGUGUCUUGUGCUAGAAUUGCUAGCAUACAUUUUCCUGUGCUCCGGUACUUCUCACUAUUUGUAGGAAAAUGUUUGAUUGGCUGUGGGGAGGCUGGAUCACUUAGUUCUCCAGACCAUGCAGUUUUGCGCGAAGGCCUUUAUAACGAUAAGACUUACAACCUAGGUGUUAUAGUGGCUCAGCGGUUGAACAUCAACCGUUCCAAGGGUGUCGUCUAUGGAGGUAUCUAUGCUACCCGUCUUGCCAGACACUUUGAGAUACCCAUUAGACUGGGAGAGGAAGGAGAGAUGCUUCUCCCUGAGAAAUAUCUGGAUUAUGACAGCAUGGUUUGCCAUGAUUUUCUGGAUAGAGAUGCUAGUAGACGGAUGAUUUAUAACCUGGUAUUUAGUCAGGGUACUCGAGAGACUAUUACUUUGCCUGCUCCUUCUUUGUUUGAUCUUCAUGCAGGAAGGUACACUAUUAUGCCCGUGGACAUCUACGCAUAUUGGGGCUUGGCCCAACCAUAGGCGCCCGUGCCCGAGCCGCCAGUCGAGUACCAGACGCCGGUUUAUCAGUGGGAGCCAGAGGAGCUCACACAGCAGUGGCAUCAACAGUCUGCUCCGGAGUAUCCUGGAGCUGGUUAUUUCCCACCUUGGGAGUAGACCAAGCUAGGCCAAAAGCCUAAGCUUGGGGGAGUGCGUGUUCUCACCGACUUUACGUUCAUGCUUAUGCUUUCACUCUGAUAGCCGGUGUUUACACUUUGCCACUUUAUUAUCUAUGCUAGUUUAUUUUCGUUUUCUUGUUUUCUUGUUUUGUGUCCUUUUGAGAAAACCCAAAAAGAUUUUUCUUUCUUCUUUUGCUUGUUGGGAGCUUUCCCGUGUAAAUAGUUUUCUUUUUAUUUGUGUCAAGGUAGAAGAUGUUGGUUAUAAUGUUUAUUGGUUCUUGCAUGCUUACCUGUUCAGCUUUCAAAGAGCCAUAUUACUUUGUCUUCUCCUUUGUGUUUGUCUGCAGAUUCGGCUUAGUCCAAUGUUCUUAUUAUCGUUCACAUCGUUCGAUCGUGCAAAUGAAAGGAAAUAAUGAUGAUAUAUGAUGAAGUGACUGAGACUGAAAAGCUGGUAUGAACUCUAGAUAUUUUGUUUUUGUAAAUAUGACUAGCUUGUCGACCCACAUUUAGCUUUGUUGUGAGAGAACCAUGUUUGCAAUGACAACUUAGAGAUCACAGUUUCUGAUGCCAUGCUUAUUUAGCUGAGAGUUUAUAAUGGUUUGUCUUGAAUGCCAACAUAGAUUUUGAGAUGACUAUGAUGUAGUAUGAUAGGAUGGUAUUCUCCUUUGAAUGUUUCAAUUGGCUUGACUUGGCGCAUGUUCAUGCAUGUAGUUGAAACAAAAUCAACAUAGCCUCUAUGAUGUUCGUAUUCAUGGUGAUUUAUAUCAUGUUCAUGCUUGCAUUCAAUGUUAGUCAAACUCAUUGCAUCUUGAUGACUGUUGUCGCUCUCUAGUUGGUCGCUUCCCAGUCUUUUGCUAGCCUUCACUUGUACUAAGCGGAAUACUGCUUGUGCAUCCACUUCCAUAAACCCAAAAGUUUUUCCAUGAGAGUCCACCAUACCUACCUAUUUGCGGUAUCUACCUGCCGUUCCAAGUAAAUUUGCAUGUGCCAUUCUCUAAACCUUCAAGAAAUAAUCUGUUUUGCAUGCCCGAACCGCUCAUGUGGUGACAGGGGGCUAUUGGUAUCUUCCAUGCUAGGAGUGUUAUCCUCGACAUGUGUUUAUUCACUGUCAUUCACGAGAAAGGGGCCGGUAAUUGGAAUGCCCAGUUCCACGCUUAAAUCGAAAACAUAACUGUAAAACAAGACUCCCCCCGGAUUGAUGUUAGUAUGGACGGUACCCGAGGAUUCGGCUAGCCGUGGAGUGUGAUUGAUUGGUGGUGGGGGAGUUAAAACUUCACUUUUCUGUUUGGGAACUGCCUAUAGCAUGAGUAGCAUGGAAGAUAUUGAGAACUCUUGGUCAUUGCGUUGACAAUGAAAGCAUGCCACCCAAAAUUAUUAUCUCUGUUUUCAAAGCUUGAGCUCUGGCACCUCCGCAAAUCAAUGCUUCCCUCUGCGAAGGGUCUGUCUAUUUAUUUUCCUGUUGAGUCAUCCUCCUCUUAUAUAAGCACCAAUUAGAGAGCACCUCUGUCAUUUUUAUGCUUUGCUUUUGAUUGAUAUUGAGUAUGACUAUGACUGGAUCUUCGUUGCUAUGAAUUACAAUGUUUAGUCAGCCUUUUGAUCUUUGAAAGUGCUCUGCAUUUAUGUUUUGCAGUCUCAGAAAGAGCUAGCGAGAUACCACCUAUUCAUAUUGCUUCAUGCUUGUUUUGAUUGAAGUGUUGGUAUUUGAAACUCAUUAUUAUUUGCUCGUUAGGUGAUUAUGCCAUUGAUAUUAGUUACUGUGAGACCUUUGUGUCAUUUGCUUAUGUGGUUAACUUGUGAUCUUGCUGAAAUUCUGGUUAUGAGUUAGACAUAGUUGCAACAACAAGAUCAAACAGAGUUUGUCAAAGUUUUUCUUUCUCUCUCAGUUUGUCAACUGAGUUGCUUGAGGACAAGCAAGGUUUUAAGCUUGGGGGAGUUGAUACGUCUCCAUCGUAUCUACUUUUCCACACUCUUUUGCCCUUGUUUUGGACUCUAAUUUCUAUGAUUUGAAUGGAACUAACCUGGACUGACGCUUUUUUCAGCAGAAUUGCCUUGGUGUUAUUUUUGUGCAGAAAUCAAAGUUCUCCAAACGUCCUGAAAAUUUACGGGGAGCAGUUUUGGAAAAUAUAAGAAAUAUCUGCGCCAAGUUCCACCUGAGGGAGUGGGCCAGUGGGCCACAAGCCCUGGCUCCGCCACCACCCCCCUGGUGGCGGUGGACAGGCUUGUGGGGCCCACACGGCUCUGCCGCCCCCAAUCUCAGGUCUAUAAGUCUCCUUUCGUCCCAGAAAAAAUAAAAAGAGAAGUUUUCGUCGCGUUUACGAUACGGAGGCGCCGCCACCACGUGUUCUUCAUCUGGAGGGCAGAUCUGGAGUCCAUCUUGGGCUCCGGAGAGGGGAAAUCCUCGCCAUCGUCAUCAUCAACCUUCUUCCCUCUCCAAUUCCAUGAAGCUCUUCAUCGUUCGUGAGUAAUAUAUUCGUAGGCUCGCUGGCCGGUGAUGAGUAGGAUGAGAUCUAUCAUGUAAUCGAGUUAGUUUUGAUGGGGAUUGAUCCUUAGUAUCCACUAUGUUCUGAGAUUGACGUUGGUACUACUUUGUCAUGCUUAAUGCUUGUCACUAGGGCCCGAGUGCCAUGAUUUCAGAUCUGAAAUUAUUAUGUUGUCACCAAUAUAUGGGUGUUUUAGAUCCGAUCUUGCAAGUUGUAGUUAUCUACUAUGUGUUAUGAUCCGGCAACCCCGAAGUGACAAUAACCGGAACCACUCACGGUGAUGACCAUAGUUUGAGGAGUUCAUGUGUUCACCAAGUGCUAAUGCGUUGGUCCGGUUCUUUAUUAAAAGGAGAACCUUAAUAUCCCGUAGUUUUCUUUUGGACCCCGUUGCCACGGGAGGAAUGGACAAUAGAUGUCAUGCAAGUUCUUUUCCCUAAGCACGUAUGACGACACACGGAAUGCAUGCCUACAUCACAUUCACGAACGGGAGCUAGCCACAUAUCUCUCCGUGUUAUAGCUGUUGCAUGAUGAAUAUCAUCCAAACAAAUCACCGACCCAUUGCCUACGAGUUUGUCCUACUGCUGUUGUUACUACUGUUGCUACUGCUGUUACUUGUCUUGCUCUGUUGUUGUUACUACUGUUGCUACUGCUGUUACUUGUCUUGCUCUGCUGCUGCUACUACUGUUGCUACUUGCUACUGCUGUCACUACUGUUGUUCCUUGUUGCUGCUAUUGCUAGUUACACUGUUGCUACCUGCUACAAUUUUGGUUCGUUGAACGUUGACGGGAACUGACAACUUCCGUCAACACGGCAACUUGGCGCCAUUGAUACAAUCGUUAGGAAUAGUCUGUCGUCAACAGAUCGUCUGUGACAUCGUUGUUAUCAUACUACUUUGCUACUGAUACUUUGCUUGCAAAUACUAAUCUUUCAGGUGUGGUUGAAUUUGACAUAUUCAGCUGCUAAUACUUGAGAGUAUACUCUCACCUCCCAUCGUGCAAAUCAACAAAUUUGGGUCGAAUACUUUACCCUCGAAAACUGCUACGAUCCCACGCGUUGGUGGGCCGUCAACAACAUUCUUCUAGUUUCGGUUGCCGGGGAUUGCAAUCAGCAUUCUUCUGGUGCCAUUGCAGGGGAAGGUCUGUUGUCAUCAGCACUCGUCUAGCUAUUGCCAGAGAGUGCCAGUCAAAACCCUAGAAGCUAGAUGGGCCAAGAUGCAGGCCUGCAGAAGGCCUAGUAGGACCACACGGCAGAGAGUGUGUGUUUAGGCCCGUAGGCCUGCGUUUGAGAGGAGCUCGAGAGAGUUGGCGCAGCGGGGCUUAUAAACAACUCUCAGCUCCUCUCAACUAGCGAGGUGGGACUAAACAUUUAGCCGCAGCAUCACCCCCCUUUAGUCCCGGCUUGGAGCUCUAACCGGGACUAAAGGCCCCCCUUUAGUCCCGGUUGGAGCCCCAAACCGGGACAAAAGGUCCACCUAUAUAAGCUGGUCGAUGGAAUUUUUCCAAUCCAAAUCGCCAGUUCCUUCUUCCUCCUCUUGCCUGACUGCACCGACGACCACCUCGACACUGCCAGGCUGCCCGACUACGCCGUCGUCGACGCCCUGCCGUCCCCGAGCCCGAUGACCAUCGCCAGCGUCGGACCUCCUCGCGCGCCCUCCUCCCUGUCGUCGAGCCCGCUCCUCGUUGUCACCGGCCUCCACAGCUCUCCAUCCCCGGGCACCAGUGAGCUCCUCUUGUCGCCACCGUCGCGCCCACACCGUCGUCGACCUCGUGCCCCCGCCAUUGUUGCGCGACCCGCGCCAUCGUCGCCGUGCCCUCCCCCGAGCCUCCUCAUCGUCGCCGCACCCUCCCCCUCCGGUGAGAAGUAUGGCAUUUUUAUAUGUGCUCUGUUUUUUUAAAUGAGAUGUAUGAGAUGUUUUGUGAAGAUGAGAUGAGAUGAGAUGUUUUGUUUAAAUGUGAGAGAGAUGAGAGAAUUUCUUUUAGGUUUUUUUAGAUAGAGAAACAAAUGUUAAAAUUUGCAUGUACUCUGGCUUUUUUGUUGCAUAAUGAGAUUAGAUGAGAUGAGUCCCCGACGAUCGUCAGAGGAGUCCUCGACGAUCGCCGGUGAGGAGUCCCUGGCGAUCGUCGGAGGAGUCCCCGACGAUCGCCGGUGAGGAGUCCCUCACGAUCGUCAAAGGAGUCCCCGAUGGUCGUUAGAGGAGUCUUAGACGAUCGUCGGUGAAGAUUCCCCGACGAUCGCCUGUGUGGAGUCCCCAACGGUUGUCAGAGGAGUCCCCGAUGAUCGUCGGUGAAGAGUUCUCGACAAUCGUCGAUGAGGAGUCCCCGCCGAUCGUCGGAGGAGUCCACGACGAUCGCCGAUGAGGAGACCCCGACGGUUUGUGGCACGAACCGGCCGGGACUAAAGGUCCUAAAAAGAACUGGAACUGAUAUCCGCCGAGGCCCGACCGGCGUCCUGACCGUUCGAACCGGGACUGAUGCACGGUUCAUAAGUCGAUCUAGGCUAAUGUUCUUAUCAAGCCAUGAUCAAAGCCUGUUUUCUACAAGUGUGAGGUAGUCGCUGUUUUAGGGUUUGGCAUAGGGCCUUUGAUUUUGACGCCCCGUCCCUGAUUCGUGGCAUGUUCUUUCUAGAUCUCUCUAUUUUUUAACGUACAGAGAAAUAAAAAAGUACAAAGAGAAAACGGCACGACAAAAAAAAGAAGCAGAAUUAGGCUAGGUGUAGAAGUGGGAGAUUCCAUCCAAAUAUCUCCUUUGAAACAGUAGAGCCUAGAGGGUGUUUGUUUCCAGGGACUUAUUGGUUUAGGGACUUAAAAAAGUCCCUAUAAGUCCCACCUAAACCAAACACAAGGGACUUAUUGGGACUUGUUCUCGUGAUUAGGGACUUAUCAAAUAAGACUCUCAGGCAGGAGCUUAUUGGGACUUAUCCCGGGCCGGACCUACCCCGCGUCGCUCCAGGCUCGUUCCCCGCACGCCGCCCCGCCUCUCGGUCCAAUCGCCGCCGCCGCCCCGCCUCUCGCCCCGUCGCCGCCCCAUCGCCGCCCCGCCCCUCGCUCCGGUCGCCGCCCCGUCGCCGCCCCGCCUCUCGCUCCGGUCGCCGCCCCGCCUCUCGCUCCGGUUGCCGCACCGUCGCCGCCCCGCCUCGGUUCGUUCUGCCUCGGUUCGCCGCCCCGCCUCGGUUUGUUCUGCCUCGGUUCGUUGCAACGGUGCCUCCAAUCGCCGGACAAGCCCUUUCCUGAGCCUCGUUGCAGCGGUGCUUAUCCUGUGUGUCGUACGCGUUGGCUGAUGACGAUCCAUGUGAACAAGUGUAUUAUUAGGUGCAACAUGGACUUAUAAGUCCCUAUAAACAAACAGUGGGGACUCGGGACUUAUAAGUCCAUGUAAACAAACAGGGCCUUAGGCCCUGUUUGUUUCAUAAGUCCUAGGACUUUUUUAAGUCCCAACUUAUAAGUCAUAAGGCCCUACCUGUUUGUUUACAUGGACUUAUAAGUCCCGAGUCCCUACCUGUUUGUUUACAGGGGCUUAUAAGUCCAUGUUGCACCUAAUAAAAUACACUUGUUCACAUAACCCUUGUUCAUACAAAUGAAUUGCAGAAUAGUGACAACCGAAAUAAUAAUUGUUCAUAACACUUGUUCAUACAAACGAAUUAACACUUGUUCAUAAGAACCAAAAUAAGACAGAGUACAUAACAACCGAGAUAACAGAAAUUACAGAAGCGAAGAACACUUCUUCAUAUCAUUGUUGUUUCAAGGACCACAACCCAUCAGCGACCCAAGCUCUGAAUUGAUUCAUAGCAGCACUGUCCAUCUCAUUUGUUGAAUCAUUUGUUGUAGUCGUUGGCAUAGACAAUGGUACAUAAUUUUCAUCUUGAUCACACAAGUCGAAAUCUAUAUCGGCGAGUUGGCUUUGUCUAAUAAAAUUGUGCAGUGCAAUGCAAGCCACAAUUAUUUUGCUUUGUUUCUGUUGUGGAUAACUAGGCAAGUGAAACAAAAUCCUCCACUUGUUCUUCAGCACUCCAAAACACCUCUCGAUGACAUUUCUAAGUGAAGAAUGGGUGAAAUUGAAGUGUUCCUUUUUUCCUCUAGGCAUUGUGCCAUCACGGUACUCCUGGAAAUGAUAAGUUAAACCCUUGUAUGGUGAAAGAUAACCCGGUCUAUUUGGGUACCCUGAGUCGACAAGAUAGAACUUAUUAGGUGGAGGUUUUGGAAACUUGUCACCAAAUCUGGAUCGGGCAUCAUUGAAGACCCUCAUGUCAUGCACUGAUCCUGGCCAACCAGCUAGGACAAAUGUAAAUCUCAUAUCAAAGUCACACACACACAUCACAUUCUGACUCUUCUCCUUAUGUCUAUUCCUAUGCUGGGCAGCAGUGGCAACUGGUACCACAACUUGUAUGUGUGUACCAUCUAUUGCACCAAUGCAAUUAUCCAUAAACGGUGCAUACUUUCUAGAUCUUAAUUUUAAAUGCACAGUCCUAAAUUGACGAUCUAUUGGCCUGAUGAUGUCUUUUGCAAGCUUGAUCAGACAUGCCAAAACCUUAUCAAACUUCCUUACAAUUGUCUCCAAUGACCUAACAAAUCUGUUUUUUGCUUGUCUUACAGAUUGAGGGGAACCUACUAUCCAUAGAAACAGGCCUAGAGACUCAACUGAUGACAUUCUUUUAGUGGACUUCAAACCAUAGGAAUCAACAAGCACACUAUGCAAUUUCUCAAACACUGGUCUGUGCAUUCUAAACAUGUUGUAACAGGCCGUUUCGUUGUGUAGUGUUGUCAAAACCCAAUGCCCAGACUCUAUUGGUACUCUUCUAGGUCCUUUGUUACAGUAUGAGUCCAAGUGGUACAUACCAAUCAUGCAGGCCAUCUGCAUCAUUCUUCUCUUUCUUUUUUGGUGCAUGAACAACAUCAGUGCUUCGUCAUCACUGCUGCUCCCAUCAUCACUGCUUAUUCCAUCAACAUUGUUGUCAUCAUCCUGAAACAUGCAAACAUUAGUACAACUUAUUCAUCAUGCACCACCUCUGGAACUUGAAAACAUUAGUACGUGCAAAUUAAACACUUGAACAUGGAAUGGUCAUUUAACAAGGUCACACAACACAGGUCCAUUACAUAGUUCUAUUAAAAAGGACAAUCAAGAUAACUAGUACACUAGUACAACUUCUUCAUCAUGCACCACCUCUUCAACCAAGUCAGCCUAGCCUCAUUAGUUGAAAUGUUCUCAAAUAUGACUCUGUUUGCCUCAUCUGCAAAAAGUUGAGUCGCCAUGAAGUACUCAACACUUGUUUCUUCUGCACCACAUUUAACUGCCAACAAUUGACAAUGAGUAAUGGAUUCCUUAGUGUUGUUUGAUUUCUUCUCUCUUGCCUUGUCCUUUGCUUCCUGCCUUUUGUUUGCAUAUUCAGUGAUCAUGUCAGAAGUGUUAUCACUGUUAAUAGUAUUGAUGAGCCCUGUCAUUAGUUUCACCAUUGGGCUCUUGUGUUUCUUUCCUGGGCUUGAAGCUGACUGUUCACCGCCGCUGCUCCCCUUCUUCUUGCUCGUGGUGCUCAUUGGACUCUCCUCAUGUCCAUCAUCGGCAACAUCAUAUUCCUCUUCAUCAUCUUCAUCUAAGGGCACAUAAGCUGAUGAUCCAUCAACUGCCACACCUUGAAAUAGCUCUAUUAGCAUAUCCAAAUACUCAGGAUUGCCACCCUUGAAUUUUCUGACAUCUGGUCUCUCCUGCAUCAUUAGUUAGAUAAUUAGUACAAGGCUGAAUAAUGUAAACAAGUGUGAGCAAUUCAGAUGUAAUUUGAAAAAUAAUGUAUGUACCUUAAUUAUUUUUUUCCACCACUCAUUUGAUGCGGUUAUAGCUCCAUCUCCAGUUCGGCCACAACCAGUUUGCUGCCCCAACCACAUCCAAGCAGUAUAGUAGCUCUUCAGUCUAGCAAUGCAAUUUUUGAAUUGCUUGGUACUAUGCAGGAGGCCCACACGCUGAUAAAUUUUUUUUCUUCAUGUUAUUGUAUGCUCUACUUGUCCAAACAUCAUUCACACAGUGCCCAUCCCUAGCUUCCUCACAGGCGAUGUUACAAAAUAAAGUAAUAUGCGCGUCUGUCCAAUCGGCCUUUGCAAUGGUUUUCUAAACAAAAAUAACAAGUACACAAUUCAAACAUAAAUAACAAGUAGACAUUUCAAACCAAAAAUAACAAGUUCACACAAUUAGCUAGCACAAAAAAAAGAUGAAUUUUAACGCUGAUACAAAAAAAGACCUAUAUACACAAUUUAAAAAGUUACCUCUCCAAAACCAUUGUUGUCAUCUUCAUCUUCAAAGCCUUCAUUCUCGUCGACAUCUUCUGAAGACGCAGCAGUUGACGACACACGUUGCUUCCCCGCAGUUUUUCCUCUAGUGCCGACAGAUGAGGACGCAUUGGCUCGACCUACACCGCGCCCGGUGACCUGCGACACGGUCCUCCCACGGCCUAUGACGCCCCCCUCAACGGCAGCUACGGCCGGGGCGACGAACGGACGCAGGUGAGAGCCGGCUCGACCUCCGAUGUUCAGAGACCGGCUGCGACCUCCUCCGCCCUGGGGCAUGGGCCUACCACGACCAGGUCCGAUCGGAGGAAGGCCAUGACUAGCCGACUGGUCGAAGAGGAGUUGCUGGUACGAGCCCAAUUUCGGGAAAUCGUCGACGUUGCUGUUGAGAUCCAAGGAACGCCCGAAACCCAUUCCCCUCCCGAGAUUUCCACCGGCGGAUGAGAACUGAGAGAAAAAAGGCAUCUGCUCGUCCUCCUCAUCAGCCAUGGUACGGUCACCUCGGACGCGGGGAUCCUCAUCAGCCAUGGCGCGGUAACCUGCAGUCAAUAUGAAUCAUCAUCAGCCUAAUUGUCAACAGCAAACUAGAAAUAUUAUCAUGUGCAAGAAUUGAUUAUUAACUUGCAAUGGAUGUAUGAGUGAGUGCACCGAUCACAGUUUGCUACAUGUGUUAGCAAAAAUUCAACAGCCCUAAUGCAGUACUCGAUCAAGCUGAGACGUAGGUAGCAUACCAGGAUAUAUAUGGGACAAUGAAUAAUUAGAUGUGCCAAUCAAUAUAACCAGCCAGCAGAAAAUAUGAACCUGCAGAUGAACUAGCGAACCUGCAGAUGAACUAGGGAGACGAGGCGGCGGCCGGGCGGCGUCGGGGCGAGCGGGCGGCGGCCCUCGACUCAGUUGGUCACAUACAAUGGCAAUAACACACUAUCAAAAUUAACUGGUCAAUUCUUCGUUUUUAUAUAAAAAGGCAGAACUCCUGCUGGUUCCUCAAAAACAAAAUUAACGUACUACCAAAAUAUGCUGGGUCUUUUCUGUGAUUCGAUCACGGCUGGCGAUCGGUUUGGAGAACCUUUCAACGUCACGGAAACCGGAGAAGGGAACAUGCAUGCAUGCAUGCACGCACGGCACGUGACGAAAUAUACAAAGGCUGGCGCAUACAAGGAGUAGUGGCUGGGGCGCAUGCGCCGAAUUCGUUUGCAUAUAAAAACAGCACGUGGAAAAUAGUUUACGAUCGAGCGCGCGCGCGUGCGUUGAAGAAAACGACGGGGCGGUCAAACCGCGCCGACAUGCGGGCCCCGGUCGCGUGCCGCCGGAAGCUGCCGUGAGUGAUGGCGAUGAUGGUGAGUGCUCCAGAUGAUUGGUGGCGCCACCAUCCAUGCAUGCAUGCAUGCAAGCAAGGCCCUGUCGGUCAGCGGUAGCUUCCACUUGAACCUUGAAUGCUCCGAUUGCGGCUGCGGCGCGGAAGAGUAGUAGGAGUAGCUUUCUUUUUCUUACCUCUGUCCAAGAUAAAUGUAUCUAGUACAAAGUUAUAUUAAACUUGGAACAGUUACUUUGGAACGAAAUAAGUAUGAAAAUGAUUAUCUUCUAUCGACCGAUUACGCGCGGCCGUUUGUCUUUUAGGACAGACAUUUCUCAUACUGGAUAUAAGUAGAGGUGUUUCGGGACACGCUUAAUUGUGAGGGCAAGCGAUUAGAUUUGGAUUUUUUCAUGCAACAUCUUUAUUGUUGUAAGAAAAAAUAUAUAACAUUAGUUAUAUUGCAGAACACUUUUCGAAACAACAAUAUGAAGUUAAAAGAAAAUCUGCAAUGUUAGCUUUGUUGCACAAAAAUCCAUGCAACAACAUCGUUGCAAAAGUUUCGCAACAUGAUCCCUGUUGCAAUCAUCCGAAUGCAACAAUAUACUUGUUGCAAACGUUGUCAGCUUAAUCUGUUGGUCAUUCCGUAUUAAAUCUUUGUAGCAAAAAAAAUCAAUGUCCGUCUGCAGCUCUAUCAGAGUCCGAAACAAAGCGAUUGUUUCCGCAAAUGAUUUGUUGUUUUAAGAAUUAAUGUGUUAAGGAAGGCGAUCGAGUCACGUGCCAGCCUUUAGAUCGGUUGACUGCGCGCUCGGAUCGGAUGGCUGCCGAUGUUUGCGCACCCGGAGAUCCAACGGUUAUUGUGUUGAUCGAUGUUUAAUAGACAUCUGUUGGUGGAUGCGUGGUGCUCUCAGUAUAAUAUAUGCAGAAAAAAUGUUUUAACACACGUAUACGCCAUCGAUCCGGCACUUCGUUGUCGGCUGCGGCAUGAACAGCACGACUGGUCCACCGCCGUGGCAUCGUCAUCUUCGUCGGGCGCCCACAGGUAAGCCCAUGGUAUACAAUGACAUGUGGUUUUGGUUAAGUUACUCACUUGAUUUUGGGCCACACAAAUGGAGGCGUCUUUCUCUUAACAGAAAACACAUUCCUAUGUACGUAACACGUUGACAUAAACUCUACGCACUGGUUUUUUCUUUUUUGACAUUGCUCUACGCACUAGUUUAAUUUGGAUCUUUCUUUUUUUAACUGGAACACCUUGCAUUCCGAAUUACAACGGACCAACCGAAUUGGUGGUUACAAAAUGAAUUACAAUCAAUUUAUGGUUGAAUGGUUAGAGAGACUGUAUUAUCCUCAGUCCAUCAGGGUUCAAGUCCUGUUGUUCGUACUUAUUUCUGAAUUUAUUUUAAAAUUUUCGAUGAUGCUCAUUCAAUGGAAAGAGACGUUUCCGUCGUCGAUUAGGUGUCUACGACAAUUUCGUAAAUCUCAAGAUAUAUGCUGGUUCAGUCUUUCGAUGGUGCUCAUAAAAAUAGGGUGUGCAUGUGUGUGUCUAUAGGGAUGAGUGUACGCCGCGUGUAUAUAAACGUUUGCAUGUGUAUUAUGUUAACAAAAGUUUCUGCUACCAAACAUGAUGGCACUAUGGCACAUUAUAAAUGAUGACUGUGGGCGGCGUACCCGACCUGGAGAGGACCAUCCGGAGCAGGAGCAGCCGGAGCUACGCGCCUCAUGGGAAGGGUUUGCGACGUCGUUGACGCUUCAUCGGUGUGUGAUGGGCCCGGGGGAUGGAGAUCCACCGCUGUUGAGGCCGCCUUGGUCCUACAACGACCGACGCAACACGAUGCGGAGGGCCACCUCCUCCACAUUGACGUUCGAUCAGUCGGAGCUGCUUCCGUCGCCGGCCAUCGGUUCAGAGUGCCGGGAUUGGAAAUGGAGUGGACGGAGACUGAACUGUCGGAUGUCUAGGGUUUUUGGAUUGGGAUAUUUCGUGGGGUCCGUCGUGGCCCGAGAGGGUCUAGGAGCGCCGAACUUUCUAUAUCCGCUCCAUAUUUAAGAUAGAUAUGAUGGGUGUCGGUUAAUCCGGACAUUUGAGGCCCAUUUAGAGCAAGUACAAUAGAGCUGAGUCAGCUAGCUAUGAGGAAUAAACUAAUAUAUUUUUAUCAAAAAUGCUACACUUACGGGCAAGAUACGGAUGAAACUUACGGAUUGCUGCCGCUUAGCCAAUCCCUCUGCCCCGCUGAUUUCAAGGGUGGGCCCUGGUGCCCCAAGUUUCCAGUAAAACAUGGACAGCUGAGUCCGUAAGUUACUUUCCGUAGCUUCCGUCCGUAAAUCUAGCACUUCUCUAUUUUUAUUUAGUUAGAGGAAAGAGAAGAGGAGAGAGAAGGUAAGCGGCCUCUUAGCUAAGAGCCAGCUCUAGCACGUGCUCCUAGGCAUUUUGUUAAUAUGAAAGGUGGACCAUAUAAUGUAGAAGUAGUAUACUUUUACAAUGAAGUAUUGUACAUGUUAGCUAUAAGAUGGGCUAUAGAUGACAUGGCAGUGGCUUAUAGCCAGCAGCUUGCUCUUAGUGCAUUCCAUUUGGGUAGAUUUUCUCUGGCCGUACGCUGAUUGAUCGGCUGUCCAACGUUCGAAACGAAUAUAAGGGUCUGGUUGUAGAUACUCUAAAACCACGGAGGUGGCGAAAAUUACCCUUCAACCAAUCUACGCAGCGGCUAAACUUCAACGGUGUUUCAUACCCACAGAAACGGAAUCUUUCAAGAGCAACGGAGUCGAACAGCAGAAAGGACCGAGCAAGAUGAAUUCACAAAGUCAAAACAUGGAGCCAGCUCAACACCGACCCCGCAAGUCAAUCCGACCCAACCCAACCCACGCAAUUAAUCUCCUCUAAUCUCUUGCUAACACGCGUGGACUUCUUCGCGUGAUCCACUUCCUAUAAAACGCGCGCGCACCCACUCCCCCUCCCAUUCGAUUUGUGUUCAACUCCAUCCACCAACUCGGUCAGCGUCUUCUUCAUUCGCUCUGCUCUCCACCAGAUCCAUUUCACGAGCAAUCCUUCGCGACCUACGGCCAUGGAGGGGCCGACGGUGGAGGUGCCGCCGUACUUCCUGUGCCCGAUCUCGCUGGAGAUCAUGCGGGACCCCGUCACGCUCGCCACCGGCAUCACCUACGACCGCACCAGCAUCGAGCGCUGGAUCUCCGACGGCCACGCCACCUGCCCCGUCACGCAGCAGAAGAUUGCGGAGGCCGACCGGGAUGCCACGCCCAACCACACGCUCCGCCGCCUCACCCAGGCCUGGUGCUCCCUCCACGCCGUCGAGCGCUUCCCCACCCCGCGCCCGCCCCUCGACACCAGCCGCGUCGCCGAGAUCGUCCAAGAGGGUCACGGUGCCGGCCGGCAGCAGGAGCUGGCCGCGCUCCGCGAGAUCAAGGCCAUCGUCGCCGAGAGCGAUCGCAACAGGCGCUGCGUCGAGGCCACGCCCGGCGCCGUCGAGUUCCUCGUCUCCGUCGUCACGAACCAUGCCACCACGUCCAAGUCGGCUCAAGAUUUGCUAGAACUUUCGCUGGAUUCCCCGACGUCCACGAGCUCGCCGGAGGAGGACGCGCUCAGCGUCAUCUGCUCGCUCAAGCCGUCCAAGAAGAGCCUGCUCCGGAUCCUCGAGAAAAACGUAGACUUCCUGGACACCCUGGUGUGCAUGCUGCGGCGACCGAGCUACCGGUCCCGCUGUUACGGCAUCAUCCUGCUGAAGGCGAUGGUGUCGGUCAUGGAGCCGGCGAGGCUGAUGACGGUGAGAACCGAGCUGGUGCAGGAGGUGGUACGCGUGGUGUCUGACAGGGUGUCCGCCAAGGCGGUGAAGGCGGCGCUGAACGUGCUGUGCCGGCUAUGUCCGUGGGGCCGCAACCGUGUCAAGGCCGUCGAGGCCGGCGCGGUGACUGUGCUGGUGGAGCUGCUCCUCGACGAAGGCGGCCGGCACCCCACCGAGCUGGCGGUGGUGGCCAUCGACCACCUCUGCGGCUGUGCGGAGGGGCGGUCGGACCUUGUGGCGCACCCGGCAGGGCUGGCCGUCGUGGCCAAGAAGGCUAUGCGGGUGUCACCGACCACCACCGAGAGCGCGGUGCGCGCUCUGCACGCCGUGGCUAGGCACUCGCCGACGCCGGCCGUGCUGCAGGAGAUGCUGGCCGUCGGGGUGGUCGCCAAGCUGCUGCUGGUUCUACAGGUGGAUGCCGGCGAGCGGGCCAGGGCCAAGGCCAAGGAGCUGCUCAAGAUGCACGCUAGGGUUUGGAAGGACUCGCCAUGCUUACAAGUGCACCUCAAGGCGCAUUACCCUUGUUGAUUUCGUCACGCUGAAUAUCGCUAGAAGAGAAGAGCCCAUUGCUCUCUUUUAGUUUCUCGCUGUAAUUAUCUACACAAACUGUCAUCAAACAUUGACACUGUUUAAUUGAUUGUAAAUACUAGUUCCUAUUUACAAAAUAAAAAUAAAAAACAGGCGAGACAGGCUUCUUGGAUAUAUCUCUUGGAUUGCCGUGUUAUCAGAUUUUUUGCGUCCUUUGUUCCUUUUUGUGAUAUGUCACAGAAGUUAACAUGAAUGCAUAACACAAAUACUAUUUCCGUCUCGGUUUAUAAGUUGUCUUACGAAAACUAAAUAAUCUCAAAACACUAAGGGACGAUACAUUAACUUUCACUUCAUUUUUUGUUUUUUGACAUGAAUAAAUCAAUCAAUCAAUAAGAAACGUGGAACGUUUAUAUUUUUAAUGACUUGAGACUAACUAGCACAACAUGCAGUAGUAUUCAUUAGCAAAUCAAUACUAGUAAUAUUUUUUCUUAUUUUCGUCUUCGUCUUAAUCGUGGUGCACAACUUAAAAUAACUUAUAAACCAAGAUGAAAGAAAUAUAACAGAUAGAGAAUCAUAACUUAUAAGGCUGAUGUCGAAAACAUGCAUUUGCAUGUUUUCUAGAUGGUCCAACAUACUUCACACGUGCCAGAUAGUGUUACCUCGCGAUGACUUACUCUGGAAAGAUGAAAGCCAAUUCAUAAAUAGAUUCUCACUUUCACAAGGAAAUUUCUUUAGCUUCGCGGCACAAAUUAUUGACUAUAUUAACAAUUUUUGAUUAAUUUAAUCCAAAAAUAACUCAUAAGUAUGGCGUUUGAUAGUAUUUAGCUUGUACUUGUAUCAACCCAAGCAAGCAGGUACUACGCAAAUACUCUCUCCGUUUCAAAAUAAAUGUCGCUGAUUUACUAUAAAGUUACAUUAAAUCCACGACACUUAUUUUGAAACAGAGGGAGUAGUAUAUUCGGUUACGCGGACAACAAGCAAGGUAAAUUUUAAAAACAAUGACAAACGGGAAAGGAAUAAACGAGUUAUACCCUCCAAUUGAUCAGUUCACAGUCGCGCGGCAGCGGCGACUGGCUUCUUCCCAACAAAGAGCUUUUCGACAACGAGUUUCUCAACUUUGGUGACUUGAUGAUGAUGAAGACGAUGAAGAGGUAGAUGAAGUAGUGAACGUAGACGAACGGUUGUGAAAAGACGCGUAGGAGACACUUACCAAAAACCUAAUCGCCCUUCUCUCGGUGCAUGAUCUCAAAGAGCGGGCUUUCAGUUCCAGAGGCCCGCUUCACCGUAUAAUUGUGCAGGCGGUUGAAGGGAUGAGGUCAUCGGUGGCAGCAACGACGAGCACAACGAUGAUGGAAAGUACGCCCGUGGAGACAGAUCAGAUGUGACCUGAUUUUCGUGGUGGCUACCCAACGAUCAAUACUUUGGAUGCGGAAUUGGCGAAGUGCCCAUCGCAAGUGUGGCAGUCCAUCUUGGAAGGAAGAGAUAAUCUCCUCUUAGUCUUAUUAAGAGAAAUGGAAUGGUUGUUGAUACGACCGUUUGGUAUGGUGAUUGGAUCCAUGGGACUUCAAACUUCGGGCGUUGUGUUCCAAAUCAACGUACCCGUCGGAUUGAUCAUGCCUUGGUAUCUUGGGUUCGGGCCAUACUUGACGAGCAUUUCUGGACAAGCAGGCGAUCUUUAAUACUCCUUACUUCCAGAAUACAGUACGAUUUCUGGUAAUGGCAUUACAAAAAAAAGGCGUGUUUACAAUGCAUUUGGCAUACAUACAUGUAUCAUCCACUAAGCAGCAGCGCAUGAAUAGGCCCGGAGACAAUCAUGACCAUUCAAAUUAUGAGGAUAGUGGAAAAUCCUGGUCCAAGCUAUGUGCGGUGAAGAUACCUUUGAAGAUAAGGGUGUUUGCUUGGCGACUUGCAAAAAAUUCCCUUCCUACUAGGGGUGUGUGGAAUCAUAUCCAGAUGGCGGACACAACUGUCAGGCCCAAGAUACGACCCUAUCCACAAUUUGGCACGAGGGCCUCGUCAGGGAUAGAAGCGCAUCUCGUCGUGUCGCAAGAAUGGAUAUCGUUACAAGUACAUGUACUGAAAAAAAGAGAUAUAUAGAUAAAAUUGGCUUACACUCGCCACAAGCUACAUCAGAGUCACAACAGUACAUUACAUAAACAUCAUGAAGAAGAGCAGGGUCCGGCUACGGACGAAAACAAACGAGAAAAGAAGAACGACGUCCAUCCUUCCUAUCCCAGGCUGCCGGCCUGGAACCCAUCGUAGAUCGAAGAACUAGAAGAAGAAGAAGAAGNNNNNNNAGAAGAAGAAGAAGAAGCAAUUCUUAAAGAACACUCAACGCGCUCGCGUCAAGUAAAUUUACAUGUACCUGCAACUGGUGUUGUAGUAAUCUGUGAGCCACAGGGGACUCAGCAAUCUCAUUUCCAAAGGUAUCAAGACUAGCAAAGCUUAAUGGAUGAGGCAUGGUUAAGUGGUGAGGUUGCAGCAGCGGCUAAGCAUAUAUAUAUGGUGGCUAACUUACGAGUACAAGCAAUAAGAGAGGAAAGAUCUACGCAUAGCGGACGUGAACUACAGUUGAUCAAAUGAAUGAUCCUGAACACCUACCUACGUUAGAUAUAACUCCACCGUGUCCUCGAUCGGAGAAGGAACUCAUGAAAGAGACAGUCAUGGUUACGCACACAGUUGGCAUAUUUUAAUUAAGUUAACUUCAAGUUAUCUAGAACCAGUGUUAAACAAAGUUUCCACGUUGCCACAUAACCGCGGGCACGGCUUUCCGAAAAUAUUUAACCCUCUAGGGGUGCUCCAACUAGUCCAUCACAAAUUACCACAAGCCGCAUAGAAAUCCUCAAUCAUGAAGCUCGCGAUCUCGUCGGAUUCCCUAGUGGAAAACCUCAACUCUGAGAUUAUCCAAAGCAUCACUGGAAUCCCGAUGCACAAGAUAUCUCGUCAAAGGUAAAACUAAUCCAGCAAGGCCACCCGGUGUGUCGACGAUCCCGAUAGGAGUCGCGUAUCUCGUUCUCAGGACACACCGUCUAUGCAUAGUGGACGGGAACCAAACCUCGAGUUGCCCCGAGGUGGCACCGCCGACUGCUAGGUGGGUGGACCAACACUCAUGCGGAGCACUGGCCCGGGGGUUGAUUAAAUUUCCUCGGGUUAAUUACUCCCUAUGCAGUUCAUUAGUUAUUAAGCAAAUGUAGUACCAAAGUUGGGCCUUGCGAGACCAGCUUUAAUCUAAAACAAAUUAUCAAGGGGGUACCAUAACAACCCCGAUCGUGUUAGGAGCGCUCAAAUAUGGAACAUAACACCGGUAGCCGAAACUAAGGGGCAAAGGUGGAACAAAACACCAGGCUAGAAAAGUCCGAGCCUUCCCCCUUUUACCAAGUAUAUAGGUGCAUUAAAUUAAAUAGCAUUUAAAUAUGGUGAUAUGACAAGGAACCCAUGUUAUCACAUGGAAGCAACUGCACCUGCAACUAGCAACGUUAACACAUGGAUAAGCAAGCAGUAACAUAGCCAAUCAGGGGUUUGCUAGGUCGAACAGGUUGAAGGUUAUCAUGGUAUUGUUGAGAGGCUGAUAUUUAACAUGUGGUACGCAACAAGAUAUAAACGAUAGAAGCGAUAAAACUAGCAUGGCAAUGAUAGUAAUGGUAUCUCGGGAAAUGGUCAUCUUGCCUGAGAUCCCGCUUGGAAGAAGAACAACUCCGUGACGUCGGCGAACCAACGUAGUCGAACGGGUCCUCACAUUCUGACACGCUUGCGGAACUCUAUCGAGACGGACCAAACCGGAAACAACCGUCAACACAGAUAUUCACCACGGCAAAUGCAAGACAUGAUGCACACCCUAAUAUGAUGCAUGAUCAGUUCAAUGAUGCCAGGCAUGGCAAUUCUCCUCACACAAACACUACACAUUAAGUGAAACGCGAUAUGCAACGAGUUGCAUAUCGACGAAACUCCACGUUUAAUUAUUUAAUUCACUCCCGAUUAUUUGCACAGCAAUAUUAAAUUGUUGUUAACAUGGCAAGGGUGAAGCGGGUGAUUCUACCAGUCAUCCUAGUCGGUUAACACGCGGGACAUAGAACGGAGCUACCACACAAGAAAACAUGCAACAUAAGAUAUAUAUGCCAUGAAUGGGUCAUGCAUGCAAGCUCAUAAUAACACGGGCAAGAAGGAAAAGAAUCAAGAAUCGCCACGGCGAGCGUAAAGGAACCAUGGCGGCAAGAUGGAAACGAUGCCACGGCAACGUUCCUAUCCCGAUAACUCAACGAGAUAUCGGUGCCAACGAAUCGGAAGCGCGUGCGGGAACGCUAAAUAAAGAUGGGGUGAUCCCGCUACGGGGUUCCCAUGUGUCGAUGGCGCGACGAAAGAGAGACAACGUGCAACGGGCAAACAUACGGCGCAAACAUACGGUACAUCUCAUACAACAUUUGCAUUCGGUACACGACACGUUCCAAUGGUAUACCUUCGAAGCAUGCAUAUCAGAGCGGUUCGGGUCAUAGCGGACGUCGUGGAAGUCGUUGUCGUCGUGGAAGUAGUGGAAGUCGUGGUACUCAGGUCUCGUCGACGGUAGUCGUGCUCUUGGCGUCGGUGCACGGGUCUUCACAUCGGUAGUCGAACAUGUUUCCGGGGGUCGUCGAGGACGACGUGGUGCUCGGCGAGUUUGUCGAUUCCACGGCGACGGGGAUGGUGCACGCGGCGACGGCAGGCGACACAACAGCAACGAUCGUCGGCGACGGCAGCAAGCAAGCAACAUAGCAACGGCAACAACAUGCAGGCCAUCAGCAAGCAACGCUAGCAGCUAACUAGCACAAGCUAAAGCAAACAUCUACAGCAAGCAUCGGCAUCGGCAAACAGCAACUAACCUAGCAGCAAACAACAAACUACACCUAGCAACUAACAGCAGCAACUAACACUACUAGCUAGCAGCAAGGCAAGCAAGCAGCAACAUCAUCUACACCAAGCUAGCAGCCGAGCAAAGCAACUAGCCUAGCAUGCAUCGGCGCAGCAGCUCGCGGCAACAGCAAGCACGACAGCAGCUACGACAUAGCAACAGCAUCUCGGCAGCACUAGCAGCCUAGCAUCUACAGCAGCAUGCAACAUCCAACACGGCGCGCAGGCAGGCCAGCAGAACGACGACAGGGCAAGCACGGGGGCGCGCGGGACCAAGGCGAGCAGCGGCAGGGCAAGCCGCCGGCGGGGCGAGCAUCGGCAGGGGCGGGGAACCUGCAGGCGGCUCGGGCGGCCGGCGGCGCGCAGAGGGCCUCGGGCCGGCCAAGGGCGACGAGGGGAGCCGCGGGCACGGUGGCCAUGGCGAGCUCGUGAGGGCGAGGGGCCCUGGCAAGGGAGGCGGCUAGACGGGGGGACCGGAGGCGGCGAUUGGCGAGAGCGAGGACGCGGGGCACGGGGCUCCUACAGGCAGGCGACGACACCGUGGGCAAGGGCUGGCGAGCUCGAGACCAGCUGAGGCGAGAGGUGGCGAGGCCGAGGGGGCGCAGCGCGACGAGGGUCGCACAGCGAGCACGCGGGGAACGGCGGCGCAGCGCGGGGGAGCUGCUGCAGGCGCCAGCGGCUGCAGGGAGGGAGCGCUGGAUCGAGCAGAGGGGGAGGCUGCGCUAGGGGGGAGGACGAGGGAGGAGACGAGAGGGGCUGGGGGCACUAGGGCAGGGGAGGGAAGCCUGCUGGGCCUUGGGCCGGCUGGGCAGCUCCUCCUCAACCCCUCUCUCUUGUUUUUUUUAAACAGAACACACGCAAAAGAAAAAAGGUUUAAAUAAAAGAAAAUAAAAUAAAUGCUUUUCGGCUCCUUGAAAAAGAAACCCCAACUAUAAAAAUAGGUUGGGCAUUUUUUUUAAAGAAAUAAGAUGCAACAUUUUGAAGAAUAAAAUAAAACCCUUUUAACAAGAGAAUAAAAUAAAACCCCUUUUAAAGGAGAAAAGAAAAUGAGACUUUGUUUUUUGAAAAUAAACAAAAGGGAAAAAAUAAGGAAACCCAAGGGUUGCCUCCACAUUUAAUAAAAAGGUUUUUUUAAAAGAAGACGAAUCUUUAUAAAGGGGUUAAAACCGAAAUUUGAACGCAACCACAAAACAAAGUAAGAGGGGAGAGAAGGGGAGUUUCUAUCGCUCUAAAGACUCCAAGAGCACUCACAACUCAGAUGACACCACGCAUCAGAUGAUGCAAGAUGCCAUGAUGCAAACUACAUGAUGAUGCCACAAAAUAAAAUAACCACACGACGGAAACGAAAAUAAAGGGAAUCUUCUAGAACGUCGGCGUCGGGCUGUCACAACAACCAAGUGUUUGAUAUGUCAUGUGGCGAUGGACUAGCGCGGCAUUCCCUCUUCUAUUGUCGGAUGUCAAGGUGUGUUUGGGACAUAGUUGAUGAGGAGCUGACCAAUGCUAUCAUAUCAAACCACACAAAUGAUGUUAGGCUGGCCAUUGUGGGGGUAUCAUAGCUAGUAACAUAGUCUUGGGACUAGCAAACAUGGUGAUGUGACAAGUAAUUAAAGAAGAGAGAGAGGGUUAUAGUAACAUAGAUAGAUACCGUAUCACACUAGUGGGGACGGGGCCUUUAGCCCCGGCCCGUAAGGGGCUUUAGUCCCGGUUCACCAACCGGAACUAAAGGGGCGGGACUAAAGGCCUAACCUUUAGUCCCGGCCCUGUUUCAAGCCGGGACUAAAGGUGCUCCACGUGGGCGCCUCGUAGCGCCCCAGGGGAGGCCCUUUAGUCCCGGUUCAUUACACGGACCGGGACUAAAGAGUUUCAGAUUUUGUUUAUUUUUGGGGUUUUUUUUAAUGAAAUUAUUUUUUGGGUUUUAGGGUUUUAGGGUUUAGGUGUUCGGGAGAUUAACGUGAUGCCUCGUUUGGUGUUCGGGAAUUAGUUUUCAUAUAAUUUAAAUAGAAAUAAUUAUGCAUAUAUAUAUAUAAGAUUAACUUAUCUUACAAGCGAGCAUAUAUAUACAAUUAUAUGGAGAUCUGAAUUAUCGGGACUAGAGCCCGUCUAUUCGAUUACAUGGACGAACAUCAGUAAUGGCCCCUAGCUACACUAAAUCGUCCUUUGUCAUCUAUAGCUUCCGUCCUCAGAAAGGUCGCAAGCUCCUCUGCAACAGCAAUCGCGCGUUGCUCUGGUAGUACCUUCGUCCUCAUGGCUGUGUACUAUAUAAGAAGAGGAGAUGAAUAUGAAUAUCAAUCAUGAUAACAAAGAAUGACGGGGAAAAAUAGAGGUGUGAAUGUUCAUUGCUUACGUUGAAUCUGUGAUCCUUGUGCUCAGAGGUAAACGUGCGAAUGGUCUCGCAAACAUAGUAUCCGCAUAGAUGCAUUCCCCGUGGCUGCUGGUCGCACUUUACGAGAAUAGAAUACAUAUAAUCAAAAUAAUAAUCUAGCAUCAUAAAUGUAUUGAAAAUAGAAGUAAAUCAUACUACUACUUACCUGAGCCGUUCUAAAGGUCAGCUUCUCAGGCUCGAUACCGGGAGUCACGCACUUGAACCGCUUCCAAACCCUGCCCCACAAGGAUAAUGAUUUGCUAAGUUUUUCAUUAAUUGAUAUAUCAGAAAAUCAUCGAAAGAGACCGAUAGAGCGCAAGAAUGAUUGAAAUUACCCUUGGAGCAUGUCGUGCAGGCUUUGGAACUAUUCCAAGGGUCUCGAUAAUGGGUCGAAGGCAUCAACUCUUCCCUUAUCAAUUUGAGCAUAGUAUUCAAAGUAGGAGUACUUUUCCAAUUUGAGCAUUCAAUAAGCAAAACCAAAUCGUAAAAUAAAGUAGUAUUCAAAUUAGCAUGGAUUCAAUAAUAAGCAAAUACAUCAUCUCUUUUGUCCGUACAUCGUCGAAUAUUAUCACUAAUACUCCUCGAAUACUAUCAUACAUAUAACAUCAUUGAUACAUCUAGAACCGUAGCGCCCGACGGGUAUCGGCGCGGGCGGUGGACACCCAAAGAGAAGGAACCAUCACAGGAUCAUAGCUCCAGUGAGAUCCCCGAAGAACCUGCCAGGUAUGCUCGAACCUGCCCUCCAACGCAACCAUGUAGCGACGGACGUGCUCAUCCUCCUCGCUGACACGGUGACGUACCACCUCCGCGGUGUCCGGAAGCCUCGGCACCCUCACUGGCCCAUGCGACCGCCACCAAACAAGGAUCGGGUCAACGACGGGCUGGCUCCUCACCAACCUACGCCCCCCGGAAGGUAGCACCUCCCAAUACCAGCCGGGCAGAGCCCAGUCCCGGACAGGGCCACUCUGAUCAAGCAGGUGUCCUCCGCCGAGUCGACGACGAGGAUGCGGGAUAGGCAUCGUAAAAUGAACUAAAAAAUAAACUAGUUCUAUUAAUUUUCUUGCUAAAAAUAAACUAUUAACACUUAAGCAUAUACAAUAGGAGAAUUAAACUAUUAACACUUAAGCAUAUACAAUAGCAAAAUUAAGCAAUAAUCUAAGAAACACUAUUAACACUUAAGCAUAUACACUAUACAAUAGCAAAAUUAAAUGACAAAAAAAAUAUUUCUUCUUGUUGUAACCCUAAACUAAUUUUUCCUCUUCUUCUAUUUCUCCUCUUCUUCUACUUCUUUUUCUACUUCUACUUCUCCUCUUCUUCUACUACUUCUCCUCUUCUCUUCUUCUACUUCUCCUCUCCUCCUCUUCUAAUUUUUUUCCUCUUCUUCUACUUCUCCUCUUCUUCUAUUUUUCCUCUUCUUCUCCUGUCCUCCUCUUCUUAUUCUCCUUUUUCUUGUUUUCUUCUCCUCCUCUUCUUAUUUUCCUUUUUCCUAAUUCUAAAUAUUACUAACCCUAAUAAUCUAGCACAAACCUAAUAACAAUAGGAAUUAAAUGACAAAAAAAAUCUUUUUCUUCUUUUCUUCCCUUUUUCUUCCUUUCUUCUCCUUUUUCUUCCUUUCUUCUCCUUUUUCUUCUCCUUUUUCUUCUUUUCUUCUACUGGCCGGAGUGUUGGGGAGGAGGGGGCGGGGGGCUUACCGGCCGGAGGUGUCGACGGUGCGCGGCGAGGAGGAGGGCGGCGCACGGCGAGGAGGACGAUAGCGACGGCGAGGAGGACGGCACGCGGCGGCAAGCAGGACGGCAGGCAGCCUGACGGCGUCGUCGAGUUCGUCGCUGUGCCGCGCCGGGCAGGAGAACGAGGAAGAAGGAGAGAAGGAAAUGCGAUUUGGGCUGGAAAUUUUCUAACUCCCGCUUAUAUAGGUGGAUCUUUAGUCCCGGUUCGGGGCUCGCUCCUGGACUAAAGNNNNNNNNNNNNNNNNNNNNNNNNNNNNNNNNNNNNNNNNNNNNNNNNNNNNNNNNNNNNNNNNNNNNNNNNNNNNNNNNNNNNNNNNNNNNNNNNNNNNNNNNNNNNNNNNNNNNNNNNNNNNNNNNNNNNNNNNNNNNNNNNNNNNNNNNNNNNNNNNNGGACUAAAGCCCCUCCUCGGUUGCACGAUAAGUUUAGUCCCACCUCGCCCAGCGAGGGGGACUAACACUUGAUUAUAACCCCCGUCGCAGCUUCUCCAUCGACCUCCUCUCUAAAGCAGGCUUACGGGCCUAAACUGACUGAAAAUUGAAACUAUAUUCGAAAUUAUGGAGAAAAUUCAACCUGAAUUCAAAGUGAGUUCAAUUUGAAUUUAGAUUGAAUUUUCUCUAUAAAUUCUCAUAUAGUUUCAAAUUUUUUCUAUUUUCAUAAUUAAUAAUUUUGACUAUCCAAACUAUUAUCUAUUUUGUUAUUUUCAAUUAAAAACUAUGUUUAUUAAAAAUUCUUUUUGCAUANNNNNNNNNNNNNNNNNNNNNNNNNNNNNNNNNNNNNNNNNNNNNNNNNNNNNNNNNNNNNNNNNNNNNNNNNNNNNNNNNNNNNNNNNNNNNNNNNNNNUUUGUUUAUAAUUACUUAUUAAAUUUAUUUUAUGAUAAUUUUUUUUGCUAUUAAAGUUUCUAACAAAAAAAGUUCUUUAUGAAAAUUCUUUUUGCUUUUAAUGAUUUUGAACAGAAAAUACUUUGAUAAUUUUAGUUGCAUAAAUUUUAUAUAAUUUUAGUUUCAAUAAUACUAGAAGUUGCUUAUAAUGUUUUGAAUAGAAAAUACUUUGAUAAUUUUAGUUUCACAAAUUUUAUUUAUGUUAUUAAAGUUUUUUUUGUCUCUACUUAUCUAUUUUAUUAAAGUUUAUAUUAUUUUGUUUCAAAUUACUUAUUUAUUUUAUUUUGUUUUGUUUCUCACUUCAUUUGUUAUUUUUCAUGCAUUUACUGAUUAUUUUCAGCUAUAAGACCAUGAAAUUGAAAGGCAUUUGAAAUGAACUCUGAANAGGUUCCAAGUUGGCAUGGUAUCAUCAUUUCACCCACAUAGCAUGUGCAAGAAAGUAGAGAGGCUUACGGCAAAAACUGGAUGCACUUCGUGUANNNNNNNNNNNNNNNNNNNNNNNNNNNNNNNNNNNNNNNNNNNNNNNNNNNNNNNNNNNNNNNNNNNNNNNNNNNNNNNNNNNNNNNNNNNNNNNNNNNNUUCAUGCAUUUACUGAUUAUUUUCAGCUAUAAGACCAUGAAAUUGUAAUGUAUUUGAAAUGAACUCUGAAAAGGUUCCAAGUUGGCAUGGUAUCAUCAUUUCACCCACAUAGCAUGUGCAAGAAAGUAGAGAGGCUUACGGCAAAAACUAGAUGCACUUCGUAUACAAAACGGACAAUCUCCUUCGAAGUAUAAGGGUUUCAUACGGAAACUCGUGUGUUACAAAGGGAUUUCAAUUUUUUUAACUUAUUUGAACCCCCUUGUUUUUCUGUGUUCAAAAUGUACCAUUCAAAGCCACAUCAUCAAUUUACAACCCUUUCUGACUUCAUUUGUUAUUUUUCAUGCAUUUACUGAUUAUUUUCACCUAUAAGACCAUGAAAUUGAAAAGCAUUUGAAAUGAACUCUCGAAAGGUUCCAAGUUGGCAUGGUAUCAUCAUUUCACCCACAUAGCAUGUNNNNNNNNNNNNNNNNNNNNNNNNNNNNNNNNNNNNNNNNNNNNNNNNNNNNNNNNNNNNNNNNNNNNNNNNNNNNNNNNNNNNNNNNNNNNNNNNNNNNNNNNNNNNNNNNNNNNNNNNNNNNNNNNNNNNNNNNNNNNNNNNNNNNNNNNNNNNNNNNNNNNNNNNNNNNNNNNNNNNNNNNNNNNNNNNNNNNNNNNNNNNNNNNUUUACAAAGGGAUUUCAUUUUUUUGAACUUAUUUUAACCCCCUUGAUUUUCUGUGUUCAAAAUGCACCAUUCAAAGCCACAUCAUCAAUUUACAACCCUUUCUGACUUCAUUUGUUAUUUUUAUGCAUUUAUUGAUUAUUUUCAGCUAUAAGACCAUGAAUUUGUAAAGCAUUUGAAAUGAACUCUGAAAAGGUUCCAAGUUGGCAUGGUAUCAUCAUNNNNNNNNNNNNNNNNNNNNNNNNNNNNNCCAGCUAUAAGACCAUGAAAUUGAAAAGCAUUGAAAUGAACUCUGAAAAGGUUCCAAGUUGGCAUGGUAUCAUCAUUUCACCCACAUAGCAUGUGCAAGAAAGUAGAGAGGCUUACGGCAAAAACUGGAUGCACUUCGUGUACAAAACGGACAAUCUCCUUCGAAGUAUCAGGGUUUAAUACAGAAACUCGUCUGUUACAAAGGGAUUUCAAUUUUUUUUAACUUAUUUGAACCCCCUUGUUUUUCUGUGUUCAAAAUGCAUAAUUAAAAGCCACAUCAUCAAUUUACAACCCUUUCUGACUUCAUUUGUUAUUUNNNNNNNNNNGUACAAAACGGACAAUCUCCUUCGAAGUAUCACAGUUUCAUACGGAAACUCGUCUGUUACAAAGGGAUUCCAAUUUUUUUGAACUUAUUUGAACCCCCUUGUUUUUUUGUGUUAAAAAUGCACCAUUCAAAGCCACAUCAUCAAUUUACAACCCUUUCUGACNNNNNNNNNNNNNNNNNNNNNNNNNNNNNNNNNNNNNNNNNNNNNNNNNNNNNNNNNNNNNNNNNNNNNNNNNNNNNNNNNNNNNNNNNNNNNNNNNNNNACCCCCCUUUAGUCCCGGGUGGAGCCACGACCCGGGACUAAAGGCCCUUUUUCGGCUGACCAGAAGGCGGGAAGCAGGGGCCUUUAGUCCCGGGGCGUGGCUCCACCCGGGACUAAAGCCCCUCCUCGGUUGCACGAUAAGUUUAGUCCCACCUCGCCCAGCGAGGGGGACUAACACUUGAUUAUAACCCCCGUCGCAGCUUCUCCAUCGACCUCCUCUCUAAAGCAGGCUUACGGGCCUAAACUGACUGAAAAUUGAAACUAUAUUCGAAAUUAUGGAGAAAAUUCAACCUGAAUUCAAAGUGAGUUCAAUUUGAAUUUAGAUUGAAUUUUCUCUAUAAAUUCUCAUAUAGUUUCAAAUUUUUUCUAUUUUCAUAAUUAAUAAUUUUGACUAUCCAAACUAUUAUCUAUUUUGUUAUUUUCAAUUAAAAANNNNNNNNNNUUUUAAAAGUAAUUAUUUUGACUAUCCAAACUAUUAACUAUUUUGUUAUUUACAAUUAAAAANNNNNNNNNNGUUCAAAAGUAAUUAUUUUGACUAUCCAAACUAUUAUCUAUUUUGUUAUUUUCAAUUAAAAACUAUGUUUAUUCAAAUUCUUUUUGCAUAUUUGAGAAUUUGACAAAACUAUGAUAAUGAAAAGUGUUUGAAAUUGAAUAAAUAAUGCAAAACUAUUUUNNNNNNNNNNNNNNNNNNNNNNNNNNNNNNNNNNNNNNNNNNNNNNNNNNNNNNNNNNNNNNNNNNNNNNNNNNNNNNNNNNNNNNNNNNNUAUUUUUUUUUAGCUAGUUGACCCUGAAAUUGAAAAGCACUACAAAUGAACUCUGAAAAUGUUGAAAGUUGGCAUGCUAUCAUCAUUUCACCCACAUAGAAUGUGUUAAAAAGUUGAGAGGGCUACGACAAAAACUGGAAGCACUUCGUGUACAAAACGGAAAAUCUCUCUCGAAGUAUCAACGUUUCGAACGAGAACUCAUCUCUUACAACGGGAUUUCAUUUUUUGAACUUAUUUGAACUCCAUACUUUUUGUGUGUUCAAAAUGCANNNNNNNNNNNNNNNNNNNNNNNNNNNNNNNNNNNNNNNNNNNNNNNNNNNNNNNNNNNNNNNNNNNNNNNNNNNNNNNNNNNNNNNNNNNNNNNNNNNNAAUACUUGACACGCAGAAAACAGUAGCAACAAAAUGACACGAUCAACAUGCUACAUCUAUUAGUUUGGGUCUAGUCCAUCACGUGAUUCUCCCAAUGACGUGAUCCAGUUAUCAAGCAACAACACCUUGUUCAUAAUCAGAAGACACUGACUAUCAUCGUUCAACUGGCUAGCCAACUAGAGGCAUGCUAGGGACGGUGUUUUGUCUAUGUAUCCACACAUGUAAAUGAGUCUUCAUUCAAUACAAUUAUAGCAUGGAUAAUAAACUAUUAUCUUGAUACAGGAAUUAUAAUAAUAAUUAUACAUUUAUUAUUGCCUCUAGGGCAUAAUUCCAACAUCUCUCGCCCGGAGGCGCUUUGGGAUUGGCGAGCACGAGCGGCGCUCUCGGCGAGGCUGGGCGCCGGGGCGACGACCCCGGCUUGGACCUGCGGUGGUGACGGCAGCGGUGGCCGCGGGGACCGCGCCUCGGCGCGUAGAGGUGGCUGGGAAGGCUUGACCCCUUGUGGGCAGGACUCGAUCUGGCUCAGCCAUAUCUGGUUUCCGGGACUGCAGGCGGUGCNNNNNNNNNNNNNNNNNNNNNNNNNNNNNNNNNNNNNNNNNNNNNNNNNNNNNNNNNNNNNNNNNNNNNNNNNNNNNNNNNNNNNNNNNNNNNNNNNNNNAAACCCUUAUAAAUAACUGUUUUUUUACAGUUUGCGAAUAAAAAAACGCAUAGACUAGAACCCCUUAACCCUCAAACCCUUAAAAAAAAUUUGAGGAUCCAACCCUCAAACUCCCUCUCAACCUGUAGAAGUGAGGGUUGGAGAGCGAAAACUACCCCAACCCUCAAACCGUUCCAUCGUCGCGCGGGAGGGACUUUUCCCCGUCCCCAACUGCCGCCGCCAUUCCGACCACCGCCGCCGCCCCAUGCUGCCGCCGCGCCCCGCCGCCCCGAGCCGCCGCCGCGCCGUGCCCCACGGCCGCCCGCCGCGAGGCCGGCCCCAGGCCUCCUUGAGCUCUCCUCGCCGCCGCGCCAGAGGCGAGGCGGGCCAGAGGCAGCCGCGCCGCCACGAGCUCUCCUGUUUUUGCCCCUGUUUUUGUUAUAAGGGUUGGGUUUGAGGGUUCUAGUCUUUGCCCCUGUUUUUCAACCCUUAAAAGUGCCAAAAAAUGCAAAUUCUCAACCCUUAAAACUGGUUUGAGGGUUUGAGGGUACUCCUAAAGAUGCUCUCAGAUGAUGCCUCCAACCAUUUCAGGUAAAGACAUCCUUGUCCUUCUGUUCCAUCCACGUACACACGGCUAUAAACAGUUGUUAGUGUUCAGAUCACUGAAGAAUAGACUACAAAGGGACCCAUUGCGUAGACUUCUAGAUAACCUGUAGCAAAGAGAAAUCUGACUUAUAACUAAUUUGUUUUCGAAAAGAAGGAUUACUCCCGGCUAAGCCUGGGCAUACCCCGGGCCGGGCCGGGCCGGGCNNNNNNNNNNNNNNNNNNNNNNNNNNNNNNNNNNNNNNNNNNNNNNNNNNNNNNNNNNNNNNNNNNNNNNNNNNNNNNNNNNNNNNNNNNNNNNNNNNNNCUUCUUUUCUUCUCCUUCCCUUUUUCUUCCUUUCUUCUCCUUUUUCUUCCUUUCUUCUCCUUUUUCUUCUUUUCUUCUCCUUUUUCUUCUUUUCUUCUACUGGCCGGAGUGUUGGGGAGGGGCGGGGGGCUUACCGGCCGGAGGAGGGGGCGGGGGGCUUACUACCCGGAGGUGUCGACGGCGCGCGGCGAGGAGGACGGCGGCGACGGCGAGGAGGACGGCAGGCGGNNNNNNNNNNNNNNNNNNNNNNNNNNNNNNNNNNNNNNNNNNNNNNNNNNNNNNNNNNNNNNNNNNNNNNNNNNNNNNNNNNNNNNNNNNNNNNNNNNNNNNNNNNNNNNNNNNNNNNNNNNNNNNNNNNNNNNNNNNNNNNNNNNNNNNNNNNNNNNNNNNNNNNNNNNNNNNNNNNNNNNNNNNNNNNNNNNNNNNNNNNNNNNNNNNNNNNNNNNNNNNNNNNNNNNNNNNNNNNNNNNNNNNNNNNNNNNNNNNNNNNNNNNNNNNNNNNNNNNNNNNNNNNNNNNNNNNNNNNNNNNNNNNNNNNNNNNNNNNNNNNNNNNNNNNNNNNNNNNNNNNNNNNNNNNNNNNNNNNNNNNNNNNNNNNNNNNNNNNNNNNNNNNNNNNNNNNNNNNNNNNNNNNNNNNNNNNNNNNNNNNNNNNNNNGGGACUAAAGCCCCUCCUCGGCUGCACGAUAAGUUUAGUCCCACCUCGCCGAGCGAGGGGGACAAACACUUGUUUAUAAGCCCCGUCGCAGCUUCUCCAUCGAGCUCCUCUCUAAAGUAGGCUUACGGGCCUAACCUAACUGAAAAUUGAAACUAUAUUCGAAAUUAUGGAGAAAAUUCAACCUGAAUUCAAAGUGAGUUCACUUCGAAUUUAGGUUGAAUUUUCUCUAUAAAUUCUCAUAUAGUUUCAAUUUUUUUCUAUUUUCAAAAUUAAUUAUUUUGACUAUCCAAAUUAUUAUCUAUUUUGUUANNNNNNNNNNNNNNNNNNNNNNNNNNNNNNNNNNNNNNNNNNNNNNNNNNNNNNNNNNNNNNNNNNNNNNNNNNNNNNNNNNNNNNNNNNNNNNNNNNNNNUAAAGACCCCCUUUAGUCCCGGGUCGAGCCACGACUAGGGACUAAAGACCCCUUUUCGUCAGGCGGAGUGGCGGGAAACGAGGUUCUUUAGUCCCGGGUCGUAUCUCGACCCGGGACUAAAGGUGGUAAGUUUUAGUCCCACCUCGCUUGUCAAGAGGCGGUGCAACUAGUUUAUAAGCCCCACCGCCCCGAACCGUCUCGAGCUCUUCUCUAAAGCAGACUUACUGGCCUAAACGCACUCUAAAUUUAAAAAUGAAAAAAUAUAUAUGAAAUUAAAGACAAAAUUCAACCUAAAUUCAAAGUGACUUUGAAUCACUUUGAAUUUGGCUUGAAUUUUCUCUAUAAAUUUUCAUAUAGUUUCAAAUUUUCCAUUAUUUUUGUUUUGUUCUUUGCUUUAUUUAUUUUGUUUUUUUCUACUUACAACUAAAUAUUAAGUUUUCAAAUUUAAAAUUCUUUGAAAUUUGUGAAUACCUUUACUUUCAUUUUUUGCUAUUAAAGAUUAUUUUUUCUCUUCUAUUUUAGUUUACUAUUAAAGAUUUUUACCAGAAAACUUUAUGAAAACUCUUUUGAGCCUAAACGCACUCUGAAUUUAAAAAUUUGAAAUAUAUGUGAAAUUCAAGAUAAAAUUCAACCUAAAUUCAAAGUGAAUCACCUUGAAUUUGGGUUGAGUUUUCUCUAUAAAUUCUCAUAUAGUUUUAAUUUUUUUCCAUUAUUUUUAUUUUGUUCUUUGCUUUAUUUAUUUUGUUUUUUUCUACUUACAGCUAAAUAUUUAGAUUUCAAAUUUUAAUUCUUUUGAGUUGAUCUUUUUAUUGUUUAUUUUUAGUUAAUGUUUUACUUAAAUCUUUUAAACAAAUAAGCACUUUGAUAAUUUUAGUUGAUUAUUUUUAAUUCAUUCAUUUUAUUUAAUGUUUUAGUCGAUUCUUUUUAGUUAACUCUUUUUUUCUAUGAAAUAUUUUAACAAAUUUUUAACAAUUUGUAACUUCAUUUGGUAUUUUUCGUGCAUUUACUUUUUUUUGGCUAGUUGACCCUAAAAUUGAAGAACACUACAAACGAACUCUGAAAAUGUUGAGAGCUCGCAUGCUAUUAUCAUUUCACCCACAUAGCAUGUGCUAAAAAGUUGAGAAGGUUAUGACAAAAACUUGAUGCUCUUCGUGUACGAAAUGGAUAAUCUCUCUCGAAGUAUCAGGGUUUCGAAUGAGAACUCAUCUGUUACAAAGGAAUUUCAUUUUUUGAACUUAUUUGAACNNNNNNNNNNNNNNNNNNNNNNNNNNNNNNNNNNNNNNNNNNNNNNNNNNNNNNNNNNNNNNNNNNNNNNNNNNNNNNNNNNNNNNNNNNNNNNNNNNNNCCAUACUUUUUGUGUGUUCAAAAUGCAUCAUUCAAAGGCACAUCACAAAUUUUCAACAAUUUCUGACUUCAUUUGGUUUUUUUCAUGUAUUUACUUAUUAUUUUUGAGCUAGUUGACCCUGAAAUUGAAUAGCAGUACAAAUAAACUCUGAAAAUGUUGAAAGUUGGCAUGGUAUCAUCAUUUCACCCACAUAGCAUGUGCUAAAAAGUUGAGAGGGUUACGAUAAAAACUGGAUGCACUUCGUGUACAAAACGGACAAUCUCUCUCGAAGUAUGAGAGUUUUGAACGAGAACUAAUCUGUUACAAAGAGAUUUCAUUUUUUGAACUUAUUUAAACUCCAUACUUUUUGUGUGUUCAAAAUGCACCAUUCAAAGGCACAUCACAAAUUUUCAACAAUUUCUGACUUCAUUUGGUAUUUUUCGUGCAUUUACUUAUUUGUUUUUGAGCUAGUUGACCGUGAAAUUAAAAAGCACUACAAAUGAACUCUAAAAAUGUUGAAAGUUGGCAUGGUAUCAUAAUUUCACCCACAUAGCAUGUGCUAAAAAGUUGAGAGGGUUACGACAAAAACUGGAUGCACUUCGUGUACAAAACGGAUAAUCUCUCUCGAAAUAUGAGGGUUUCGAAACUCAUCUCUUACAAAGGGAUGCAUUUUUUUAAACUUAUUUGAACUCCANNNNNNNNNNNNNNNNNNNNNNNNNNNNNNNNNNNNNNNNNNNNNNNNNNNNNNNNNNNNNNNNNNNNNNNNNNNNNNNNNNNNNNNNNNNNNNNNNNNNGGGACGUGAGGACGUUCCACUACAUCAACCGCGUUCACUAACGCUUCUGCUGUACGAUCUACAAGGGUACGUAGAUCACUCAUCCCCUCUCGUAGAUGGACAUCACCAUGAUAGGUCUUCGUGCGCGUAGGAAAAUUUUUGUUUCCCAUGCGACGUUCCCCAAGAGUGGCAUCAUGAGCUAGGUUCAUGCGUAGAUGUCUUCUCGAGUAGAACACAAAAGGUUUUGUGGGCGGUGAUGUGCGUUUUGCUGCCCUCCUUAGUCUUUUCUUGAUUCCGCGAUAUUGUUGGAUUGAAGCGGCUUGGACCGACAUUACUCGUACGCUUACGAGAGACUGGUUUCAUCGUUAGGAGUACCCCCCUUGCUCAAAGAUGACUGGCAAGUGACGGUUUCUCCAACUUUACUUGAAUCGGAUUUGACCGAGGAGGUCCUUGGAUGAGGUUAAAUAGCAACUCAUAGAUCUCCGUUGUGGUGUUUGCGUAAGUAAGAUGCAAUCCUACAAGAUACCUUUGGUCACCACGUAAAACAUGCAACAACAAAAUUAGAGGACGUCUAACUUGUUUUUGCAGGGUAUGAUUGUGAUGUGAUAUGGCCAAUGAUGUGAUGUGAUAUAUUGGAUGUAUGAGAUGAUCAUGUUGUAAUAGAAAUAUCGACUUGCACGUUGAUGGUACGGCAACCGGCAGGAGCCAUAGGGUUGUCUUUAUACUAACGUUUGUGCUUGCAGAUGCGUUUACCAUUUUGCUAGGAUGUAGCUUUAGUAGUAAUAGCAUAACUAGCACGACAAACCCGAUGGCAACACGUUGAUGGAUGAUCAUGGUGUGGCGCUGGUGACAAGAAGAUCGUGCCGGUGCUUAGGUGAUGGAGAUCAAGAAGCACGUGAUGAUGGCCAUAUCAUGUCACUUAUGAAUUGCAUGUGAUGUUAAUCCUUUUAUGCACCUUAUUUUUCUUAGAACGACGGUAGCAUUAUGAGGUGAUCUCUCACUAAAAUUUCAAGACGAAAUUGUGUUCUCCCCGACUGUGCACCGUUGCUACAGUUCGUCAUUUCGAGACACCACGUGAUGAUCGGGUGUGAUAGACUCAACGUUCACAUACAACGGGUGCAAAACAGUUGCGCACGCGGAACACUCGGGUUAAGCUUGACGAGCCUAGCAUGUGUAGACAUGGCCUCGGAACACAUGAGACCGAAAGGUCGAUCAUGAAUCAUAUAGUUGAUAUGAUUAGCAUAGGGAUGCUUACCACUGAAACUACUCUCGACUCACGUGAUGAUCGGACUUGGGAUAGUGUAAGUGGAUCAUGAACCACUCAAAUGACUAGAGAGAUGUACUUUUUGAGUGGGAGUUUAGCAUAUAAUUUGAUUAAGUUGAACUCUAAUUAUCUUGAACAUAGUCUAAGUCCAAUUUGAAUAUAUUUGUGUUGUAGAUCAUGGCUCACCCAAGUGUCAUCCUGAAUUUUAAUACGUUCCUAGAGAAAGCUAAGUUGAAAGAUGAUGGAAGCAACUUUGUAGACUGGGCUCGUAAUCUUAAGCUAAUCUUACAAGCUGGAAAGAAGGAUUAUGUCCUUAAUGCUGCGCUAGGAGAUGAACCACCCGCUACGGCUGAUCAGGAUGUUAAGAACGCUUGGUUAGCGCGUAAGGAGGACUACUCAAUAGUUCAAUGUGCAGUCUUGUAUGGCUUAGAACCGGGACUUCAACGUCGCUUUGAGCGUCAUGGAGCAUUUGAGAUGUUCCAGGAGUUUAAAUUUAUCUUUCAGAAGAACGCCCGGAUCGAGAGGUAUGAGACCUCCGAUAAAUUCUAUGCUUGCAAGAUGGAGGAAAACUCGUCUGUCAGUGAACAUGUGCUCAAAAUGUCUGGGUACUCAAACCGUCUAGCUGAACUGGGGAUUGAACUCCCGCAAGAAGCUAUCACUGACAGAAUCCUUCAAUCACUGCCGCCAAGCUAUAAAGGCUUUGUGUUGAACUACAACAUGCAAGGGAUGAACAAGUCUCCCGGCGAGUUGUUUGCGAUGCUGAAAGUCGCAGAGUCUGAACUCCGUAAAGAGCAUCAAGUGUUGAUGGUGAGCAAGACCACUAGUUUCAAGAGAAACGGCAAAGGCAAUAAGGGCAAUUCGAAGAAGAGCGGCAAGCCUGUUGCCAAUCCGCCAAAGAAACCCAAGGCUGGACCUAAGCCUGAAACAGAGUGCUUCUAUUGCAAGGGUAUGGGUCACUGGAAGCGCAAUUGCCCCAAGUAUCUGGCAGAUAAGAAGGCGGGCAAAGAAAAAUCAGGUAUAUUUGAUAUACAUGUUAUUGAUGUGUACUUAACCGGCUCUCGUAGUAGUGCCUGGGUAUUCGAUACCGGUUCUGUUGCUCACAUUUGCAACUCGAAGCAGGAACUGCGGAAUAGACGAAGGCUGGCGAAAGACGAAGUGACGAUGCGCGUAGGAAAUGGUUCCAAGGUUGAUGCAAUCGCCGUCGGCACAGUGUCACUUCAACUACCAUCGGGAUUAGUGAUGAACUUAAAUCAUUGUUAUUUAGUGCCUGCGUUGAGCAUGAACAUUAUAUCUGGAUCUUGUUUAUUGCGAGACGGUUACUCUUUUAAGUCUGAGAAUAAUGGUUGUUCUAUUUCUAUGAGUAACAUCUUUUAUGGUCAUGCACCGAAUGUGAGAGGAUUGUUCAUAUUGAAUCUCGAUAGCGAUACGCAUAUACAUAACAUUGAGACCAAAAGACUUAGAGUAAACAAUGAUAGCGCCAUAUUUUUGUGGCACUGCCGCUUGGGUCAUAUUGGUGUAAAGCGCAUGAAGAAACUCCAUGCUGAUGGACUUUUGGAGUCACUUGACUUUGAUUCACUUGACACGUGCGAACCAUGCCUCAUGGGCAAGAUGACUAAGACUCCGUUCUCCGGAACAAUGGAGCGUGCAAGUGACUUGUUGGAAAUCAUACAUACCGAUGUGUGUGGUCCGAUGAGCGUGGAGGCACGCGGCGGAUAUCGUUAUUUUCUCACCUUCACUGACGAUUUAAGUAGAUAUGGUUAUGUCUACUUGAUGAAGCACAAGUCUGAAACAUUUGAAAAGUUCAAGCAAUUUCAGAGUGAAGUGGAAAAUCAUCGUAACAAGAAGAUCAAGUUCCUACGGUCUGAUCGUGGGGGUGAAUAUCUGAGUUUCGAGUUUGGUACUCACUUAAGACAAUGUGGAAUUGUUUCGCAGUUAACACCGCCUGGAACACCACAGCGUAAUGGUGUGUCCGAACGUCGUAAUCGUACUUUGUUAGAGAUGGUGCGAUCUAUGAUGUCUCUUACUGAUUUGCCGUUAUCAUUUUGGGGUUAUGCAUUAGAAACAGCUGCAUUCACUUUAAAUAGGGCACCAUCAAAAUCCGUUGAGACGACACCAUACGAACUGUGGUAUGGCAAAAGACCAAAGUUGUCGUUUCUUAAAGUUUGGGGAUGUGAUGCUUAUGUCAAAAAGCUUCAGCCUGAAAAGCUGGAACCCAAAGCAGAAAAGUGCGUCUUCAUAGGUUACCCAAAAGAGACAGUUGGGUACACCUUCUAUCUCAAAUCCGAGGGCAAAGUGUUUGUUGCUAAGAACGGAACUUUUCUCGAGAAGGAGUUUCUCUCGAGAGAAUUGAGUGGGAGGAAGAUAGAACUUGACGAGGUUGUCGAACCUCUCAUCCCUCUGGAUGGUGGCACAGGGCAAGGGGAAACCUCUGUCGUUGCGUCGCCGGUUGAGGAGGAAGUUAAUGAUGAUGAUCAUGAAACUCUAGUUCAAGUUUCUGUUGAACCACACAGGUCGACGAGAUCACGCGCUGCUCUAGAGUGGUACGGUAAUCCCGUCUUAUCAAUCAUGUUGUUAGACAACAAUGAACCUGCAAAUUAUGAAGAAGCAAUGGUGGGCCUAGAUUCCAACAAAUGGCUAGAAGCCAUGAAAUCCGAGAUAGGAUCCAUGUAUGAGAACAAAGUGUGGACUUUGGAGAUACUACCUGAGGGCCGCAAGGCUAUUCAGAACAAAUGGAUUUUUAAGAAGAAGACGGACGCUGACAGUAAUGUGACCAUUUAUAAAGCUCGACUUGUGGCAAAGGGUUUUUCACAAGUUCCAGGAGUUGACUACGAUGAGACCUUCUCACCCGUAGCGAUGCUUAAAUCUGUCAGAAUCAUGUUAGCAAUAGCUGCAUUUUUCGAUUAUGAAAUCUGGCAGAUGGAUGUCAAAACGGCGUUCCUUAACGGUUUCCUUAAGGAAGAGUUGUAUAUGAUGCAACCCGAAGGUUUUGUCGAUCCUAAAAAUGCUGACAAGGUGUGCAAGCUCCAGCGAUCCAUUUAUGGACUGGUGCAAGCAUCUCGGAGUUGGAACAAACGCUUUGAUGAGGUGAUCAAAGCAUUUGGGUUUAUACAAGUGGUUGGAGAAUCUUGUAUUUACAAGAAAGUGAGUGGGAGCUCUGUGGCGUUUCUAAUAUUAUAUGUGGAUGACAUAUUACUGAUUGGAAACAACGUAGAGCUUUUGGAGAGCAUAAAAGGUUACUUAAAUAAAAGUUUCUCUAUGAAGGACCUAGGAGAAGCUGCUUACAUUCUAGGCAUUAAGAUCUAUAGGGAUAGAUCAAAACGCCUGAUACGACUUUCACAAAGCACAUACCUUGAUAAAGUUUUGAAGAGGUUCAAAAUGGAACAGUCCAAGAAAGGGUUCUUGCCAGUGUUACAAGGUACGAGAUUGAGUAAGACUCAGUGCCCAGCAACUGAUGAAGAUAGAGAGCAUAUGCGCUCCGUCCCCUAUGCUUCAGCCAUAGGUUCUAUCAUGUAUGCGAUGUUGUGCACUAGACCGGAUGUUAGCCUGGCCAUAAGUAUGGCAGGCAGGUUCCAGAGUAAUCCAGGAGUGGAUCACUGGACAUCGGUCAAGAAUAUCCUGAAGUACCUGAAAAGGACUAAGGAGAUGUUUCUCGUGUAUGGAGGUGAUGAAGAGCUCGCCGUAAAAGGUUACGUCGAUGCAAGCUUUGACACAGAUCCGGAUGACUCUAAGUCGCAAACCGGAUACGUAUUUAUUCUUAAUGGGGGUGCAGUAAGCUGGUGCAGUUCCAAGCAAAGCGUCGUAGCAGAUUCUACAUGUGAAGCGGAGUACAUGGCUGCCUCGGAGGCGGCUAAGGAGGGUGUCUGGAUGAAGCAGUUCAUGACGGAUCUUGGAGUGGUGCCAAGUGCACUGGAUCCAAUAACCUUGUUCUGUGACAACACUGGUGCCAUUGCCUUAGCAAAGGAACCAAGGUUUCACAAGAAGACCAGACACAUCAAACGACGCUUCAACCUCAUUCGCGACUACGUCGAGGAGGAGGACGUAAAUAUAUGCAAAGUGCACACGGAUCUGAAUGUAGCAGACCCGCUGACUAAACCUCCUCCACGGCCAAAACAUAAUCGACACCAGAACUGUAUUGGUGUUAGAUUUAUUACAAUGUAAUUCACAUGAUAAUGUGAGGGCUAGAUUAUUGACUCUAAUGCAAGUGGGAGACUGUUGGAAUUAAGCCCUAGAGGCAAUAAUAAAUGUAUAAUUAUUAUUAUAAUUCCUGUAUCAAGAUAAUAGUUUAUUAUCCAUGCUAUAAUUGUAUUGAAUGAAGACUCAUUUACAUGUGUGGAUACAUAGACAAAACACCGUCCCUAGCAUGCCUCUAGUUGGCUAGCCAGUUGAUCGAUGAUAGUCAGUGUCUUCUGAUUAUGAACAAGGUGUUGUUGCUUGAUAACUGGAUCACGUCAUUGGGGGAAUCACGUGAUGGACUAGACCCAAACUAAUAGACGUAGCAUGUUGAUCGUGUCAUUUUGUUGCUACUGUUUUCAGCGUGUCAAGUAUUUAUNNNNNNNNNNNNNNNNNNNNNNNNNNNNNNNNNNNNNNNNNNNNNNNNNNNNNNNNNNNNNNNNNNNNNNNNNNNNNNNNNNNNNNNNNNNNNNNNNNNNCCUCACGUCCCUCGAUCCGCCCCGCGAACAAUCCCGCGAUCAGUCCCACGAUCUAGUACCGAACGGACGGCACCUCCGCGUUCAGCACACGUACAGCUCGACGAUGAUCUCGACCUUCUUGAUCCAGCAAGAGAGACGGAGAGGUAGAAGAGUUCUCUGGCAGCGUGACGGUGCUCCGGAGGUUGGUGAUGAUCUCGUCUCAGCAGGGCUCCGCCCGAGCUCCGCAGAAACGCGAUCUAGAGGAAAAACUAUGGAGGUAUGUGGUCGGGCAGCCGUGAGAAAGUCGUCUCAAAUCUGCCCUAAAAGCCCCAUAUAUAUAGGAGGAGGGAGGGGAACCUUGCCUUGGGGUCCAAGGGACCCUCAAGGGGUCGGCCGAGCCAAGGGGGGGAGGACUCCCCCCCCAAACCGAGUUGGACUUGGUUUGGUGGGAGGAGUCCCCCUCCCUUCCCACUUCUUCCCUCUUUUUUUCUUUUCCUUUGAUUUCCUUUCCUUGGCGCAUAGGCCCCCUUGGGACUGUCCCACCAGCCCACUAAGGGCUGGUGUGUCUCCCCAAAGCCUAUGGGCUUCCCCGGGGUGGGUUGCCCCCCCCGCUGAACUCCCGGAACCCAUUCGUCAUUCCCGGUACAUUCAUGGUAACUCCGAAAACCUUCCGGUAAUCAAAUGAGGUCAUCCUAUAUAUCAUUCUUCGUUUCCGGACCAUUCCGGAAACCCUCGUGACGUCCGUGAUCUCAUCCGGGACUCCUAACAACAUUCGGUAACCAACCAUAUAACUCAAAUACACAUAAAACAACGUCGAACCUUAAGUGUGCAGACCCUGCGGGUUCGAGAACUAUGUAGACAUGACCCGAGAGACUCCUCGGUCAAUAUCCAAUAGCGGGACCUGGAUGCCCAUAUUGGAUCCUACAUAUUCUACGAAGAUCUUUAUCGUUUGAACCUUAGUGCCAAGGAUUCGUAUAAUCCCGUAUGUCAUUCCCUUUGUCCUUCGGUAUGUUACUUGCCCGAGAUUCGAUCGUCAGUAUCCGUAUACCUAUUUCAAUCUCGUUUACCGGCAAGUCUCUUUACUCGUUCCGUAAUACAAGAUCCCGCAACUUACACUAAGUUACAUUGCUUGCAAGGCUUGUGUGUGAUGUUGUAUUACCGAGUGGGCCCCGAGAUACCUCUCCGUCACACGGAGUGACAAAUCCCAGUCUUGAUCCAUACUAACUCAAUUAACACCUUCGGAGAUACCUGUAGAGCAUCUUUAUAGUCACCCAGUUACGUUGCAACUUUUGAUACACACAAAGCAUUCCUCCGGUGUCAGUGAGUUAUAUGAUCUCAUGGUCAUAGGAAUAAAUACUUGACACGCNNNNNNNNNNNNNNNNNNNNNNNNNNNNNNNNNNNNNNNNNNNNNNNNNNNNNNNNNNNNNNNNNNNNNNNNNNNNNNNNNNNNNNNNNNNNNNNNNNNNUCAUGUAUUUACUUAUUUUUUAGAGCUAGUUGACCCUGAAAUUGAAAAGCACUACAAAUGAACUCUGAAAAAAUGUUGAAAGUUGGCAAGGUAUCAUCAUUUCAUCCACAUAGCAUGUUCUAAAAAGUUGAGAGGGUUACGACAAAAAUUGGAUGCACUUCGUGUACAAAACGGACAAUCUCUCUCGAAGAAUGAGGGUUUCGAACGAAAACUCAUGUGUUACAAAGCGAUUUCAUUUUUGGAACUUCAUAUUUUUUUGUGUUCAAAAUGCACCAUUCAAAGGCACAUCACAAAUUUUCAACAAUUUAUGACUUCAUUUGGCAUUUUACAUGCAUUUACUUUUUUUGAGCUAGUUGACCCAGAAAUUGAAAAGCAGUACAAAUGAGCUAUGAAAAUGUUGAAAGUUGGCAUGGUAUAUUUAUUUCAACCACAUAACAUGUGGUAAAAAGUUGAGAGGGUUACGACAAAAACUGGAUGCACUUCAUGUACAAAACGGACAAUCUCUCUCGAAGUAUGAGGGUUUCGAACGAGAACUCAUCUAUUACAAAAGGAAUUUCAUUUUUUUGAACUUAUUUGAACUCCAUACUUUUUGUGUCUUCAAAAUGCAUCAUUCAAAGGCACAUCACAAAUUUUCAACAAUUUCUGAUUUCAUUUGGUAAUUUUCAUGCAUUUACUUUUUUUUGAGCUAGUUGACCCUGAAAUUGAAAAGAUCAACAAAUGAACUCUGAAAAUGUUGAAAGUUGGCAUGGUAUCAUAAUUUCAUCCACACAACAUGUGCUAAAAAGUUGAGAGGGUUACGAGAAAAACUGGUUGCACUUCGUGUACAAAACGGAUAAUUUCUCUCAAAGUAUGAGGGUUUCGAAAGAGAACUAAUCUGUUACAAAGGGAUUUCAUUUUCUUGAACUUAUUUAAACUCCAUACUUUUUGUGUGUUCAAAAUGCACCAUUCAAAGGCACAUCAUAAAUUUUCGACUAUUUCUGUUUCAUGUAUUUACUUANNNNNNNNNNNNNNNNNNNNNNNNNNNNNNNNNNNNNNNNNNNNNNNNNNNNNNNNNNNNNNNNNNNNNNNNNNNNNNNNNNNNNNNNNNNNNNNNNNNNGGACAAUGACAAGUGCCAGUUGUGCGGGAUGCAAGAUUCAUGGAGACACUCGCUUAUAGCAUGCUCGGUUGCAAGGUGUGUUUGGGCUCUCGAGGAUGAAGAUAUAGCAGAUUACAUUCAGAAAGCUACAGAUCCUAGAACAAAGCAGUGGUUUUUUGCAACAAUAGAGGAUUUGUCUCAUGCUAGGCUGAUCAAGCUAUCCACGAAGAAAUUUUGCAGAGCCCUCAUGCAACUAAUGCUUUUUUAACAAACUAUAUUGUUGAACUUGCAAGCAUCAAAGAAAAGAAGACACGAGGAACUUGUUCUACCAUGGGUGCCCCCAGGAUUAGGCCGACCCGGUGGAUUGCUCCUGCCCAGGGAGUAGUAAAGAUUCAGGUUGAUGGGGGUAUCUCCAGGAAUGGCACCAAGGGUGCAACGGCAACCAUUUGUCGUUAUCAGAAGGGACUUUUCCUGUGUUCUUCAGCACUGGUUUUCACUGGAGUCAUGGAUCCACCAACUCUUGAAGUUCUCUCGUGUUGGGAAGCUAUGGCUUUAGCGUUUGAUCUGUCCUUGAAUCAAGUUGUUAUUGCUUGUGACUAUGAAGUAGUUAUUAAAGACAUCAAGUCUGGCACAGAGGGAAGAUAUACUUCCAUCAGCAAGGAGAUAAAAAAUGCUGCUCUUAAUUUUACCAAGUGUGAGUUUAUUUUCGAAGGCGAGAAAGGAAUGUUGAUGCCCAUAAUGUAGCUAAAUUUGCUUUUACUUUAGAUGAUGGGCGCCACCUGUGGCCGAGUUCAUCCCAUGACCCUUUUGUCAUACCUGUAAACCGUUCCCCUAAUCAAUAAAGGCUGGUUUACCACUCAAAAAAAAGCUGAUUGUUGCCCUUACGGAGGACCUCUCACUUCAGAAUAUUGUGGUGGCAUGCGAUGGCAAAGUAGUAGUUGAUGACAUACACGGAGGAGAGGGUGGAUCUUAUGUGACAGUCAUUAAGGAGAUUUCCAUGCGCAGAUCUUUUUUCAAUAUUCGUAAGUUUAUUUCUGAGGGUAGAGCAUCGAAUAGCGAUGCACACAAUCUUACUAAGCACUCGUUAUUACUUGAUCGGGGUCGUCACUUGUGGCUCAUUCAUGCCACGACCCUUCUUGUAUCCCUCUUUGUGUCCAAACAGAUCAAUUAAGUUUUGGCAUUUCUCAAAAAAAAAAAAAGAACUUGCCAUAUAAUUUUCCUCAGAUUUUGAGUCGAAUAAGCUAGCCAGCCAGCUUAGCAAAGUUCAAUUGCCCUUCUGUUUGAUUGGAUGAGACCCAUGAUGGCAUUAUCUCUCUGCUUGUUCAUGAUGUGACUUUGAUCACCAAUGAAUAAGAGGGGGUGUGAUUUAACAAAAGACACAAAAAAACUCCGUUCUUUUAGAGAAAACGGCAAAACUCAAGAAGGACCUUAUUGUUUGGGACAUUCAUAAGAGGUAAGCAGCAAAGGCAAAUUAAGAUUGUAGUAUUUGGUACCAUACAACGCGAGGACUGGAAAGAAAGACUUCAUUAUAGUAGUUUUGUUCACAAAAACUAUAUGGCCAACGUUCAGAUUUUAACCUUGCUACUCGAGCACUUCGAGAGUAACUCACUGGUGGAGCUAUUGCAAUGCCAAAUGUGUCAUGUGCUGCAUUUUACAAUUUGUACACUGAUUUUUUCACUUCUCGGUCUUGAAACAUCCGCUCACUGACUAUUUUCUUCGAGUGCGAGAGAGAAAACUUCCCACCCUCGCGUCGCCCCGCUUGGGCGACUCGGAGGCGACAACCCUAGGUCGUCGUCGGGCGCCCCUUCCCGAUGCUCCUCGCUGCCGUGGGGAGUCCUGGACCUGAGCGGCGGCUCCUCUGGUGAGGCUUCGUCGGAUCUGCGGCCUCCGGCGGUGCGGCCGACGGAUUCGGGGUCCCUGUCACUUGGGUGGUGGGAUCUUGGUGGAGGAGGUGAGCGGCUGGUUGCUGCUUUGGCGGCCAGCGACACAAGAUCCCUGGCGUUCCCCUCCCUUGAUUGGCGUGCGGGCACCUCUGGCCAGGUGGUGCCUUUUAUGGUCGCCGUUACCUGAAGAGGGGGUGGCUUGUGGGGUUGGGGCGGCCCUGGCGUAAUCCAUGGCCGGCUUGGCCGGCCGCGCCAACGGCGAUGCGUGCGGGCAUCGUGCCCCUUCCUGGAGGCGUUGGUAUGGACUGCCCCCUCCACUUCCCCUUCCUCUAGGUCUCCGGGUCGAAAGCCCUAACUUUGUUGGGCGGCGACGACGCUUGCAGUGUCGUUCCCUUCUUGAAGGCGUCGCCUUUGGAGCCUUGUAGUUGGGGGCGCUUGUGGUUGGUUGGUGGCACCGGCAGUGUGGCCCUCUUCGUCCUGGUAUGAUGCUCCCCCUCUUCCAGUGCUGGAUGUGUGCAGCGGCCUUGUUCUGCGCAAGAAGAGUCUCCGGUGACUCGUGGGGAUGCGUUGACCCUCUCUAUGUGACCAUCUCCGGCGGCGUCCACCACACCUGUCGACGGUGCGGCGCCUUCGAUCCAGGCGAGGAGGUUGUGGCCUCCUUCGAAGUUGGGUGUUGGAUGCGAUGUGUCGGGGUCCGUAGGUGCAUGGCGACGGCAUGCCAUGCUGAUGUCGGUCCCUCUCUCCUUUGUUCCUGCACGAUCUUGCUUCUGGUGCUAUAUUCUCGGUCGAGGACCUCGGCAUCUUCGGCUUCACCCUUCACUGCUUAUCUUCAGUUGCCGUGGUGUAUGAGGCUUAGUUUCAUGUUGUCCGUCGUUUUUGUAUCUUUCGCCAUGUAUUUUCUUCUUUUUGCUUGAGGGCGUGUGCUUGUAAUCCUGCACGAUUGAUGGCUUUGUUAAUUCAAAGUCGGGCUAGGCUCGAGCCUCAUCUCGGUCUCGGUUGAUGUCUUUUUUAAAAAAAAAACAUAUUUUCUUCGGUUAUGCUUCAGUAUUCUUUUGUUUUUUCUUUGUUUUCUUUCUGUUUCUUUCUCGGCUCAUCACUUGGUUUUCCCCUGUACGUUGGUGGGUUAUUUCCCCAUAUUUUCCUUUUUUUUCAUCAUACAUCAACUUAUCAGUUGAUUUUUUUUCUCCCACGAAGAGUUCUCCUGUUGUAUGUGGGUGGUUAGUCCUUACAACAAAUAUAGCUUGGCAAAGUUACCAAGUUAUAGGUUUCUUCACAAGUAAAAAACGCUGAUGUAUAACUACGUACGUGAAACAUAUUAUAUUAUUAUUAUUAUUAUUACUACUUCAAAUAACAAACAAAUGUAACACACACGUGAAGAAGUCAACUACAUGCUACAUCAAUUUAUUCGGUAACAAACAGAGGAUUAUUUUCUUCCAAAACGGAUGAUGGAGAGAGUUGCCGACGGCAGAGGCUCCCUACUUGAACCUGGCCUUGACGGCGUCGAUGUCUUCGUUAUCAACCCGGAAGGCCUUGGCCAGCACGUCGGUCGGCACCGGCGGUGAGGCAGCCAAGAGCGUGGUGGCGAUGGCUUGGGUGCCCUGAAGCUGGCUGUUGAAGGCGGCGAUGACGGAGGCGGGGCCAUGUCCCCUGUUCUGCUGGAAGUGCACGAGCCCGCGCGGGAAGACGAACACCUCACCGACGGUGACGAACCUAGUGAAGAGCUUGUUGGCGGUGGUGAUGAAGCCCACCUCGAGGGUUCCCUGGGUGACGAAGAUGAUCUCGGUGGCGCGUGGGUGGGUGUGCGGCGGGUUCUGCCCUCCGACCGCGUAGUCGAUGCGCGCCAUGGACACGCCGAGCGUGUUCACCCCGGGGAAUGACUGCACGUUCGCCGCCGUGACGACCGACCCCGCCGGGUUGUUGGUGUUGCCGGCCUUCUUGAGACCGGCGAAGAAGAAGUCGUCCGCCGUGAUGUUCGCCUUGCACGGGAAGCCGUUGAUCUUGAUCGCUGCCGCAAACCAUGCAUUUGGACCAACACGCAGCGUCAGCAAAAGUCAGCGCACGGGAUGCAAGAGCGAGGUUGACAAACUACGAUGAACACAUAAUUUUGCAGGAUGACUCACGGGAUGCCAGGUCGGCGACGCAGACGUCCUGGAGCAUGUCGGGGUCGCCGGCGAGGGAGGGAGCGGCGAGCGCGAGGAGGAUGGCGCAGGCCGCUAGGACGGAAAGCUGAAGCCUGGCCAUGGUGAAUUCGUCAAUGCUUGCUUGCUAUCAGCUUGGUGGUAUAGCUUGGGUCUGGAAAUAGCAGAGGUAGGAGGUGGUACUUGUAGGCAAGGUGGUUCGCGUGUGGAACUACGGAUAGUAUCGCCAUUAUUCAAGGAGGGGUGGCUGCGACGAGGCGACAUGGCCGGAUGGGAGGGGCAUCCAAUUCCAUUAAUUUGGAGCCAAUUCAAUGGGGCUAUACUACUACUACUUGUUUAUGCGCUCCUUGCAGGCUACCAUGUGCCUUCUACACAUGCAUUUCUGAUCAGAUCCACGCUUCAUCCAUUACUAACACUAGGCGUAGGUAAAAUUGAUAAAUUUGAUUCAAAAGCCAAAGAAUUCCAUAAACCGUACCUAAAUAUAAGUCUUUUAAGAUAUUUCACUAGGUAUCUACAUACGAAGCAAAAUGAAUGAAUCUAUACUCUAAAAUAUGUUUAUAUACAUACGUAUGUAGUUCACUAGUUGAACCUCUAUAAAGACUUAUAUUUAGGAAGGGAGGGAGUACGUUUGAAAAAAUUUCACCCAGCCGACCCUUUUGUGUGACGUCUUUAUCUUAAACGUCACACUACACUGUGUGACGUCCGACACUACGUUGUGUGACGUCUGAGACCUAGUGUGACGCCUAAGACAUAAACGUCACACUACACUGUAUGACGUCACACGGUGUAGUGUGGCACCUGACUGUCGGACGCCACAUAAAAGGAUCAGCUGAGUGAAAAAAUUUCAAACAUAGUUUAGUUUGUGAAAUCCUUUAGGUCCUAGGUUAAAUUUAUCAAUUUUGCCCUAGGCGUAUGAUGCGUAUCCUCUCGGAAACUACACCCCUGUUUCGUGGGUAUGGAUCGCCAGGAACAAUGCAGGAUAGCACAUGCGACGGGUGGCAUAUCGAGUAGUUGCACAUGCUAGUUCGUACCGUUGGAUCUCAUACUCCUUCCUGAUUGAUGGCGAGUUGAGUUUCUGCUUCUGGGCGGUUGACCAGUGGAUAUAUUACCCCUUCCUGAUUGAUGGCAAGCCAAGCUAUCUCGGCCAGUAACCAAUUCCACUUGCGUCAGAGAGGAGCCAUUCUGGUCAAGGUCGUCAAUAACUCCAUCCUGAUUUUGCUACAGGCAAGGAGGAGGAGGAGGAUAACUUUUCAUGACUACUUCCUCCGUUUGUAAAUACUGGUCGUAGACAUGGAUGUAUCUAUAUGUAUUUCAAUUUUAAAUACACUCAUUUGUAUUUAAUUUUCAUGGUAAGUAAUUCCGAACGAAGGGAGUAUUUUGCUGGCGAGGCUGAGCUGGAACAGCCCUCCUACAGGGUAGAUUUGAUGUAUAGAAGUACGAAUUGGCGCUGGAAAUCAGGGUGCCCAACACCAUGCCCCAUAUGAGACUUUUUGUUUCUUGUGGGAAUAUUUUUAUCCGGGCUAAACCGAGCACUCAGCCACUGUCCAUAUUCAAAUAUAGCGGACGAAGCAGCAAGGGCGAGGGGACACUUAUGCCAAAGAAUCAGAUGCGGUCCCUCGUGGUUAGUCGUCACAGAGUAAAUCCGUAGCUGUCCGGCCGUCUCUACCACCGACGGCUUGCGUAUUUUUUUUCUUCUAUGAAUAGAUAAUAGAGAAAGUACUACUACAAGGUAAGGUACAACACACUACAUGAUGUUUGCUUACCACCAAAAGGAUACUCCUAGAGGCCAAGUGUGAAACUCUAGAAGUUUUCAAUGUGGUGUAUGAUGAUUUUACCGUCGAAUUUGAAGUGAGGUCAAAAGUUGAUGGUUUUCGAUGGGUGCUUGUGGCAGUUUAUGGAGCAGCUCAACAGGAGCUCAAGAAACUGAAUUUCUUUCAGAUCUUGUGAGGAUCAGUGGAAACGAAGGGCUGCCAAUUUUAGUUAGAGGAGAUUUCAAUAUCAUUCGGAGAAGAGAAAAAUAAUGAUGAUUUUCAUGCUAGAUGGUCAUACAUGUUUAACAUGAUUAUUGAGAGUCUUGACUUACGGAAAAAUGAACUCACCGGUAGACAAUUUACAUGCGCGAAUUCACUACCCAUCACGACGUAUGAGAAGCAAGAUCGGUGAGUGUUGAGUGGGAACAGACGUUUCCUCUUGUGACGGUCCAGGCUCUGCAGAGAGCAGUUUCGGAUCACACUUCACUCCUCGUCGACUCAGGGUAGGCGACACAUGUGGGCAAUAAAAGUGUCUUCUCUAUUGAAUUAGGAUGGUUCGAGAGAGAGGUAUUUUUGGACCUAAUAGCUAAUGAAUGGGCUAAAGAGACUGGAGGGACAUCUAGCAUGGAUAGAUGGCAAAAUAAAGUCAGGCAUUUACGCUAGUCCUUGAGGGGCUCGGCCAAAAAUCAAAGUGGGAUUUACAGAGUAUAAAAAGAAAGACUUAUUCAUCUUAUCAAAGAGUUAGAUCUGAAAGCUGAAGCAUCAGUUCUUAAUAGCUAUGAUCGGAGUAUUAAGUACGAGGCUGGGGAGAAGCUUCGUGCUUUAUUCAGAGAGGAAGAGAUUAAAUGGACACUGAGAGCUAAGGUGUCUACGGCCAUCCAAGGGUAUGACAACACACAAUUCUUCCACAUGAUCGCUAAAGGAAAGCGAAGAAAGAAGAAAAUAAUUCAACUCAAACAAGAUGAUGGUACAAUUGUAGAGCAUGAAAACCUGAAAUUGUAUAUCUCUGAAUAUUAUAAAAAACUGUUCAGAGCUCCCGAAGCUAACUCUAUAUCCCUAGAUGAAAGUGUAACAGAGGACAUUCCUCAACUCAAUAUAAAGAGAAUGGGAUGCUUUCGUCUCUGUUUACCGAGAAAGAGGUGUUUGACGCAAUCAUCCAACUGAAAACAGAACAAGGCUCCAGGACCGGAUGGGUUUCCAGCGGAGUUUUAUAAGAUGUGUUGGCAUGUCAUCAAACAUGAUGUUAUGCCCAUGUUCCAUUAUUUAUUCAAUGGGCAAUUAAAAUUAUUCCACCUAAACUUUGGGGCAAUUACAUUGUUACCAAAGGAGGGGGUUGUAUGCAUUAAGCAGUUCAGGCCGACUUGUUUGCUUAAUGUGUGUUUCAAUUGUUUUUACCAAGGUGGUAACAAAUAUGUUGACGCAGAUAGCCCAUUCGGUUGUACAACAGUCUCAUACAAGUUUCAUGCUAGAUAGGCACAUCCUAGAAGGGGUUGUGGUACUACAUGAAAAACUUCAUCAAAUUCACACCAAGAAACUCGAUGGAGUCAUCUUUAAGGUGGAUUUUGAGAAAGCCUAUGACAAAGUCAAAUGGCCUUUUCUCCAACAAGCUUACGUAUGAAGGGAUUCAAUGAAGCAUGUAGGAAACAGGUUGAUUCAUUUGUUCAGAAAGGUAGUGUUGGGAUAAAGAUGAAUGAUGACAUGGGUCAUUACUUUCAAACUCAUAAAGGUUUAACCCAGGGAGAUUCGAUGUCCCCCAUCUUAUUCAACAUAGUGGCUGAUAUAUUAACAUUUCUCAUAGGACGAGCUAAAGAGAACGAUAUAAUAGGAGGACUAGUACCACAUAUUGUGGAUGGAGUGGUUUCCAUCUUACAAUAUGCGGACGGUACGAUUAUUUUCAUGGAGCAUGACUUCGCAAAAGCUAGAAACAUGAAGUUGGUUCACUGUCAGUUUGAACAAUUAUCGGGACUCAGGAUAAGUUUUCAAAAGAGCGAAUUGUUCUGUUUUGGCCGAGCCAAGGAAGAACAAGAUGCUUACAGAAAACUAUUCGAUUGUGAGAUGGACUCCAUGCCGUUUAGUUAUUCGGGUAUACCUAUUCAUCACCGUAAGCUUACCAACAAGGAAUGAAAGUGCAUAGAAGACCGGUUUGAAAAACGACUAAGCUGCUGGAAAGGAAAGCUUAUGUCUUAUGAAGGUCGGCUAGUGUUAAUAAAUUAUGCGUUGACAAGUUUGUCGAUGUUUCUAUUACCAUUCUUCGAAGUACUAGUAGGGGUAGCGAAAAGACUUGACUUCUAUAGAUCUAGAUUAUUUUUGGCAAAAUGAUGAAAGUAAGACGAAAUAUAGACUGGCUAAAUGACACAUGAUGUGUAGACGCAAAGAUCAGGGUGGAUUAGGAAUUGAAAAUUUACAAACUAAAAAUAGAUGUCUUUUCAGCAAAUGGGUGUACAGACUCUCUGUGGAGGCAAAAGGUACGUGAAUACAAAUUUUGCGUAAUAAGUACCUACAAACAAAGUCCCUGGCUCAAGUUACAGUGAAACAUUCGGACUCACAAUUCUGGAAAGGCUUAAUGAGGACAAAAGAAGCUUUUUUCAUAGAGUCAAGUUUCACAUUGAGAAUGGUAACAAAAGCAGGUUUUGGAAAGAUGCGUGGUUAGGGGAGAUGCCCCUGGCUACACAAUAUCCAUUUUUAUAUAACAUCGUGGAACGCAAAGAGGCCUAUGUGGCUACAAUUUUGCAGACUGUCCGUAUGAAUAUUCAAUAUAGGAGAUCUCUGGUAGGGGAACGAUAGAGUGCGUGGCUCCACUUGGUACAUAGAUUGAUGGAAGUUCAACUUCCGGACCAACCAGACACAAUUCAUUGGAAAUUAACUACAAGCAGUAGUUCCUUCGACAAAUCAAUGUAUCUAGACCUUAUUAAUAACGGGCCAAUACCUACUUCUCCAUACAUUUGUAAAAUAAAAAUACCGCUUAAGAUUAAGAUCUUUAUGUGGUUUGUUCACAGAGGAGUGAUACUUACAAAAGAUAAUUUGAUUAAGCGAAGAUGGGUGGGUAAUUCUAGAUGUUGUUUUUGUGAUCUGUCGUGGGUAUAAGUCUGACAGUAGAUGUGUAGGGUACGAAAGGAUGGGCAGAGCCUUAGCUACGGCGAGGUUGUAUGAGUUCAGGCCCCUCUACGGUGGAGGUAAUAGCCCUACGUCUCAGUGCUCUGGGAGCNNNNNNNNNNNNNNNNNNNNNNNNNNNNNNNNNNNNNNNNNNNNNNNNNNNNNNNNNNNNNNNNNNNNNNNNNNNNNNNNNNNNNNNNNNNNNNNNNNNNNNNNNNNNNNNNNNNNNNNNNNNNNNNNNNNNNNNNNNNNNNNNNNNNNNNNNNNNNNNNNNNNNNNNNNNNNNNNNNNNNNNNNNNNNNNNNNNNNNNNNNNNNNNNNNNNNNNNNNNNNNNNNNNNNCCCUCCACAACGGUUCGGUGCACAGGGGUGGAGUAGUGGCGAAUAAAUGCCUACGUUACAGGUAACGUAUGUCUUGAAUGCUAAUAAAGGCACAUGGAAACGUACAACCAUUUCCCUCUAGGGGGGUUACGAUGCACAGAGUGGAAUCCAGUCGGUUAAUUUGUUACACUCCGAAUGCUCAUCUCCGACUGGAUGGUGGAGGAUUUGUUACCGACUGGAUGAUGGGAAGUCCAUAAGACAGUCGGAACUGACUAAGGGUCUUAUCCCUUAUGAAGGGUAGUCCUUGGGUAGGACUUAUAGGGCAGGCCUAUGACCCUAUCCUAGGACUAUAACCCCAUCAUUAGUCCCCGAAUGGAUUGGGGUUGGAACGACGAAGCGAUGUUUGAAGUAUGGAUCCGACUGGUACGGAUGCGACUUUGGCGCUGCUUGCCUUGAUCCAUUUUGUCUUCUUUGUCCAACGAUCCGAGUCGAAGUAUUUGUGAAGCGAACUGUCGGGAACCGAGUGCUUCCGUGGUAUCUUCUGACGUGACCAGUCAACUCACAGCGGCGGAUUUUCCGGGAUCCUCAAAUUUCGGUUGCCGCGCGCUCAGUGGGGAUGACGACAUCGCGCUCGAGUAGUACCUGACGCCUCGAUUUCGCCGCGACCGGUCGGGGGAUAAGAUUUCGGGGCCACUUGCGAGUGACCCAGUCGGAACCUUAUUUAAACCUCAGCGGCGAGGGUUUUUUCGUUACACUCGCCGGAUAACUUGCCUUUGCCUGCCCCACUUCUCUCGCCACCUCCUGCGCAUCCCAAGCUCCUUCCUUCUUCUUCUCCCUCGCGGAUCAGCAGCCUUCGCCAUGACAAAGGGGCAGACUAGCAAGCUAGAGGUGAAGAAGAAGAAGGGGAAGACGGCAGCUCCUACCCAGCGGCGGCAGCGCACGCUACCGGCGGGGUGGAUCCAGGGGGAUUUCCUCCCCUCCACGGUGACGGAGGAGAACCUGUUGGAGUUGGUGGAGCAUGGGAUGAUUGCGCACAAGUCGUGGAGGUUGCCGGUGGAAGGCGAGACCGAGUCGGCGCCCCGGGAGGGGGAGCGCGUCUUGCUGCUGAGCCAUGUGUACAGAGGUUUCUCUCUGCCUCCUCACCCCUUCUUCAAAGGUAUCAUGAACCACUUCGGGGCGCAGCUCCACCAUUUUCCUCCCAAUGCCAUAGCUCAUCUCUCUGCCUUCGUUGUGCUGUGCGAGUGUUUCAUCGGCUGUCCUCCCCAUUGGGGGGCUUUUCAAACAUAUCUUCUCUGCUAGAUCCCAGACCAUCAAACGGCUUAGCCAGUCGGAUGACAAAACCCACCUUCUCCAGCUCUGCGGAGGCUUAGGCUUCCAAAAGAAAAGUAAAAGUAGCUAUCCUGCUCUGUAGUUGAGUGAACCUAUUAGGAACUGGCAGUCGACAUGGUUCUACUGCCAGGACGUUGCUUGCCCGAAUGCUACCACCGGACUCCCCCCUUUUAGCUUAGACCGACCGGCUCCUCCUAGGCAGCUCGCGCUCACGAAGGCGGAGAAAACCCAGAUCCAGCCUCUGUUCGAUGCGCUUGUAGAGGUCGUCCGAAGGGGAGUCACUGGCAUAGAUUUAAUGGAGGUUUUCCUGGGUCGGCGUAUCCAGCCUCUGCAAGCUUGAGACCACGCCAUGUGGCAUUACACAGGGCCUGAGGACUCCACUCGGACUAACGUCGAGUGCGUGACCGGGGAGAUGGUGGCGUCGUGGGUCCUCAACAUCACCGGCGCCUGCGAAAACCCUAGAGGAGCUCGGCGAGUGAAGGCCUUCCGGGCGGGCAACCCUCCUCCAAACGCAGUGAGUACAACUUGUCGAGCGUACACAACUGUCUUAGAUUUAUUGCUUCCUUGAAUCACUGUCUGACGUCUAAUGUCGUCGACUGUAUCUUGUGCAGGAGUGGACUAACUGGUUUUCUCCCGUCUCGAAUGGGAAUCCGGCCGAGGAGGAGGAAGGCAGCCAGGAGGGCAGCGUGGAGAGCGGCGAGUACGUCUCCGACAGUGGGGAGACGGAAGAGGAGUCCGCAGAAGAAGAAGAGGCAGAUGAGGAGCAGAACUCACCACCUCCACCGCCAGAGCCUCGGACUAAGCGUCGUCAUGAACCUGUGGUUCCUCCAGCUCCUCCAGCAUCCUCAAGUGUGCCGCCAGCUCCGCCAGCUGCUCCUGUGGUACCGAGUGCUUCGCCAGCUGUUCCCGUGGCUCCGAACGUUCGGAGCACAAAGAGGACCAGGGACUCUGCUGCUGAACCUGUGGGUCAGCCCUCUAAGGUAGCUAAACCGAGUGGAUCUAAGCCUCGGAAGGCUCUGCCGCGGAUGAGGGUCACAGUUCCCGUCACCUCAACGUAAGUGCAUGGUUCUUCUAUCUUCUUCCGGUAUUUGAUUGAACUCCUGCUUAUUGGUCGAAUGAAUUUCACUCGACAGAGUUGCCACCUCUGCCACCUCUCCGGCACGCCAGGGGGACGAUCCCAUGGACAUGGACAACAUUGUCACAUCCCAGCCAGGUGCGUCAUAGCGAUUCCGAGAGUUUACAUUAUUGCAUCACGAAUUCUGUCUUUGGUCUUGCCUUUUUCCCUGUGAUCUCACGUCGUUCGGUCGGGUUUCCCUCAGGGGUGAUUUAUGUGGAGGAGGGCGACCAGGGGAGGUCUGAGCAAGCUGCGGUGCCUGUCCUUGAGGCUAUUCCGCCGGUUGCUACUCUCGCCAUGGACGCGCCGCCGACUGAGGCGAUGCUGUCGACUGAAACGACGUUGGUUGCUGCUGAACCGACUAGAGCAGGUCUUGGGAUGCCCAAGGAGCCUCCUACGAUGCCGGGCCCGUCGACUGUCGAGUACAACGUCCAGCGCCUCCUAGAAGAUCAGGUGGGAGCUGCCAAGGGGGCCGUGGUGCAGGCGGAGCUGAUGGCUGGAGAGGCCAAGAAGGCGUACGACUCCAUCGCGUCCUUGUACAAGCGAAGCUUGGAACUGCGGGACGAUAUCCGAGUAAGUGGGCUAGUAAGUAUUUACUUUCCUCUUGUAACCCACUGGGUGUGCUUGGAUAGCGUAUGAUUUUUUGCAAUGGGUUCACUCGUAGUGAACCCAGUGGGUGUAGUCCCCGAGACUUCUGUCGGGUGCUUGCACCGGCAGUUGUCUUUAUGCAUGUUCUUUAACUUGAUCAGAUCAAAAAUUAAUCUGUUCGAAUGUUAACAGUUGGGGCACUCGGAGUGCACCUACUGGAUGAGUCCCCGAGAGUAAUUUUACUCAGGUCGGGUAGUAGUAGCCUCAUAGGCUUAUUUGUUGUCAUGUAGCUCAAUAGGGCGGACAUGUUUGAGUUUCAUGCCAGUGGGGUCACUCUUAGUGAACCCACUGGGUGUAGUCCCCGAGACCACUGUCGACUGCUUGCGUCGACAGGGGUCUGAAGAACUUAGAAUUUUUAUUGUUGUCCUUGUUGAAUUUGUCUGACCGUCUCUUGGCGCUGACUUGCAGAAAACUUGCGAGAUGGGGACAGCGUAUGAGACUCUGAGGCUGAAAAGGUUCAGUUUGCUGGUGAACUGGAUGCAGCAAUGGUUGCAAUGGCUGGUAUGAAGGAUGUUCUGGUGGAACGAGAAAAGUCCUUGGAGCAGGCCCGUGAGGCAAACAAGGCAUUGACUGCUGAAGUGGAGAAAAUGGGGAAACAAAGGACGGAACUGAUGGGGCAGAUGAAAAUGUUGAACAGGCGGUGCAUAGCACAGGAAAAUUACGUCAGUGACUGGGCCCGGAAGAUGAUAGCGCUUCUCGGUGGUAAGUUCUAUUUUUCCGAGUGCUUGUGGACUGUGCAUUUCAUUCUGCGCUGACUGUUUGCUCGUCCUGUCUUUGCAGAUUUUUGCAUGGACGCGGAGGUUGAAGCGGCUGACGUUGAGCGGUCGAUUCUUGAGAACAUUCCACUCGGCGAGGACGCCAAUCGAGAUCUGCUCCGAGCGCACAUUCGCCUGGGCAAAGUUGGACCUUUCAUCGGUCGACUGAGAGAAGUCGUCGGCCGAAUUGACAAGGAGCUUUGGCCUGAAGACGAGUCUCGGCACGAGAUGGAAGGCUUGAUGACUCGGCUGGAGGAGGUCCCGAACCGAGUGCAGGCGUGGAAAAAGUCUGCGGCUCGCUGUGGUGCGGACGUCGCUCUGUCUUUGGUCCGAGUGCAUUGCAAGGAGGCGCGCAAAGAGAAGCUGAAGGCGUUGUAGGUCGCCAACACGAAAAAGCUUCGAUUCGAAGACUUCAUGGAGACCUUCCUUGAGAGCGCCACCCGCAUCACCGACGGGAUCGACCUCGACACGUUCGUAGAGCCUGCCAGUCCUGACGACGUUUGAGAAAACUUUUACCUCGGUAUGCCGAGUGUUGGUUGUAAGAAACUUUGGCCACUGUUGUUGGCCGCCACAUUCUUGGUUCGGUGUGGAUAAGCUUGAUCUACACCGAGCCAACUAUCCUUAGGUGAACAUUGAAUUUGAAUCGAAUCUUUUUCUCUUCUUUUGCCAAAGAGUUGUUGAUACGAUUUUGGCUCGUGGUGUUUGUUUGGCGUUUCUUGGUGAAGCCAAUGGCAAACAUGCGGAGCAUGUAAUUGUCAGUUGUCUUGACAUCUGCAUGAGCCUCACUGAGGGUCUGCUGAGUGUCCGAGUGGAUCUGUAGGAUACACUCAAAGGCAAUAGAGUACUUAGGCGAUUCGGGAUCGCGGCUAAGUCUUCGAGUGCGACUGUGAGGUCGUACUCGGAGCGAGUUGUUACUCAUGUAAUUGUCAGUGGUCUUGACAUCUACAUGAGCCUCAAUGAGGUUCUGCUACUCAUGUAAUUGUCAGUUGUCUUGACAUCUGCAUGAGCCUCACUGAGGGUCUGCUACUCAUGUAAUUGUCAGUGGUCUUGAGAUCUACAUGAGCCUCAAUGAGGGUCUGCUACUCAUGUAAUUGUCAGUUGUCUUAACAUCUGCAUGAGCCUCAAUGAGGGUCUGCUACUCAUGUAAUUGUCAGUUGUCUUCACAUCUGCAUGAUCCUCAAUGAGGGUCUGCUAAGCCUCCGAGUGGAUCUGUGAGAUACACUCAAAGGAAGCUUUCUUUUUAAGCGAUUCUUAAUCGCAGUUAAGUCCUCGAGUGUGACGGUUAGUGCACGCGUGGAGAAAAUUUGUACUUAGGCGAUUCUUGAUCGCAACUAAGUCUCCGAGUGCGACGUGAAGUGCACACUCGGAGAAAGUUAAUACUUAGGCGAUUCUNNNNNNNNNNNNNNNNNNNNNNNNNNNNNNNNNNNNNNNNNNNNNNNNNNNNNNNNNNNNNNNNNNNNNNNNNNNNNNNNNNNNNNNNNNNNNNNNNNNNNNNNNNNNNNNNNNNNNNNNNNNNNNNNNNNNNNNNNNNNNNNNNNNNNNNNNNNNNNNNNNNNNNNNNNNAAGUGCACACUCGGAGAUAGUUUGUACUUAGGCGAUUCUUGAUCGCAGCUAAGUCCCCGAGUGCGACGUGAAGUGCACACUCGGAGAUAUUUAGUACUUAGCCGAUUCUUGAUCGCAGCUAAGUCCCCGAGUGCGACAUUUAGUGCACACUCGGAGAAAGUCAAUACUUAGGCGAUUCUNNNNNNNNNNNNNNNNNNNNNNNNNNNNNNNNNNNNNNNNNNNNNNNNNNNNNNNNNNNNNNNNNNNNNNNNNNNNNNNNNNNNNNNNNNNNNNNNNNNNNNNNNNNNNNNNNNNNNNNNNNNNNNNNNNNNNNNNNNNNNNNNNNNNNNNNNNNNNNNNNNNNNNNNNNNNNNNNNNNNNNNAGUGCACACUCGGAGAAAGGUAGUACUUAGGCGAUUCUUGAUCGCAGCUAAGUUUUUUUUUUGAGACCGGAGUCUGCGACCGCGGAAGAAUUUUGAAUCUGCAAAAACUCGAUCUGCUUUGUAUUAUUUCACCAAUACUUGUUCUUUACAUUGCUUCAGUCGACGGUCACGUGUAGAAGCGCUUCAGGAGAUCUCCGUUCCAUGCUUGCGGCUCGUCUGUUUCCCUGUCGAUGUUGUAGAGUCUGUAUGCUCCGUUGUUCAGCACCUUGGAGAUGAUGAAGGGUCCUUCCCAGGCGGGAGCCAACUUGUGAGGUCUUUGCUGAUCCACCCGGAGCACCAGGUCGCCUGCUUGGAAUGUACGACUCCUGACGUGUCGCGCGUGAAAGCGCCGCAGAUCUUGCUGAUAAAUGGUUGAGCGAGUGAGUGCCAUCUCGCGCUCCUCCUCUAGAAGGUCCACUCUGUCUUGCCUUGCUUGUUCUGCUUCAGCUUCGGAGAAGAGUUCGACUCGUGGAGCAUUGUGAAGCAAGUCACUCGGAAGGACCGCUUCUGCUCCGUAAACGAGGAAGAACGGGGAUCGCCCCAUAGAUCUAUUCGGGGUUGUGCGGAGACCCCAAAGCACUGAAGGUAGCUCGGCGACCCAUGCGCCAGCGGCAUGUCCCACCUCUCGCAGGAGCCGGGGCUUCAAACCUUGUAGAAUAAGUCCAUUCGCCCGCUCUGCUUGUCCGUUUGUUUGAGGAUGCGGCACAGAUGCAAAAUCCACUAGGAUACCUUGGCUUGCACAGAAACCUUUGAAUCUGUCCGAGUCAAAGUUUGUCCCGUUGUCCGUGAUUAUGCUGUGAGGUACUCCGAAUCUGGAGAUGAUGUCCCUGACAAACUUGAUGGCUGUUAGGGCGUCGAGCUUCUUGAUGGGCUUGCCUUCAAUCCAUUUUGUGAACUUGUCGACUACCACCAACAGAUGUGUGUAUCCCCCUUGGCCUGUCCUGAAUGGACCGACUGUAUCUAAUCCCCAUACUGCAAACGGCUAAACAGGAGGGAUUGUCUUCAACGCAGAUGUUGGCUUGUGGGACUUGUUGGAAUAGAAAUGAUAGCCUUCACAUCGGUCGACCAUAUCUUUAGCCAUUUCGUUCGCCUGCAGCCAGAAGAAGCCAGCUCUGAGUGCUUUGGCGACGAUUGCUCUUGAAGAGGCGUGAUGACCGCAGGUUCCCGAGUGAAUUUCUUCCAGGAUUAAUUGUCCUUCCUCAGGGAAGAUGCAUCGUUGAAGAACGCCUGAAACGCUUUCCCUGUACAACUGGCCAUCAAUGACAGUGAACGACUUUGACCUGCGGACGAUCUGCCUGGAUUGGACUUCGUCUUCUGGUAAUUCCUGCCUCCGGAUGUAUGCAAUGAUCGGCAUAGUCCAAUCGGGGAUAACAGCAAGAACCUCCAUGAUCAAAUCAACCACAGCUGGUACGUCGACUUCAGUCGGAUCUGUCAAGCUCUUUGGUUGUACUGGUUCCUCUGUGAAAGGAUCUUCUUUAACUGCGGGGAGGUGGAGGUGCUCGAGGCAGACGUCACUCGGGACUGGUCUCUGAGUGGACCCGAGUUUUGCCAACUCAUCAGCCGCUUGGUUCUUCAGUCGCGGAACAUGGUGGAGUUCUAGACCUUCAAACUUCUUCUCGAGCUUCCUCAAUGCAUUGCAGUAUGUGGUCAUGGUGGGGUUCCUGACGUCCCACUCUUUCAUCACUUGAUUAACCACCAAAUCCGAAUCGCCAUAGACCAUCAGGCGACGGAUGCCGAGUGCGAUGGCCAUGCGCAGUCCAUAAAGGAGAGCUUCAUACUCUGCCUCAUUGUUGGAGGAAUCAAAGUGUAUCUGCAGCACAUACUUGAGUUUGUCGCCCUUAGGUGAUAUGAUCACAACGCCAGCGCCGGAGCCGUUCAACAUCUUGGACCCAUCGAAGAACAUUGUCCAAUGAGCCGAGUAGAUGUGGGUCGGUUGCUGUUGUUCUACCCAUUCUGCUAUGAAGUCCGCCAGAGCUUGAGACUUUAUAGCUUUCUUGGCCUCGAACUUGAUGUCGCAGUACAACAUCUCCAUUUCCCACUUCGCCACUCGGCCUGAUGCGUCCCGAUUGUGGAGGAUUUCCAACAACGGAGCAUCAGAAACGACGGACACCGAGUGGUCUUGGAAAUAGUGAGCCACCUUCUUCGCAGUCAUGUAAAUCCCGUAGAAAAGUUUUUGAUAGUGGGGAUACCUCUGCUUGGAAGGAGUCAGGACUUCGGAGACGUAAUACACUGGCCGCUGAACUUUGUAUGCUUUUCCUUCUUCUUCUCGUUCGACUGUGAGAACAGUGCUGACGACUUGAUUUGUAGCCGCGAUGUACAAAAGAAGGGGCUCUUUACUGAGCGGAUCAGUAAGAACCGGCUGGGUGGAAAGUAGGACUUUGAGGUCGUCGAGUGCAACUUGGGCUUCAUCUGUCCACUCGAAAGUAUCUGAUUUCUUCAUGAGUCGGUACAGAGGAAGUGCUUUCUCGCCGAGUCGACUGAUAAACCUGCUCAAAGCCGCUAGGCAACCUGUGAGCCGUUGAACAUCGUGUAUUCUGACCGGCCGCUCCAUUCGGACGAUUGUCCCGAUCUUUUCGGGGUUGACAUCGAUCCCUCGUUCAGAAACGAAGAAACCGAGUAACUUUCCGCUAGGAACGUCGAAUGAACACUUGGCGGGGUUGAGCUUGAUAUCGUACCUACGAAGGUUGGCGAAUGUUUCUGCCAAGUCAGUCAGCAGGUCGGAACCUUUGCGUGACUUGACUACGAUAUCAUCCAUAUACGCCUCCACAUUCCGACCGAUCUGGUCGAGGAGGCAUUUUUGGAUCAUGCGCAUAAAGGUUGCUCCUGCAUUCUUCAAACCAAAUGGCAUAGUGAUGUAGCAGAAGCACCCGAAUGGGGUGAUGAAGGCGGUUUUUAAUUCAUCGGGGCCAUACAGACGGAUCUGAUGAUAGCCCGAGUAGGCAUCAAGAAAUGACAAAGCUCACAACCCGCAGUCGAAUCGACAAUUUGAUUGAUGCGGGGGAGCGGAAAAUGGUCUUUCGGGCAGACCUUAUUGAGAUGCUUGAAGUCGAUGCACAUUCGGAGCGACUUGUCCUUCUUGGGCACCAUGACAACAUUGGCGAGCCACUCGGAGUGGUGUACCUCGCGAAUGAAGUUGGCUACCAAAAGCUUGGCCACUUCUUCUCCGAUUGCCUUCCUCUUGUGCGCGGCGGACCGUCGCAGGCGUUCUCGAACAGGUCGAGCGGUGGGAUCCACAUGCAGUCGGUGCUCAGCCAACUCCCUGGGUACACCUGGCAUGUCAGAAGGCUUCCAUGCGAAGAUGUCCCAGUUCUCACGGAGGAAUUGGAUGAGCUCGGCUUCCUAUUUAGGAUCGAGGGUGAUGGAGAUGUUCGUCGGGGCAGCGGUGUCGUCUGUCGGGUGGAUGCUGACCUUCUUCGUCUCUUCCGCCGACUGGAAUGCGGACUCCGAAGCUGGCUUCUUCGAACGCAUCAAGUCAGCGGGGUCGACCGUUUUCUUGUACUCGUCAAGCUCGAGGAUAGCCAUCUGUUGAUCGGCGAUUCUUGAUCCCUGCUUCAGACACUCCUCGGCCCGCUGUCGAUUGCCUGUGAUAGUGAUCACACCUUUCAGGCCUGGCAUCUUUAGAUUCAGGUACACGUAACAUGGGUGGGCCAUGAAACGCGCAUACGCCGGGCGGCCCAGAAUUGCGUGGUAAGCGCUCUGGAAGUCCACCACCUCGAACGUCAGCUUUUCCUUGCGGAAGUUCUUGUCGGAGCCGAAAAUGACGUCCAACGCGAUCUGGCCGAGUGACUUGGCCUUUCGUCCAGGGACGACUCCGUGGAACUGCAUGCUGCUCUCGCUGAGUUUGGACAUCGGAAUGCCCAUCCCCUUGAGAGUGUCAGCGUACAUGAUGUUCAAACCACUGCCGCCGUCCAUGAGGACUUUGCGCAGUCGAACUCCUUCCACCACCGGGUCGACGACCAGAGCUUGCCUCCCUGGGAUGGGCACGUGUGUUGGAUGAUCUGACUGGUCAAAGGUGAUCGCAGUCUGAGACCAUUUGAGGAACUUGGGGUUGGUCGGCGUGGCCAUGUUCACCUCCCUGUUCACCAGCUUCAGUCGGCUCUUGCUCUCAACGUCAGCAAAAAUCAUCAGUGUUGCAUGGACUUGGGGGAACGGAUCCUCCUUAUCCUCCUCAUCCUGUUCAUUGCCUUUUUCACUCAGUUGCCCUUUGCCGAACCCCUGAAGCAGGAGGCGACAUUGCCGAGUGGUAUGCUUCGGAUAUAUGGCGUUGCCCUCUUCAUCCAUCUUCGUGUGGAUCGGACAUGGCUGGUCCAGGAUGGGGUUGUUGAACUGCUUCUUCUUGGGGGUGAACUGAGCCUUCCCUUUGCCCUUGAACUUGGCAUUGGUAAGAACUGCGACUUCUGCCUGCGGAGUGGGCGGAGCUUUCUGCUUCUGCUUCCGAGUGUUAUUCCCAUCUCCAUCGGCGACUGUUUUGUGCUUGCCGCUACAGAUGCGGUCCUCUUCUUCGCCAUUUGCAUAGCAUGCUGCUAUCUCCAUCAUCUUGCUCAUGGAGAUGUCGCCUGUUCGACCGAACUUCAGGUACAGAUCCUGGUACCGCACACCUGCCUUGAAGGCGCAGACUGCUUGGUGUUCUGUGACGUUCUCCACCGUAUGGUAGAGGGUCGUCCAACGCUGAAUGAAAUCGCGCAGGGGCUCAUUCUGCUUCUGGACACAGUGCUGGAGCUCCACGAGGCCAGCAGGGCGCUUACACGUCCCUUCGAAGGUCCUGACGAACACUCGGGCCAGAUCUCCCCAGCUGUAGAUGCUUGAGGGGGCCAAUUGGGUCAGCCACGCUCGCGCCGAGCCGUCGAGCAUCAGAGGGAGGUGCUUCAUGGCGACGUGGUCGUCCCCUCCUCCGAUCUGGACUGCCACUCGGUAGUCAUCCAGCCACGUUUCUGGCUUAGACUCUCCUGUGAACUUGCUGAUCCCCGUCGCCAAUCGGAAUUUGGGAGGGAUGUCAGCCGAACGGAUGGUCCUGCUUCCACUCGGACGGUCAAUAUCGUGACCAUCGCGGUGGGCUCGGCCCCUGUCGACCCUUCACUGGGCGAUAUGCCCUCUCGCGUCGGGCCUUGGAUCGUAAGUGUCGCCGACUGAACGCCGAUCAUCAUGAUGUCGGGGCCCGUAGGGCCCACCCCGCGGAGGGGUGCGUGAACGGCAACGAUCUUCGGGGUUCAUGGAACGGCUGCCUCCCCUGGGUCGCUGAUGAGAACCAGGGCUGUGAACUGACCGAUGCGUGUUCGCAUGGACAGAACUAUUGUGGAUCAUGUUGUGCGACUCGGAGACCGCCGAGUUUUGCUGCUGCGCCGUGUGCAACAGGGCGCGGAUUUGCUCGAUCCCCCUGCCAGCCUCUGAAUCAGUCGGCUGAAGGGAAUCGACUAUCUUGGCAGCGGCAGCCAAGUUGAGGAUGGGUGUGCGGAACAACUCCACGUUGCUCCGCCGAGUGUGCCGGCUGGCAGAACGGCGAGGUGGACGGUGAGCGCCGGAUGUUUCGCCGAUCUCGUGCUCGUUCCGGCUAGUUUGGCGGGGACUUUCGUGGGAGUUGGCCAUGUGUACUUCUGCUGCAGGCCCGCGACCCAAGUACUCGGAAGGAAACUCAGUCGGAACCGAGUCCCAGCGCUGGGACGGCGGGGCAACCACAACUGACUCUAGGACCGCCACUUGUGAAGAUGCGUUCUGGCGCGCCGGUGCGUGUUGCACCCAACGCUGGAGCCGCGGAUGGCGGGACCGCUUGUUGCGGCGCGUGACGGUGGUGUAGGUCGACACCGGAGCCGACUGCUGGAGAAGAAGAAUGCCGCGGGCGCCGGCACGGAAAUGCGAAGCUCCGCGACGGGGAAGCGGCUCGACGUCGAGAGGGGCGUCCCGAAGCCAUGCUGAAUCAUCGACGAUGAAGGAGAGAGCACCGAAGAGGAUCUCGUGACCCAUGCUCGAAUCUCCACCGAAUGACAUGACGAAAAGAUGUAGUCGCAAACUCGCCGGAAGUCGCUUAGACGCCUGCCCCACGGUGGGUGCCAACUGUCGUGGGUAUAAGUCUGACAGUAGAUGUGUAGGGUACGAAAGGAUGGGCAGAGCCUUAGCUACGGUGAGGUUGUAUGAGUUCAUGCCCCUCUACGGUGGAGGUAAUAGCCCUACGCCUCAGUGCUCUGGGAGCNNNNNNNNNNNNNNNNNNNNNNNNNNNNNNNNNNNNNNNNNNNNNNNNNNNNNNNNNNNNNNNNNNNNNNNNNNNNNNNNNNNNNNNNNNNNNNNNNNNNNNNNNNNNNNNNNNNNNNNNNNNNNNNNNNNNNNNNNNNNNNNNNNNNNNNNNNNNNNNNNNNNNNNNNNNNNNNNNNNNNNNNNNNNNNNNNNNNNNNNNNNNNNNNNNNNNNNNNNNNNNAGUGCGCUACCCUCCACGACGGUUCGGUGCACAGGGGUGGAGUAGUGGCGAAUAAAUGCCUACGUUACAGGUAAUGUAUGUAUUAAAUGCUAAUAAAGGCACAUGGAAACGUACGACCGUUUCCCUCCAGGGGGUAUGAUGCACAGAGUGGAAUCCAGUCGGUUAGUUUGUUACACUCCGAAUGCUCAUCUCCGACUGGAUGGUGGAGGAUUUGUUACCGACUGGAUGAUGGGAAGUCCAUAAGACGGUCGGAACUGACUAAGGGUCUUAUCCCUUAUGAAGGGUAGUCCUUGGAUAGGACUUAUAGGGCAGGCCUAUGACCCUACCCUAGGACUAUAACCCCAUCAUGAUCACAAUGAGACUAUUAAACACUUUUUUCUCCAGUUUCCAUUGGCUAGACUUCUACGCUUACUAUUCAUGUAGCCUUCAAUAUAAACCCUCCAAUAAGUAUGAACACAUUAUUUGGGACGUGGCUUAAUGGAGUGGACGUUAAUUUAUCUAGAUAAAUUCAAAUAGAAAUUUGUGCAAUGCUUUGGGCUAUAUGAAACUGCAGGAGUGACAUGAUAUUUAAGAGGAAGAACGUCGCCAAUUUCUUGCAGGUUAUCUACAGAGCUACCGCAUGGAUCCGUACAUGGUCGUUACUCACACAUGUGGAGUCCAGGGAGCUUUUGGUUACUAGGUGCAACUAGUGGGAGACGACAACAUGGAUUAUCUUCAACCGAUAUGGAUGACGGCAAACUAAUAGGGUAGGUGUUUAGCCAUCGUAGCCUGCUUUUAUCAUGCCACAUUGGCAUGUAUUUUCCUUUUAUUUUCAGCUCUUUGAGCUCCACUUUGGAUACUAUAGUUUCGGUGAACUUUUUUGGCUUAAUAAAAUGGCAGCAUGUAUCAUCAUGAUGCAGAGGCCCGGGAGCAUCCCCUUUAUUUAAAAAAAAACUACAUGAUACAAGAAGACAUGAACAUAGUACUCGGAGCAGACAGAAAAGGAAUACUCAGCCCAAACAAUUGACACGCAUGUGAGCGCGCGCACACACACUGCUAAACCCGUCUAGCCUCCCCUUCACCUAUACAGGGUAAGGAGAUGCGGGUUCACGAGACCCAGACCGCAUCAAGACUAACACGAGGCACCACAACCGAGCGGCCACGACUCAAUGCUCAAUUACAUAAACGUACAUCCGUCUAAACCGCCAAGAGAUCGGCGAGUAAGUAACAGGACCUGGCCAGGCCGGAGGCGGAAGCCCACGUAAACAUCGCCGAGGACAUGCAUAGGGCCCAAAAUGUCCAUGCCUUGAUAGGCGGCCCACCUUUACAUUUUCUCCAAAAUAAAUGCCCAAAUUUUGAAAUUACAUGAACAUUUAAUAAAGCAUUGGAAAUUUUAGAAGUUAUUCAAACCUUUUUGAAAAAAUACAAUAUAAUUUUUUGAAAGAUGAAAACACCUUUUGAAAUUAUAUGAACUUUUCAAAAAUUUGUGACAACUUUUCAAAUCACACAUAAUUUUUAAAUACGUAACUUAUUUUCUUACUUACUAAAAAAGAAAUAACGGCUUUCAUUUUUUUUGAACUUUCAAAAAGACCAUGAAAUUUAUAAAUAGUCAAUACGGUUAAAUAAUUUUCAAACAUUUUAGAAAUAUUCACACAUUUGAAAACUGUUCAAUUAUUUUGUAACAAAAUCAUUCACGCAAAAAAAGGGUUCAUAUCCGUAAAAUCUUCAUGAUCAAGGGAAAAAAUAAAUAAAAUUUUGCAUUAAAAUAAUGAAAAUGAGAAAAAAGUAAACAUUACUAGGGAAAAAGAAAAAUAAUAUAGUAUAAACGAAAUAAAUCCGUCUUACAUGGUACAAAACGACAGGAAAAACACGUCAUGUACAAAACCAUGGAAACCGAGAGAGAUCCAAAGAAAACAGUUUUAGCGGUGAGGUGCGAGAUGAGAGAAAGAACAGAGAAAAGCUUAAUGGGAUGGCUGCCCGAUUUCUUCAAUUUUGCUAGUCCCCAUUGCUACAAGUUCGCAUAAGUGUUCCUCUGUUUUGAAUGCAACAGAUUUUUUUUUCUUUUGAGAAAUGAAUGGACCGGAACAAGAAAUAAGUUUGGACCCUGCGCCAGGAUAUGCGAAUAUACCUCGCCUGACGCGAAGAUGGAAACCAGGCUCGCCCGUGCAGCGCCGUCACAUUGGGACAGGCGGGCCGCCAGGAGGCUAUAUAAGACUCACUGCUCGAUUUGUUCAACAAAACGUACACUUUUCUUAGUGGCUGGAGCUAAUUAAUGCCGUGCGGCCAUGAUCGAAUCCGGCAGUGUACAUUUUUUUUUAAAUAGUAAUACAUUCAGCAAAAUUUAAAAAACACCUUGCAUAAUUUUAAUAAAAAUACUAAGCAAACAUUUCUAAAAAGUUAAAUGUGCAUAAUUGUUUUUUCAUGUAUACAGAAAAUAUACAAUGUGUAUGAAAAAAGUUCAUCAUGUAUUUAAAAUAUAUGUUCAUUAAGUAUUUCAAUAAAAUUAAUGAAUCAUUAGGAAAUGAUAAAUGUGUGUGGGCAAAACUAUUUUCUUGUAUACGAAAAACAUAUAAAAAAUAUAGGUUUGUUAAAUUUUUUAUCACGUACUAAAUAUUUUUUCCCAGAAGAAUAUACUAUCUCCGUCCGAAAAUACUUGUUAUAAAAAUGGAUGUUUCUAGAUGUAGUUUAGUUGUAGAUACAUCAAUUUUUAUAUAUUUGUGCGACAAGUAAUUCCGAAUGGAGGGAGUACUCACUUUUUAUAAAACAUGUAUAAACAUAUGUCCGGAUGUAAAACUGUACAAUGGGUAUGCAAAUAAUAGACACAAAAAUAUACUCUAUUUAGAAAACAUAUGUUUGUAAAAAAUAAAUCAUGUAUCUGAAAAAUAUUCACCAUGUACACAAAAAAUAUUUCCUGUAUUUGAAUAAAAAUUAUAACAUGUGUAAGAAAUGUUCCUUUUCUAUAUGAAAAGAGCAAGAAAAACCCAUAGAUAACCGAGAAAGACAAACAAAACAAAACAAUGAAACCUGAAAAAAGAAAUGAAAGAAAAAACCCAGAGGAAACCAAGAAAGGAAAAGAAAUCAAAGUAUGACAAAAAGAAAAAGUGAAAAACAAGCGGAUAAAAUCCAGUGAAAUCCGAAAAAAGAAAUAACGAAAGCAAAUAAAUCAUAGAAAAAAAUCUAGUAAUACCAAGAAAGAAACAAAGAAGACUAUUGAAAAGAACAAAGUAAACCUAUAAAAAAGGAUAACCAUGAAGAAAACAAAGAAAACCAAAAGAAAAACGAAAAAAAAAUAGCAAAAAACAAAAAAAAUCUGGAAGGAAACCUGACUGCACUAUCAGCGGCCAACCCACCGAGUGGGGUGAGCCAGCGACCCCGGUUAAAAUGCGGAGAGCGAAAUAUUCAGGUGGCAUAUGCCUCGCUAUAAGUGCGAUAUAGGGCGUGGCAAGGGCACAAGGGCGACAAUCUACUAGACAAAAAGGAGAUGCCAACGCAGUACAUAUGUAUACGGAUACAGGGACAUGGUAUAUUGUGAGAUUUUAUUUUUUAUGAUAAUAUGUGUCUCAUUGAUAUUAUAAAAAUAAAAAUACAAGUUACGUAUACCAACAUGACAAAACUAAAAAAAUAACAGAACAUCUCUAAGUUUGACACCAACAUAUGUCGCGUACCUCUGACACUGUCAUAGCAGCCACCAAAGAAAAGAAUGGCGAAUCACCUCCUCAACCAAGCUCGACGCGAUUCCAUCGCUUACAUGCAACUUUGCGGACCUUGAAGGUGACUUAUCAAAAGUGAAGCCAUGAGGCUGGUUGUAACGGGGAGUGUCAUAUACUAGUAUCAUGCAUAUGAUAUUAGUGUAUGAUAGUACAUCCGUAAUGCAUAGUAGCAUGUCCUACUAUCAUAGGACAGUUUAUUUAUUGUCAUGCAUGAUACAUAGUAGUACAACAUUUAAUAUGAUAUGAUAUCAUAAUAUGAUGUUUAAUAUUUUUUUCUUCAUUUAAUUCUAUGUCAUCUCAUCAAAUAUGGCUAGUUUGAUACUACUACUUAUAAUACUUUCAUUAUGACUAGCCUUAUCGUUGAACGAAUCAGACCAGGAUAACACCUCGAACACGCCAUCAAACUUCACAUAUGACACCCCACCGAAAGAUAUAUCUUGCCUAGAAUCAUAUUUAUCAUGUACGUAGUACUCCCUUCAUCUGGAAUUACUUGUCGCAGAAAUGAAUCUGUCUAGACACAUAUUUACUUUUAGAUAUAUCAAUUUCUAUCCAUUUUUACGACAAGUAAUUUGGGACGGAGGGAGUAGAUACCAACCUUUUUAUAGAUCAGAUAUAUACCAACUAAACACCAACUAAACACGUGCACAUGCUAGAUCGGCCGGCCCUUUACGAGGUUUGUCUGUGUGUUUUUCCAGCCGGUUUGGGGAAGUUCUAGAACCUUCCUUAAACUGAACUUUCUCAACAUUUUCUGUGUUUUCCCUUUUUUCAGCUGUUUAUACCAAUUUUUUUUUUUUUUUGGAUUUUGAUUUUUUCAAUUCUCAAACAUUAAUAUUGUUUAUCUUUCUGUCCUCUUCUUUUAUUUUUUUUCCCAUUUUAAUUUUAGAAGAAAUUUGUAAUUCACAUACAUUUCUGUAUUCAUGAACUUUUUUGAAAUUCUUAAAAAAAUUCUAAAACUCACGAAUAUUAUUUCAAUUCAUGAACUUUGUUUGAAUCGACAAACAUUUUCUGAAAUUUGGGAACAAUGUUGUAAAUUUGUGUCCAAUUUUUGAAAUACAUGAAUAUUUUUUAACAUGUCCGGGAAUCAUCAACACGACGACCGCCUAUAUCAACUUUGUCGUCUUCAUCAACAUCUUCAUCAAUUUUUCUGUCUAUUCAACAGUUCUCUCUCCCAGAAUCCUCUGUAAUAUCCUACUUAAACAUGGUGUUGGAUAUUGUUAAUUAUUAUAUGAUGAUUUCUUGUGUCUUCUAUAGGUUUGAGUAGAUUAUUUUUGUCAUAUGGGUUAAUUGAUGAACUGUUGUGAUUGGUUUGAGUUUCAUGUUGUCCUUUGAUACCCAUCAUAUGAGCGCUCACGUUGAUGGCACUCUAGGGUUUGUUCUAUGUUGAUACGACUAUGCAUACGGUGGCUGAAGUGACCAGAACCUCGCCACACUAUUGAAAUUAAUGCAUAUGGAAUUGAAGGGGACCAAUAUAUCUUACUGUUAUGGUUGGGUUUACCUUAACGCGCGUGUUAGCAUUUGCAGAUGCUUACUAAUGGUUUCAAUCAGAAGUACAUAUGAUUAAACAUGAAAAAUAUAUUCCUAGAGGCCUCUCCCACAUAUAAAGCUGUGAUGAUAAUAAUCGGUCUAGUAACUUAGUCAAUUGUCCAGGACGAUGAUAAUAAAUUGUGUCUCGAUCUCUAUAGUGCUUUGGAUACUUUGGAAUUUUUGACACACGGAACAUGAGAAACAUAUCCAUUUCAUGUCCUUCUCAAUCUAUCUCGAUUGGCUGCUUCCAAAAAUCCUGACAACCUAUCCAUGAACCCAUUGCUCAAACUGUUCUUGCAAACAUCCAAGCUCGAUCCACAUCCGCAACAUAACAAAAGUACCACAUUAAUAACCUGCUAUUACAAAAUUAUACGUGCAUCAUAAUUAUAUUAUUAACACAUUAGCUAGCACAUCUAUUUUGUUUACUUUGCAUAUUAACUUUGUCUUGUGAAUUUUUUGUGAAUUUUGCCCAACCUUGUGAGUCAUCCAUUUCAAAUUAUUGACCGGCGGCAACACUCCCUCUCGAAAUGGUGCCCGACAAAACCCCUCCAUAUCGAUUCAGCAACAACUUCCCCCCUCUCAAAACAAUGACUAGUGACAACCUUGCACCUUAGGUUUGUGAUAAGCAGGAGCAAUCAUCCCACUAAACAGGGCAUCAAGUCAAUGGACAAAUCUCACACUGAACUCAUGGUUAGUGACAUGGUAACAAACAUUCCAGGUAGUUUCCAAAUAGCAACCCAGUUUCAUUUUAUAGUUGUCUGCAGUAAGGUUGCUCGUAAUGAGAGUAUCAUAGUUAGUAUAAUGCAUGUCAACUAGGCAAUUUUGAUGUGCUCACAUAAAAUUAAAUGAAGAAAGAUAAGAUUGAACAUUAUAUCAUGGUACCAUAUCAUAAUAAAUAUUGUACUACUAUGUGUCUUACAUGAUAUUAAGUAAAAUCAUCUAUGAUACCAGCAAUAUAAAUAUAAUAUUAUAUAUUAGUAUCAUAUGCAUAUGCAUGAUACUAAGAUAUUAUACUACUCCCUCCGUUUCAAAAUAUAAGUCUUUUAUGAGAUUGCAUUAGGGACUACAUACAAAUAUAUAUAGACAUACUUCAAAGUAUAGGUUCACUCAUUUUGCUUUGUAUGUAAUCUGAAAUCUGUAAAAAGACUUAUAUUUAAAAAACGAAUGGAGUAGUCACUAGCAACAGCCUAAACAAGUAUUACAGGCGGUUUCCAAACUACAUGCAAUUACUGAUCAUGGGGAGCAAUGUACUCCUCUAGUCGUCUUGUUGAUGGAAAAAAUAUUUACAAUCAAAUUAAUCAGUGUGAAUGUUGAUGGAAAUUUGUGUUGGUAAUUACAGCGAGAAAUUAAAGAAGCAGGGCAAUGUGCUCCUCCUGGCGUCGACGAUCAGCGUGACGAAAUCAGCAAGGGUAAUACGCCUUGAGGUGCGCUUGUAAGCAUGGCGAGUCCUUCCAAACCCUAGCGUGCAUCUUGAGCAGCUCCUUGGCCUUGGCCCUGGCCCGCUCGCCGGCAUCCACCUGUAGAACCAGCAGCAGCUUGGCGACCACCCCGACGGCCAGCAUCUCCUGCAGCACGGCCGGCGUCGGCGAGUGCCUAGCCACGGCGUGCAGAGCGCGCACCGCGCUCUCGGUGGUGGUCGGUGACACCCGCAUAGCCUUCUUGGCCACGACGGCCAGCCCUGCCGGGUGCGCCACAAGGUCCGACCGCCCCUCCGCACAGCCGCAGAGGUGGUCGAUGGCCACCACCGCCAGCUCGGUGGGGUGCCGGCCGCCUUCGUCGAGGAGCAGCUCCACCAGCACAGUCACCGCGCCGGCCUCGACGGCCUUGACACGGUUGCGGCCCCACGGACAUAGCCGGCACAGCACGUUCAGCGCCGCCUUCACCGCCUUGGCGGACACCCUGUCAGACACCACGCGUACCACCUCCUGCACCAGCUCGGUUCUCACCGUCAUCAGCCUCGCCGGCUCCAUGACCGACACCAUCGCCUUCAGCAGGAUGAUGCCGUAACAGCGGGACCGGUAGCUCGGUCGCCGCAGCAUGCACACCAGGGUGUCCAGGAAGUCUACGUUUUUCUCGAGGAUCCGGAGCAGGCUCUUCUUGGACGGCUUGAGCGAGCAGAUGACGCUGAGCGCGUCCUCCUCCGGCGAGCUCGUGGACGUCGGGGAAUCCAGCGAAAGUUCUAGCAAAUCUUGAGCCGACUUGGACGUGGUGGCAUGGUUCGUGACGACGGAGACGAGGAACUCGACGGCGCCGGGCGUGGCCUCGACGCAGCGCCUGUUGCGAUCGCUCUCGGCGACGAUGGCCUUGAUCUCGCGGAGCGCGGCCAGCUCCUGCUGCCGGCCGGCACCGUGACCCUCUUGGACGAUCUCGGCGACGCGGCUGGUGUCGAGGGGCGGGCGCGGGGUGGGGAAGCGCUCGACGGCGUGGAGGGAGCACCAGGCCUGGGUGAGGCGGCGGAGCGUGUGGUUGGGCGUGGCAUCCCGGUCGGCCUCCGCAAUCUUCUGCUGCGUGACGGGGCAGGUGGCGUGGCCGUCGGAGAUCCAGCGCUCGAUGCUGGUGCGGUCGUAGGUGAUGCCGGUGGCGAGCGUGACGGGGUCCCGCAUGAUCUCCAGCGAGAUCGGGCACAGGAAGUACGGCGGCACCUCCACCGUCGGCCCCUCCAUGGCCGUAGGUCGCGAAGGAUUGCUCGUGAAAUGGAUCUGGUGGAGAGCAGAGCGAAUGAAGAAGACGCUGACCGAGUUGGUGGAUGGAGUUGAACACAAAUCGAAUGGGAGGGGGAGUGGGUGCGCGCGCGUUUUAUAGGAAGUGGAUCACGCGAAGAAGUCCACGCGUGUUAGCAAGAGAUUAGAGGAGAUUAAUUGCGUGGGUUGGGUUGGGUCGGAUUGACUUGCGGGGUCGGUGUUGAGCUGGCUCCAUGUUUUGACUUUGUGAAUUCAUCUUGCUCGGUCCUUUCUGCUGUUCGACUCCGUUGCUCUUGAAAGAUUCCGUUUCUGUGGGUAUGAAACACCGUUGAAGUUUAGCCGCUGCGUAGAUUGGUUGAAGGGUAAUUUUCGCCACCUCCGUGGUUUUAGAGUAUCUACAACCAGACCCUUAUAUUCGUUUCGAACGUUGGACAGCCGAUCAAUCAGCGUACGGCCAGAGAAAAUCUACCCAAAUGGAAUGCACUAAGAGCAAGCUGCUGGCUAUAAGCCACUGCCAUGUCAUCUAUAGCCCAUCUUAUAGCUAACAUGUACAAUACUUCAUUGUAAAAGUGUAUUACUUCUUCAUUAUAUGGUCCACCUUUCAUACUCAUAAAAUGCCUAGGAGCACGUGCUAGAGCUGGCUCUUAGCUAAGAGGCCGCUUACCUUCUCUCCCCUCUUAGCUAAGAGGCCGUUUCUGUGGGUAUGAAACACCGUUGAAGUUUAGCCGCUGCGUAGAUUGGUUGAUGGGUAAUUUUCGCCACCUCCGUGCACUUAAACAUCUACAACCGGACCCCUUAUAUCUGUUUCAAACGUCCGGUCGACCGGUCGGUCAAUGUCCGAUCGAAAAAAAAGCAAUCCAAACGGGCGUUCUAAACGGGUCUCAAAUACACGAGCUGACCGACAUCCAUCAUAUCUAGCAUAAAUAUGGAGCGAAUAUGUGGAGCCCGUGCGUGCCCGGACAUGCUUGCCUGGCAGGCCUGGGCCACCAUUGACCCCACCGACAUGUCAGUUUGGCCCACCAUGGACACCAUGAAAUAUUCCAAUUCGGUAACCCUAGACAUCCGACAGUUCAGUCUCCAUCCACUCCAUUUCCAAUCCCCCCACUUCGAUCCAAUGGCUGGCCAUGGAAGCAACUCCGACAGAUCGAACAUCGAUGUCGAGGAGGUGGCCCUCUGCAUCGCAUUACUCCGGUCGCUGCAGGACAAAAGGGGCCCCGUCGGCAAUGCAUGUGCAUCCUCCGGGCACGUCGCACACCGACGGAGUGCCGGCGACAUCGCAUGCCCUUCCCGCAAGGCACAUAGCUCCGACCGCUCCUGCUCUGGCUGGUCCGCUCCCGUUCUGGUCGGUACGCUCUAGGUCAGGUACGCCACCCAUCUCCACCACCUCCUGCUCCAAAAGCGGUGCCCGACCACCGUGGAGUCCUCAUGCCCGCGCCGGGGACGUGGUGCACGAUGAUACCGGAGUUCGGGGUGCAUGCACCCGAGCGACAACGGACGAGGAAGAGGGGGGAGGCCUUGGUCGCGCAGCGUUCGACCUUGAGCGCACCGGUCGACCCCGAGGACGCACUCCUCGCGGGCACCUACGUCGCUCGCUGACUACAGCGGAGACGAAUGCAUGCCGCCUCCGCCGCAAGAAUGCUAACUCACCUCGACUAGCCAUCCAGUUAUCAGAACGCGAGGGAGCUAAAGAGGCGGCGGCGAAGGCAAAAGUGGUAUGUCACGCGAAGGAGCAAGACCGCCUACUCCAUAGGCUGUUCAGCAUGCGGGGCAGCUCCGACGAGGACGACAACGACACCUCCACCUCCGGCUCCGAUGUUAACGACGACAAUGCUCCACCGCACGGUGACGUCUAAACGUAGAAGAGGCAUAACCGCGUGGAUGACCGAAAAGGGAAGGGGAUAAAAAUGGAGGGAGUGCUACAAAAGAUGUCCCUGGGGCCUGCUGAUCAUUCGCCAGAAACUGUGGGAAUGAAUAUGAUACAACGCCGUAGUAUCAAUCGGUUUUCACUUUGUUUUUCGUCAACAGCUGGUUACUUUUUCUAACGAAAUGAAAUUUUCUCCUAGAUUGCGCUUUCAGUAGGCAUCGACUGCGUGUUGGAAAACUAUGCAACCAUUCCAUUAUUUGUAAUGGGCAAAACUAUUUUUUUCGUCCUUUUACCUUUUUUUAAAGUUGGUUUGUUGAACAUUAAAUAUACCUGUUGCACGUCCCGUAACAUGUGUAGUUAAAACUUUAAAUAAUUCAGUUGUACUACUAAUAUCUUUUGAUGUGUUAGUUUGAUUUUCAAAACUUUAGAUGACCAGUUGCACAUCAUAUACACACCGUUGCAUAUUUUCAAGAUGUGCAUUUGUGUAGUGUGCAAUGAUUUCUGUGUUAUGUGUAUGUUUUUCAUAAUUUUCACGGGUGCUAUUUUCCGCUUUUUAUUCUUGCUGAUUGAAACUUUGUUUUUUUUCUCCAUGUACUAAUAUAUUUUUCAUAUUACCAAUUAUAUUCACUGACGGAGCGUCGGGGGGACCAAGGAGGGACCUCCCCCGNNNNNNNNNNNNNNNNNNNNNNNNNNNNNNNNNNNNNNNNNNNNNNNNNNNNNNNNNNNNNNNNNNNNNNNNNNNNNNNNNNNNNNNNNNNNNNNNNNNNNNNNNNNNNNNNNNNNNNNNNNNNNNNNNNNNNNNNNNNNNNNNNNNNNNNNNNNNNNNNNNNNNNNCCUCUUACAAGAGGAAAAUUGCAAGGAUAUGCUCCUCUAAGCAUAAACUCUCUGGUAAUCUCCCGGCAUCCUUAAUUUCUCUAGCUAGCCCCUCCUUGGAUUUAGAUUACGCUUCCGCCACUUAGUAUAUUUGUGCAUAUUUGUUGAGCUUUAUUUUCACAUCUUCGUUUGGUCAAGCACAUAUUCAAAGUACCAAUCGGACUCUCUUUAAAAAACAGUUCUAGUGUGCACGCCGGUGUAAAAUCUCGAUGAAAAGAUCGAAUAUGUGAAAUUUAGAAGCUUUGCAGUUUAAUCGUGGCAGGUUUCUUUUAGGAUCUAAGCUAAUGUUUGUUAUAUGGAAUGCAAAGUGUUCCAGUUUAUAAAGAAAGAUCCAAAUUAAACUAAUGCUUAGAGUUUUUGUCAAAGUGUUCCAUUUGUCUGGCCCAGAAUCAAAUGGGUAACUUAACCGAAACCACUUGUCAUUGUAUUCCAUGGGCUUACCUAUGAAGCAUUGAUACAACAAUACAGAAUACGAUAAUUUUUAAAAACAUCAAUACGUCAAUACAGUAAGUAUAUACAAAUAAUAAUAAAAUAAUUGUAAUAAAAACAAACAUAAUAAAUUGUGUUAGAAUAGAUCAAAAUGUACUAGGCGAUGAAUAAAACUCCCUUUCACCCACAAAAAAGUGUAAUAGGCAGUGCAUUAGUAAGUUGUUCAUGGCUUAAUAAGAAGGUUAGCGUAUGUUUUAGGAUAAUUCUUCGGGUGCGCUUUGUCAGCGGCUCAUGUCCCUUUUCUUUGCGAGCGGACGAGCAUCGCGGAGUUAACACUGUUAGCAUAUGACUAAUUAUUAGCAAAGCAGUAACAUUAGCAAGCAACUACUAUCUCUACACAACCUACUGAAUCAAGUAAUCUACAACUACAAGGAGCCAACCUGCUCAAUCUACUACAAUGUCAACCUACUUCAUCACUAAUAAUUGAAGACGAAAAGAUGAAUGGAUAGAUCAAGUAAAGAGGUGGCGAGUGUGACCAGCAACGACGACAGAGUUCAGUCGAUGUGGGGCGUUAGGAGUUGAUAGGGCAGCGAACAGAGUGAAAUGAGUACUCAAGUUAGGGUUAGUAUUGGGCUUGUACUGGGCUGGCCGUAUCCCAGCCGUGGACGGUGAACAACAUGUAUCGGUGUUUUUAUCUUCUUUUUUUCAAAUUAAAAAAAGAUACUUCGGUGAUACCAGUAUUGAUGCCGUAUCACACGUAUCAGCGUCUGAAAUACAGGACAGCGAUACACAUGUCUUACAAGUAUCGGUGCUUCGUAGGGGCUUACUGGGAUGGAGUGUUAGUGGACAGCGGACGAAGAUGACGAUGCCACGGAGGUCGACCAGUCGGCAGUCGUGAGCUGUUCAUGGCGCAGCUGACAACGAAGUGCUGGAUCGAUGGCCAAAUUUAAUCAAGAAAACAUUUUUUUCCCUGCAUAUAAAAAGAGAAAAGGAAAGGUAGUACGUACUACUCUUCCCCGCCGCAGCCGCNNNNNNNNNNNNNNNNNNNNNNNNNNNNNNNNNNNNNNNNNNNNNNNNNNNNNNNNNNNNNNNNNNNNNNNNNNNNNNNNNNNNNNNNNNNNNNNNNNNNNNNNNNNNNNNNNNNNNNNNNNNNNNNNNNNNNNNNNNNNNNNNCAAUCGGAGCAUUCAAGGUUCAAGUGGAAGCUACCGCUGACCGACAGGGCCUUGCAUGCAUGCAUGCUGGCGCCACCAAUCAUCUCGCGUAUACGUGUCGGAGCAUACGAAGUGGCCUGAUCGAUGGCGUAUACGUGUGUCGUCUACGGCCAAAUUGAAUCAAGAAAACUUUUUUUCCUGCAUAUAAUAAUAAGAGAAAAGGAAAGGUACUACUAUUCCCCGCCGCAGCCGCNNNNNNNNNNNNNNNNNNNNNNNNNNNNNNNNNNNNNNNNNNNNNNNNNNNNNNNNNNNNNNNNNNNNNNNNNNNNNNNNNNNNNNNNNNNNNNNNNNNNNNNNNNNNNNNNNNNNNNNNNNNNNNNNNNNNNNNNCAAUCGGAGCAUUCAAGAUUACUCCCUCCGUACCUAAAUAUAACUUUUUAAAUAUUUCACUAGAUGUCUACAUACAAAGCAAAAUGAAUGAACCUAUGUUUUAAAAUAUGUUCAUAUACAUCCGUAUAUAGUUCAUUAGUUGAACCUCUAGAAAGACUUAUAUUUAGCAAGGGAGUAGAUUUCAAGCGUAAGCAACUGCUGACCGAUAGCCAGAACCAUGCAUGCAUGCAUGCAUGCAUGCUGGCGCCACCAAUCAUCUCGAGCACUCACCAUCAUCGCCAGCACUCACGGCAGCUUCCGGCCGCACGCGACCGGGGCCCGCAUGUCGGCGCGGUUUGACCGCCCCGUCGUUUUCUUCAACGCACGCGCGCGCGCUCGAUCGUAAACUAUUUUCCACGUGCUGUUUUUAAAUGCAAAUGAAUUCGGCGCAUGCGCACCAGCCACUACUACUUGUAUGCGCCAGCCUUUGUAUAUUUCGUCACGUGCCGUGCGUGCAUGCAUGCAUGCAUGUUCCCUUCUCCGGUUUCCGUGACGUUGAAAGGUUCUCCAAACCGAUCGCCAGCCGUGAUCGAAUCACAGAAAAGACCCAGCAUAUUUUGGUAGUACGUUAAUUUUGUUUUUGAGGAACCAGCAGGAGUUCUGCCUUUUUAUAUAAAAAAAGAAGAAUUGACCAGUUAAUUUUGAUAGUAUGUUAUUGCCAUUGUAUGUGACCAACUGAGUCGAGGGCCCGCGCUGCCUGCGUUAGAUCGAUGAUGACCUAACUACGUCGACCAGCUCUCCUACCAGAGGCGCUCAGUCGUAUUUAAGGCGGUAAUAUAAUGCUACCGGGAAUCUUCUAAAUUGCCAGGAAGUGCGGAAUAGAGGGGUGGUUUUCUGAGCGAUCCCAUCAGCUCUCCUACCACAGGCGCUUUGGUCGUAUUUAAGGUGAGGAACUGUUCUUUGUUGAUCAGGAGACGACCAACUCUUCUAGUGGCUCUACUGUUUCAAAGAGGAACCUUGGCUGGAAUCUCGCAUUUCUACACCUAGUGUGAUUCUACAACUUUUUGUCGUGUUGUUUCGCCUUUGUAUUUUUUUUAUUUCCCUGUAUAUUAAAAAAAUGGGACUAUCUAUUUGUCAUCCGACUAAAAAUCAAUUGGACAUCAUUCACAUUUUCCGACUGAAAAUCUGUUUUACCCGGUACAUUCCAUGUUGUUCUAUCUUCAUAAAAAAUGUCCUACUUUUUUUCGAAACCACCGUCCCAAUUGCUAAGGUUUCCGAGGAGCGCUCUACGCAAUUAUUGACCUCUUGGUCACGGCAUGAACACCUGCGACUACUUUUCCAACGACGACUUCUUCCCUAACAUCGACAACCUCUUGGGUGACAACAACAUCAAUGCCAAUGCCAAAGCUAAUGCCACUGCAUAACUCAGUUUGUGUUUAUGUCUUUUUUGUUCGAGAUCCUACUAGAGUUUCUUGUUCUUGUAUCUGUUCUAGAUAUGUUAUCUUCUAAUUCACAUCUUCAUAUGCUACUCGCCUUCUCUCUGUUAGAUUGCAUGACUUGUUUCGUAUCUGCUAUAUUAGUCAUGUUUUAUCUACUAUUUCUAUUAAUAAAAUCAUAUGAUAAAUUGCUUAUUUUUUUAUCAAUUCAAAAACCUUAUAAUAGGCAAUUUAACCAGAGUAGUUUUGCUGCUUUCAUGAUGCCUCUUAGGUUUAAGGGUGUUUACUAUAAGAGGUGAUGUGUGAGAGCAGUUUUAUGGUUUCAAACCAUGAGCUGCUAUGAUGCCAAAGCCACUUUGGAACAUCCUAUGUUUGCUCUGGUACUUCCGAGAACAAUAUUUUCAUGGCUCAGUUGUGACUUACUAUUUACUGUAAAUCCUCUUUCAAAGAACUGCUUGGUCUAGCUACUACGUACUACCAAUCAACUGGUUUUACCUGGUACAUUCCAUGUUGUUCUAUCUUCACAGAGAAUGUGCUGCUUUUUUUUCGGAACCACCAUCCCAAUUGCUAAUUGUACUUACAAGUACUAAUAUGUUUUCACCUAGUAACAAAACAUUGCCGUCACGUUCAUUUUUUUUCGACGGUCUCGGUGGUUCUGCUAGUUUACAACUGGUGCUUCCAAGCCUAGUUUCUAUAUGCAUUAAAAGUCACUAGCAAAAUGGCCCGUGCGUUGCCACGGAAGAUAAAAACAUAAUCUCCAAUGAUGGUGACCACAUUAUGUUCAUAUAUCAUCGCUUGAUUUUAAAAAUUUAUGCACAAAUGCGAGAAAAUAUUUCUUCUUUUAAAUUUAUUCACAAGUUGAAGCAAUCUUUACAUUGUCAAAAAAUAUAUAUCAUGGUUGUCAAAAAUCUUGGUAACUCAAAGAUUUAUUCUGAAUUUCAAUAUUUUUUAAAAAAAACAUACAAUAAUAAUUUGAUCCAUCCAACAAUUAAUUCUUCAAAAUUCACACAGGUAUAUUGUCACAAAGACAUAGAAGUAUUAAUGUUUCACUACAUACAUUAGAUCUUUUGUGGAGAAUUUUAAAAAUAUGGAAAUAAUUUUAAAAUCGAGAACAUUUUUUACAAUUUACAAACAUUUACUAAAAAUCGUGAAUAUUUUUUAUAUUCCGAACGGGUUUAAAUAUUUUCUUUUGAAUUGGCGACCAGUUCAAGAAAAGACGAUCAUAAUUUUUUAUGUUGGAGGAUUUUAUUUUAAAUUCACAAACAUUUUUUGAAAUGCAUGAAGUUUUUCUGAAUAAACAAACAUUUUUAUAAAUCAGUAAUAUAUUUACUAAAUUAAUGGACAUUGUUUUGGAAUUUGCAAAAAAAAUAUAAUAAUCCGGCGCUUUUUUGAAUCCACAAACAUUUUAUGUUUUCGUCAGCAUUUAAUUCAAAAUUCCUCUUUUUUAAGAUGCAAAAGUUUUUGUAAUUCUAAAUUAUUUCAACUAGAAAUAAACAAAAAUGGAACGGAAAAUUUUAAAUAAAAAAAAGAAACUAUCGAAACAGGCAUUAGCUAUUUUUAAAAUUUUAGGACAUUCUUUAAAUGCAUUACCAUAUUUUGAAUUAGAAAGUAUUUUGUUAAAUGCCUUUAAUAAUUUUUAAUACAUGGAAUUGUAUUUGAAAUCAUGGACUUUUCUUAUUGUACAAACAUUUUAUUGUAUAUGCGAUAAUUUUUUACAAAACUCCGAGCAGUUUUUGAAGUCACAAACAUUUUAUUUUUUAAAAUAUGUUGAUUUAUAAUUUUCAGUUUAUUAAAUUUUUAAAGAUUAUUUGAAGUUCUAAAUUAUUGAAAAUAAAAAAUAAAAUGGAACUGAAAAUAAAUAAAUAAACGGAACUAAAAGCAGGCGUCUGUGCAAGGGCCGGCCCAUACGGUGUGCUGGAUAUUCUCCCAGCGUGCAGAGCGUAAUAUAGGAGGUUUUUACAUGGGCCGGCCCAGUUCAAGAUUUUUUUGCUUUCUGAAACAUUUUCUAUUACUUACCAGUGGCAUGGUGGGUAAUAAAUGCAAAUUUUAAGGGUAAUCUCCAUGACGGACGACGAGAAACCGAAUUUGCUUUAUUAUUAGGGAGAGAUAUUUUGGACUCUCUGUCUCUAUCAAUAGCCUUUCAUAUCCUUCUAUGGCUGCAUCCAUCACAUCCAUAUAAUUUAUCAUUGUUCAUCCCUGUAAGCCACUUCUAAUUUACUUCACUUCACUCCACCCACCUAUCACAUAGAGGAAGAGAUAUCCAAGGUAAGAAAAUAAGAGAGGAGUGCUGGAUGAUUCCAUGUCCAGUGUUCGAUUUUUGUAAAGCCAAGAGCUCCCCUUUCUCGAAUUAUGGAGAGAAGCUUUGAUGCAAGAUCAUUCAAGGAGUACUUAUCAAGUGACUUUUAUUUUCUUGUUACUCUUGGAUAGUAAGCACAUAACCUAGAUGGUUAGGAGUCACUUAAAAUAUAAUCCUUUCAAGUUCUAGGUGUGAAGGAUCCAAAAGCUUGUGUUGUUUUGUCUUUGUACAUUUCUGUUCAUUGUGCAUUGGAACAUGCAAGAACUAGAAAACAUGUCGGGAGAUCGACUUGGGAGGCGACACUCGAGGCGAUUCCGACGAUGGCACGGAAUUGAUUAGAGCAAACAAACGUGGUUACCAUGCAAACUCCUCCUGUUCCGGAGUGAGAUCAACGAGUGACACAUUGUAAAUCAUCUUAACACCGCGGGGUUGUAAGGAGGGGAGAUGUGGAUUACAUGUUUGUGCUCCAAAGUAGACCAUUUCUUGCCAGUGUUGCUGGACCUUUGCCGGACGCCUUUAGCAACUGAGAUGUUUUUCACCAUUUUCGUUGUAUUUCUUAGUUUCAUUUUCUUGUUAUUAUUGUCUUUUGUUCAAAACCACAAGGCUCUGUCUAGCCAUGAAUUGGUCUUUACAUUCCCUCAGGUAGAUCUUUGGCAAGUGUGAUUUUUUGGUCUUUUAUGUUUUGAUUUUAAUGUGAUUAUGUUUACAACGGAGUUGUGGCUUUGAGAGGUAUUCAGAAAGCUGAUUAAGCGCCCAAUGACAACAAGAUACGUGUUCCAGCAGGACAAGAUACUACGCCCAAAAGAAACUCCAAAUUUAUCCACAAGAAUCAAACUUCCAAGGUGAUUUUUUUUUGUUCUAGUUUGGAUAUGGUGAUAUACAUCCAUUUCCAAUCACUUCACAACAAAUUAGUUGUACAUGUAUUUAUUUUAGCCUUUUCAUCUGCUAUGUAUAAGAUAGGGGGUACAAGUACAAUCCGUUAAUUUCGACAUUAUUCUUCUUUCUGAAAAAUGGAUGUUGUUAUAGUGAUCCCAUUUCACACGCGCUAUCUCUGAUUGCUAAAGUUCUUGGCCUUUUCUGAUACAUAACAAAAAGUGCAGAAAUAAACUUUGCUCCUAGGUAUUGUUACAUACAUGGGCGGAGCUGUAUGGAGCUACCCUGUUGCAUGGGCAACAGGUCAAGUAGCUUCUUACAUGUAGUUUAGUACUUGGAUUAAGCAUGUGUAUAAGUGCAUCAGGCUAAACUAGCAAGGGUGCAACAGGGUAAAUGCAGAUGCAGCUCCGCCCCUGGUUACAUAACCCUUGGCAACCUUGUUCUUUUUUCUAUCUUAUUUCAAAACUCAAUGCCAAACAAGAUAAGACCACGCUUGGAGGUUAGUGUUGUCUCCGUUAGGCUAACCAACACCUCAUCAUCGCAGCCUUCCUCGUUGUAGAACUCACCCAGCUCCACCUCCACCCAACCGUCGUCCCUCCUCCGAGGGAUUGCCAUGUCAUCUCCAAGAGUAAUUUCCCAUUCUAGUCUAUAUGCAGAUGAUUCCAAGACAUGUAUACCCUCCUCCACACAACUUUGCAGGCAAACUUGCGAGAUUGAUAUCUGUCCUUCUCCUACGCUAAAUGAAGCCUCCUUGAAGGGAUAAUCCAACCCACAAAAUGAAGUGGGGUGUAGUUUAAACACCAUGUAAGCGGCAUACGUUACGUUUCCGGAGAGCAUCUUGCUGUGUAUCUUGCCAUGGAUUUCUAGCUUGCCACACUUCCUAAUCGUCACGACAUGUGGGAAUCUAUCACGAAAUAUAGACAGAAUUAAGAUUUUUUUUGAAACGGAGGUAAAAGCUUUGCCUUAUCUCAUUAAUAAAGAAGAAGAGCAUUGCCCGGUUGAAUAACGAAAAACCGGGUGAAAAACCAUUGCAACAUGUCCACACAUGACACACGGGGUGACCUGGCAACCCGUAAAUGAACGCACAUACGUCACCGAGGAGAGAACACCGUUGAGGCUGCAACCCGGUGUCAUCGUCAUCACACCUACACAAGCGCGACUCCAACUUUACCAUCGACGACCAUCAAUAUAGCCCUCACCGUAAGCAAACGCUGAGGCCCACGCUGACCACUACCAAACAGUCAACCACACGCGCCAACUACCAAGCAGCUCCGACUGUGCCGACGAGCAUUCUAGUAGAAAAGCACUGAGACUGAGCCGAGCCAGCGCCAGAACCGACCACCCGCCUCGCGUCAUCAUCGUCGCAAGGCCCCUCCUGAGCAGCUUCGACUCCAGGAAGGCAAAGUGAGGUGCAGCAACCCCUCGAACAUGCGGAUGAGACCGACUACCAAAACUCAGCAACAAACCAACUACACCCAAAACCGCCAUCGUCACCGCACAAGAAGUUGCGCCAACCACAUCACCAGUCGGGCACCUGCCGACCACGAUGUCGUAUGUGUCCAGCUCUUGGAAAGCAUGAAGGAGGCCAAUGACCCUCAAGGCAACGCCCCCAAGGGGGUAGAGCGAGGUGAGAGGAUGAAGCCGUCACCCGACUCACAUCGGAGUCUUAGGCUUUCGCCCGAUGACCAUGGUCCGAAGGUGCUGGGCAAGGAGAGGCUCCACAAUGACCCCCAAGGAGGAAAAACGAUGUCCGCGGACGCCGUGACGUCUAGGAUUUUGCCCAGAGCCACCUCGGCGAGCACCCCCAUGCAACGAGUGGCGCAACACCAUCGCUCUGUAAGCCCGCUGUCCCACGCAGCUCCUACGCGACAACGGUGCCAUCCUCACGCAAGAGCCACCAACCUCAACGCCUGCAAACUCCGGCGAGCCGGAGCCGGCCAAGUCGGCCAAAUCCGACGCCCACCACCGCCACAGAAAUGCCUAGACCACACCGGGAGCCCGAUGCGAGGCCGUCGCCCAACCUUCAGCCGCCCGACGCGACCACCUCGAGCCAGACCACACACGCGCCAGAUACGCGCCACCAUCCGCGCCAGCUCGCAAAUGGCCGCGCCGCGCGCCAAGACCACCUCGCGCCGCCUGGUGCAGCAGAGCACCGGCGCCGCCCCUCGGUGCCACCCGAAUCCACCGCCGGCCCGACACGUCACACCAAGCUGCGCGCCUCCACAAGGUCGGUUGCCCUGCACCGCCCGAAUGCCUCAUGGGGAGAGAUGAGUCCCGCCGCCGCCGACGCACGCAUGGGCUUUGCCCGGCGGCGUCCCCGAGCAGCGGUGAGGAAGGGGAGAGGCAAGUUGUGGGGUGGCGGUGGCGGGGAGCUAGGGUUGCGCCCGGGCCGCUCGAGGGAGCGGCACGGGGCGGGGGUUUAUUCCUAUGGAACGAUCUUGUGGACUGUAGUUUCGUCUGGCCUGACAGAAUUAAGAUUCGUGCCAUGCGUGGAAAAAUACUACUCCCAAUAAUAUAAUUGGGAGAAUUCGUUAUCAUGGAAAUGUAAGGCUUUAUUAACCUUUUGCUAGUGUUGAGAGCUUCGUAAUCAAAACCGCUAGGACUCAAGUACUAUAGGUAGCGCCGGUACUUGGCGAUCUGUAGUAUCUCCGCGGAAAGCACGAAGCACUUGGCGCCGGUAGCCUUGUCGAGCCUCAUGUGCUGCACCACACAUGUGUGUUUGUAGGUAUGUGCAGCAAAACAAAACGAAUAAACCGCGAACAUUUUAAUUAGUGCAUGCAUGGAUCCAUAUGAAAACAUCUCUCGUGCCGGUCGAGGAAUUAGAAGAAAAAAAAACCUAGCUAGCGAGCUUUUAUAUGUUUUACGAUGAAAUUCAGAUGAAGUUUGAUGGUGGUAAUACGACAUACCAUGAGCUUGCGCGGGAGGAAGGCGGGCAGGCAGGAGAGGCGCUGGAAGAGCGCCUUCUUAGACACCGCCCAGCGCCUCUCUUAGACACCGUCGUCGGGGCAAUCAUCUUCUUGGCGAAGCGCGGAAGCUCACGUGGCACGAAGCAGAACCAUACGGUGUCGGCGGCGGCGCGGAAAGGCCGGGAGACGGCUGCGGCAUGGCAGGCGGCCACCGGCGAUGUGAGGGAGAUCACCCGCACAAGUAGCUUGUCCGGCAGGCACCGAUCUGAGAUGACGCAGUAGUAGAAGAUGGUCCAUUUGUCCCGGUUCCACAGGCCCAUUAGCCCCUGUUCUGGACCGGGACUAAAGGGUCGGGACUAAAGCCCAAAACCUUUAGUCCCGGUUCGCUUACCAACUGAGACAGAAGCAGAUCACGUGGACGAUGUUCAAUCUGCAUAAUAUAUAUAGUGAGGAUAAUUAUAUAUACAUGCAAUGAAUGAGCUGAGCUAGAGAAUUAACUAUAUAAGUAAUACUUACAGACAGUAGGAAGUCAUGAGUUGUUUGUCAAUGGUUAGUUGAUUGUAUAACUGAAAUAACUCCUCAAAUUGGAUAGGAAUCACGAGAAGUCCAAUGAACUCGCGCUGUGGUUUCACUGCCACAUACAUAGCGUCUUUCCCAGACUCCCUGCAGGUUUUCAUGUACCACUCAUGCAAUUUGUGUAUCAUCGUUGUUAGAGGAAGAUGACUAGGUUUUACGAGAGGCUUCCCAUGCACGUAUUUAUAUUGUUCUUUUGUUACCUCAGCCGUUUCAAAAAUUACAUCAUCCCCCAAGUAAUCAUCAGGAUUGGUACCGGGCACCAUCCCCGGAUGAUUAGCGAUGACGAUAUCGCUAGACACCUUGAGCGGGGGGCACGAUUGCUUCUCCUAUUGGCUGAACUGGGGAAUUGUUUUCCCACUUCUUCGUUCUGCUAUGUACCUUGCAUCACCGGAAGUAGUUCCUGACCGCCGCGCUUGUGCAUAUGUAUUUUUAAGAAUGCGGUCAUAGUUGGAAUCCCGGCAGAGGCGGUGGUGGUCGCUUCAGUUGAUUGAUAAUGGGCUCCACUUUCCCCGGAUCUAGCUUCUCCAUCUGAGGUGGAGUUAUUUUGCAAAAUGGGCCCUCAAUACGGCACGACAUAUGUCCUCUCAUAUGGUAACUUUUCCAGAGGCUUGAGAGAUGGAUCGUAUCUGAAUUGCCUCCCGCCUCUGCUUGUACUUCUAGCCGCCGGAGAGAAGGAGGCGUCUCUCUUCCGCUUGAGAGAAGGAGGCGGACUGCUCUGACGCGCCGGAGGAGCCGGAGCAGCGGCGUUUGUCUUCCGACGUUGCCGACGAGGUGAAGGAGGAGGCGGACUGCUCUAACGCGCCGGAGUAGGCGAAGGAGGAGGCCGGAGUUGGCCGUAGCAGCAACAGUGACAUCGGUAGCAUCCUCUGCCGCCUUUUUCUCGGCUUCGGCCUUCUCGCGGGCGAGACGGUCGGCUUCGGUUGGUGAAGACAUGGCGAUGACGAAGGCGACAUAGAUGUAGAUGAAGCAGACGGACGGAGGCGAGCAGUCACGUGAUCGCUCCCUAAAAACCUAAUUGCCCCUCUUCCGUACCGGAUCAGUAGAGGCGUGGUUUCGGACGCCUGCUCUCCCGUCGACCGUGUACACUAUGAACGACCCGGAGUCGCCGGCGGCAGUAGCAGCAAAAGGAAUGAGCGCAUGAGGCAUAGGCGAUCUGAUCUCGUGAAUGCUAGGGUUGGCGCUAGCCGUGCUUAUAUAGGUGCGACCGGGUGGAGAGACGUGGGCUGGACCCACGUCCGAGUCGGUAAUAGCCCACAAAAAUAAGUGCGUACGUAUGAGUUCAGCUCGGCUCAUUCCCGCAACCCGUGGCGCGUCGUGACGAGGCGUCGCAUGGUGAGGCGGGCGACGGAGGAGGAGUGCGCGAGGGCCUCUUCUCUUCUCAUGCUCCAAUAGGAUGUAGAAGAGAGACCCUUAUAAAGGGGUCUAAUUCCCUCUCCACUAGGCCCUUGUCAUGCCACCAGUUACAUAGGCCCUUGGAGAUUUCUGAAAUUUUCUCAUGGGUCUUAGGCCCAUCACAGAUUUCAACAAUCCCCAUCAGAUCUCAAGGGCACAUUGUAUUCUUUCGUUCCAAUCACCGUUUUGAUAUACCAUCAUUUCAGUGAAGACCUGUUAAGGUUGAGCUUCACCUAGAGCAAGCAGCUACACUCCUUUACAACUGAACAAUGGACUAUGCCUUGAAUUGAUAGUUUGGCGUAAAGAAGUUUCACCACAAGUCUUACUAGUACUAGGCUGCCGAAGGCUGACCCCUCGGGUGGAGCAUAUUAGUCACACUCCUGACCUAUUCAUGAGUUUACUGGAGAUCACCCCAAUCUCAUAGAGUGUGACCAGUAGUUGGUUUCAUACAGGUGUGUUCCUCCAAAGAUCGCUCUGCAGGAUAUCAUUUUGCUUGCACAUAAGCUUUAGAACACAUUAAGACGUUAGUCAUCCUACUAUACAGUAUCGGAGAGUAUUGCAUCUUCAACGGAGUGGGUUAGUAAAGUUACUCUCCUCGGUUCACCACUUGCUUGUUUUCCCAGGUCCUACUUCACGGGAUCUUCGAUCACAUAGGUUGGGUUACUGCCAUGGCAACUCAUAUGGAUCUCAUACCCAUCUCCCUUGAUGCACUAUCUAUCACAACAUGUAAUAGCCCUUUAGUAAAGGGAUCUGCCAGAUUCUUAGCCGUUUGGAUGUAAUCCAACGCUAUCACUCCGGAGUUUCUUAAACGUGCGACAGACCUCAAUGUCAUUGUUAUAUGUUUGUUGGACUUCAUGUUGUCCUUUGAACUAUUCACUUUGACAAUAACUGUCUAAUUAUCACAGUUCAUAAGGAUAGCCGGAACCGGCUUCUCAACCACACGAAAGUCCAUCAACAGAUCUUGAAGAAAUUCUGCUUCGAUACCAGAUGUGUCUAAUGCUGUUAAUUCUGCUUCCAUUGUCGAUUUUGGUAAGAUCGUUUGCUUGCAACGCUUCCACGAAACAGCACCACCUCCAAGAGUAAACAUAUACCCAGUAGUGGCCUUCAUCUCAUCAGCAUCAGAGAUCCAAUUCGCAUCACUAUACCCUUCAAGUGUCGACGGGCAUCCUGUAUAGUGAAGUCCGUGGUUGAUAGUACCUUUUAGAUAGCGCAUAAUUCAUUCAACAACAUGCCAAUGAACAUCACCCGGAUUGGCAACAAACCGGCUCAGUUUGCUCAUAGCAAACGCGAUGUCAGACCUCGUUGCGCUAGCUAGAUAUAUAAGUGAACCAAAAAUUUGAGAGAAUCUCAAUUAAUCUAUAUACAUGCGUGUGAACUUUCGAAUCAACGCACUAGGAUCAUAUGGUGUUGGAGAAAUUUUGCAGUCUGAAUAUCCAAAAUGACUCAAAAUCUUCUCAACAUAGUGGGAUUGCGGAAGUGUAGUCCCACCCUCAUCAUCUCUGCACAGCUUGAUGUUCAAGAUAACAUCAUCCAUUCCAAGGUCCUUCAUCACAAAGUUCUAAGACAGAAAAGAUUAACCUCCUCAAUCACUUUGAGGUUGCUUCCAAAUAUCAGUAGGUCAUCAACAUACAAGCACAAUAUAACUCCUUCCCCUCACCAUGACGUUAGUAUACACAUUUAUCAGCUUAAUUAACAACGAAACCAACAUAUGUCAAAGUUGUAUUAAACUUCUCAUGCCAUUGCUUAGGUGCUUGUCUCAUGCCAUAUAAAUAUUUCAACAACUUACACACUUUUCCUUCCUCUGCACAAUCGCACAUCAAGAGAGUUCUACAAAGAUUGGAUGAAAAUCACAAGUUUCUUCUCAUCCUCUUCCUCUGCACAAUCUGGCACUCCUAUCAUUGCCGCCUGCAAGAAAAAAAUGAUGGCAAGGCUCAGAAAGCAAACCAAAGAAACUAACAUGAUAGAGCAUCAAAUACUAAUGUAUAGGUUAGGCUGUGGACAACGAGCCACAUAUAAUAAUAAAAGGGCAGCACAUAAUAACCCAUUAUAGGUUCGCGCACAUGUACCACAAAACAUUUUCUUAUAUUAUUUAUCUCAAGACUUUCAUGUAGAUGUUAGACAUGCUUGAAAAGAAACCUAGCUUAAAGAGAAAAAUAAAUCUACAAUCUUAGGAUAAUCAUGACAAUCUUGGUAUAACAAGAAUCUGCCCACGAGCAACAGAUCAGGCUACAUAUAGAUAAAAGAAUUAACGAUUGUAAUUUUAGCUCAUAACCAGUUCUAAAAAUUCUAGUUAAGCACUUGCUGCUAACAAUGGAUGAAUUGUGAAUAAUCUAUAGUAAGUUUGCCCAAUUAAUUUCUUCUGGAGAUACGUUUAGUUGAAAGUAGAUAAGUCCUUUUGGAGCAUUACAUUGUUUCUUUAGUUUACUUAGCUUUUGUUUUUUAGAGACCACAAAGUGCAGCAUCGAUCAAACCAGGGUCUAGUUCCAGCCUUUCAAUACAAAAUGCUACUCGACAAUGUAAAGAUGCAAGUGCACAUGAAAAGAUAUCAUUUAUUAACAUGAAACUACCAAAAGGAGUUGAUGUCAUAUUUGAUAUGACACUGAAAUUCAUUACUAUGCUAGAAAUAUAUAUAUGUAAGGUCCACUAGGCAUGAUAUAUUUGGCUUUUAGAAUCAACAGCUUCACAAAGUCAGUGUUGUGCCACAAAAUACAGGUCGACCCAACUGCUAAGCAACCAACCACUCUACUGCUGAAACCACUGUCUGCCGGCAGACGCUUCUACCGGACACCUACUGAUCCAACUAUCACAUACUAAAUUUUCACCUUGCCCCGAUACCAACCCAGCAACCCGAGCAGUCACCUAGAUAAUGAAACCCAUGCGUACAUAUUGAUUUUAGUAGCAACAUGAGGAGGAAGGGGGUGCUUACAAUGAUAACUUGAAGAUGUUGGUUUGGUUGGGUGAGAGCAAGAAACCCGUGGCAGUCCCGCUCGUGGUUCUUCCGUCGAGGGCAAGCAAGCUCAAGGCGACGGUAGCAGUAGUCGGGACUCCAUCUCGCCACCCCAUGUCCAAAGGCGCCGUGCUGCAAGAUGAGGUAGACAAAGCCGGUGACGGGACGUCUUCCUCUCCGACGACGCAAGCAACGACGAUCGCUCGUCUCAGAUGCACGGAGGAAGGAGGGGGAUCACCUGGUGGCAGUGAAGGAUAUGAGUGGCGAUACAACGAUGGAAGAGGAUAGCGGUGGUGGGAGUCGAUUGGAUCUGAGAGACAACAAGGAGAGUGGCACAUGUACUCGGUGUAGCGGGGGCACGCAGGGAUGGAUGCCAAAAAUGAAUCGGCAGGGUGUGAUCUCCUCUAGCACGAGCUCUGGAGGAUAGCGUUGAGAGGAGGCGCUGGUGUUAUAUCCACCGUCGCCAUGGUCGUCCACGCCCACACCAUGGCCUCCUGCACUAAACGGGAGAAGAGAGUGUGGCAGCCAAAUCCGCCGACGCCAAUCUCGGGGCCUGCCGCAGCGAAUAGGGCAUAUGGGAUCGUGGCUGGGAGGUUGAUGGGAGAGGUGGAGAAGGGAGUGCAGGGGCCUGCUGCGUCGAACGGGAGCACAAGGGAUCUGGUGAGGGAAGGAAGGCUGGCGGCGGGAGAGGUGGGAGGAGAGUCGAGGGGGACAAGUCUGGACUCUGGAGAUAGGGUUAGGUUUCUGGGGAAGGGACUUUAUAUCCUAUUCCCUUUUUUUAGUGAAUUAUAUCCUAUUCACUUAAUGGGUCUACUCAAGUCCGUAUAGAUAUUGGAUUUAGGAAAUAUGGACCCAUAUUAUUGUCUUUAAUUGUAUUUUUUGAUUACCUAAAAAGAGGUGGUUUAAUCGUAUAUCCACAUCAUUGUACUUAUCGAUGGGAUGUGGUUUCGUUGUAUUUUUCAGGCACACAUACUGUAAGUUUAGGUGUAUUUUGUGAUGAACAUGCGGUGCAAAAGAGCACUUGUGCAGCCAAUCGGCAAGGCGUGUCACCCUUGUAUCACUGUAGGGACAUACAUUUAACGAGGCAAACAUAUUUGACUUUGAAAAUAAGAAAAGAAGAUAUGUAUCUCAAAAGGGCUCCCACCUCUCUACUUCUAUACAAAUUGCAUGUGGGUUGUCAUUGGAAAAAAAAAAAUUCAACAUACUAUGUUGAAAACUUUUUAUAUCUCCAUACUUCUUACCUGAACUUUUACAAUAAUUGUGUUAGAAUGAGGCAUGAGAUCAUGUUUAAGUUUUUAUUGUCUCAAACACCAAGUUAAGGUACCCUAUACCACCUUUCAUUUUUUAAUCUAAAUAGGGUCUACAAAUAAUGAGAUUAGCAUGUGCCCAUAUAUUUCAUUUUGGUAAUUAUAUUGUAUUUUCCAAAAUAUUUAGGAUAUGAAAAUGAAUAAUUAUAAUUUAUUGAUAUUUAUCUAAUAUCAUUUACUUCAUCCAUAUACGUAUAAAACAAAUUUUCGCUGUGUAUACAUGACACAUAGGCAAAAUUGAUGAGGUGUCGUCCAGUCACCUCCACGCAUAUGUUUACGAUCUUAUAUUUGGUCAUGGUAGCAUUGAAAUAUGAUCAUAAAUAAUACUACACAUCUUAAUGACCAUUUUUUGCAAUAGUAUCAUGACCUAAUGGACGCAAAAGGUCGUAACGUUGUGAGCUUUGGACCCUCUUAGACUUGCCAUACUAAUUUUAGAAUUUUGGUCAUGGAUCAAUGAUCAAUUAAACCACCGUCAUUAUUUUUGUCAUAAUUGAGCGUUUUUCCUGUAGUGAUAGCCGUGAGCCAUAAGGUGGUUUUUGUCUGCCAACGCUUGAAAUAAGUAUCGGUAAACUUAUCCGGUUUUACUGUAGCAGCAAAACCACUACUCGAAAAAUUUCUACACACAUUAGGUUAUUGGAUUGUUGAGUAAAUAGGAAAUUUUUUGAAUAGAUUAAUCCACGAAAUAAUCACUAACAUGGCACUGCCUAGAUUCAUGACAUACUAAUUACGGAGCAGACUAGCAAAUACUAAUGCAUAUAGUAGAAACAUCUACGCAUAUAGCUAGUACUACUAGAACUAAAAUAAACAGGAGCGGGAUAAACGAGUUAUAUCCUUCGAUCAGCCAGUUGGUCAUAGCAGCAGCAGUGACAGCGGCAACAUCCUCUGCCUUCUUCUUCUCGGCUUCGGCCUUCUCGCGAACGAGACGGUCGGCUUCGGUUGGCGAAGACAUGGCGAUGACGAGGGCGACACAAACGUAGAUGAAGCAGACAGACGGAGGCGAGCAGUCGCGUGAUCGCUCCCCAAAAAACAAAUCGCCCCUCUCCCGUACAUGAUCCGGAGAGGCGGGGUUUCGGAGGCUUGCUCUCCCGUCGAUCGUGUACGGGAUGAAUGAGACGGAGUCGCCGGUGGUAGGGUUGGCGGCACCGUAAAAAUAAACGCGUAGGUAUGAGCUCAGCUCGGCUCAUUUCCACAACCAGUGGCGAGGCGGACGACGGAGGAUGAGUAUGCGAGGGCCUCUUCUCUUCUCAUGCUCCAAUAUCAUGUAGAAGACAGACACUUAUAAAGGGGUUCAACUUCCUCUCCACUAGCAAGGUGAGACUAAGCUUUUUACCAUCCUUUGUCAUGUCAUCGUCUACAUGGACCGUUGGAGAUUUCUGAAAUUGCCUCAUGGGCCUUAGGCCCAUCACAGAUUUGAACACAUAUUGUUUUCUCCUUCUAUCUUUUUUGGUCAUUAUAUGCAAUAGAACAUGUGAGAGAUAGGACAAACAUGCAAGACGACUUGGGAGGCGACAAUGAAGAUGCCUUUUGGGGCUUGGGUGGUGUACUGAAUUUUUUAUUUUAAAGCUAGACACAGAAGUUGUUUAUAAUGCAUCCUUUAUCACAUCAAACGCGGAUACAACCUCCUCCUGUCGCAGAGUGAAAUCAACGAGGUGCCCACUAUAAAUCAUAUUAGUACAUUUGUGCCCUAAAAUAAACCAUUUUUUGUAAUGUUACAGGAACCUCUUUUAAAAACAAUAUAUGAACAUUCUUUGAAGACCACGAGAAUACUUUUUUUAAUUCACUGAACAAUAUAUGAACAUUCUUUGAAGACCACGAGAAUGUUUUUUUUUGAAAAUCACUGAGAAUUGAAGAGAGCGCUAAACGAUUCAUAUUUGGCCGAGCCACUAUAGGCUGUCCUCCCGCCGCGCUAAAGUCGAGAUAAAGACACGCUCUUUCAUAUUGUCUUUCACUACGAGAAAAUAUUGACAUAGAUUUUCAGAUAUAUCAUAUAUCUGUCUCAACAAGCACACAUAGCACUACCUCGUUCCUCAUGGGCAGGCCCAUUAAGGCCUUGUUCGAUUAAUCCUCCUCCGAAGGGGAUUGAAGAGGAUUGAAGUAAAAUUUAACUUGUUAGGGAUUUAAUCUACUCAAUCCCUGUCAAAUCCCUUUCAUUUCCCUGUCAACCGAACAAGGCCUAAGCUGUUUAUUUUAAGUUUCCUUGUUAGCUCCCACAUGGAUUGGACUAGUCAUUGGUAUCAUUUCAUUUCUCUUCUGGUGAUUGUUCGUUCCUAUGUGAACAGAACAACAUGUUUUUUAUUUUAAUUUUGAUUUUCCAUUUUAGUUUUCCUUUCAUAUAUAUAUAUUCCCUCCAUCCCAAAAUAACUGCCUUAACUUUAUACUAACUUUAAUAUAAAGUUAUAUUAAGCUUAAGACAUUUAUUUUGAGACGGAAGGAGUAAUUGGUUUUAUUCUAUAUUUUUCAAAAAGAGUGAUAAACCCAAAAUGAUAUUAAAAAGUUCACAUUAUUUUUAGACAGAGCAUUAACACUUUUAUAACUACAUGUAUAAUUUUUUCACGAGUGAACAUCUUUUUAUAUUUUUUUUCAUCAUGGGUUAAAAAGCAAUUCACCGUCCAUUUAUUAUUGGUCAUCAUGCAUAUAUAGAAUCAUCAUGUAGAUUUUACUUGUCGCUCAGCACUCACUAGGCGUCAGUGCUAUAUCUCACCUAUUGCAAGAUAGAACACGGUCCUCAAAUACUUCCUUCUUUCCUGACGUGUUUCUUCUUUUGUGCGCUAGAUUUUUUCUUGUUUUGGUAUAUAAAUUUUGCUUCUGUCCUAGCUCGCCCACGUGAAAUAUUCUAAUCCUAUUUUCGGUAUUUUCUGUUUUGUGAUUGGCAUCGAUUACAUAUUUAUAUGUUAAUCAUUUAUCCUGCUACAUGUUAAAACUAGCAAAAUGCACAUUGACCUUUUUUGAAUAUAUUUUUUCUUCAAAAAUGCAGUGAUAAUUUUUUAACAUGCAAUAUAUUUUAAAUGGCGUGGACAUAUUUUUUAGUAUCGCCAUUUCUCUGGAAUUGGCCCAUUUUUUUACAUUUCAUAAAUAAUUCGUUGAAUGCAUAGAUUUCUAUGUCAUGAUACUUAUUUUUUAAGGCAUAGAUUUCAAGAUAAUUUGUUGAAAGGUAUGAAAAUUCUUUACAUAUUACAUGAUAAAUGCUGUAAAUUUUCAAUGAUAUAAUUUCAGUUAUGAACAUAUGUUGUAAACUUUUGAACUUUGUUUAGAGACAUGAACAUUUUUUUAGCGACAUGAUCAUUUUUUGAAAUAAUGAAUACACAUAUUUAAACAUUUUUAAUGUGUAGUGAACAAGUUUUUACUGCUAAAUAAUUUUCUUUUUAUAAAGAGGUAAUAAAUAAUGAUCGUUUAAAACAAAAGUAAAAACAACAUAGAAAGGUAACAAGGUUGAAAUAUACAUGUAAGAGAAUAAAACAUAGAAUGUAACAACUAAUGGGCCGGCCUAUUAAACAACUUCGAAGCGACGCGUCAUUCAGCGAAAUCACUAAUUGAGGGGUACACCUUUUAAAGGCUAGUUCCAUCUUUCCAUAUUGCCACAAGUGACCCGUCACAUGUGUGUCACUUGUUGCAACCUAUGAGUUUCUAUUUUUUUGUAGAUCCUUUUAUUGAAAAUGUUUUAUAUCCAAAUCCAUGCAUCCAAAUCUCAAACCGUUUUCACGUUGGAUUCCUCACGUCGAGAUCUUCAAAAUUAUAUCCGUGUAGAUAGGUUUUCACAAACUUUUUUCAUGAAAAAUGCGAACAAAAUAACCAAACCGAAAGCACAUUUUUUUCCUUUUUCGAAAGAGGCAUGAUCGUACCCCUCGUGGAAGUAAAAAGAAGAAAAAAAAAAUUCUCCCCGUUUUCGAGCGGCAUGGUCAUGCCCCUCACGGAAGGAAAAAAGAAAGAAAGCGCAUUUUAUCCAUUUCCAAAAGGCACGCGGAAGAUUAAAACACAAAACAUAUUUUUUCCGUUUCUAAGAGGCAAGGUCAUGCCUCUCGUAGAUGCAAAUCCGUGCGUCUCGCAGAAGCAAAUACGUGCCCUCAUGGAAGAAAAAAUAAACAUGUAUUUUUUCGCUUCUAAGAAUUACGGGGUGCCUCUCACGGAAGCAAAAUCAUGCCAAUCGAGGAAGUAAAAAAUAUAUUUUUUGCUCAAUGAAAUCAAUUUUUCUUUCCAAAUGUUAAGAAAGAUCGACGAAAAACCAAAGAGCCAAAAUAACCAUGACAAAACCAAAUAAAAAGCCAAAAAUGCAUGCAAAAAAUGAAAUAAAAAUAAAAAAUUCGGAAGAAGCGUCUAAAGCAUGACACAUGGCAGGUGGUAAGAGAUUGCCAAAUGGCACGCUCUCAGCAUGACCCUUGAGAGGCUUCCGAAGGGGUGCUCCUCCACUAGUGGCACACUCUCAGCGUCAUUCAGUAUUGUAGUGAGCGGAUGUAUGCUUCGGGUGCACCGAGUGUAACAUCCGAGUCGCUAAAGGGGGUGAGCAAGAUGGGCCGGUCCAUGCAGGCGAGACCACAACCUGUUUUUCUGUUUUCUGUUUCUGUUUUCUAAACAUACGAUUUAUGUGUAUUUUAGGUCUUUGAAUCAUAUAGGGUCAUGGUAUUCACCAUACAGCAUGUAGAAUAUUUAUUCUUCACCCCUUCUGUUUUAACAUCACAACAUCAUAUUUUUAUGUUUGGUAAUAUUUUGUGUUAUGUCAGAAGUCAAACGCGAACGUAAGAAAAUAUAUAUCGGCUAUGACAAAUAUUUUAUGUUAAGUAAAAUAAUGAAAUUAAUUUAGUACACAACAUACAUAAAAAUGUAUAUUUUUUGUAGCCUUUAGGCUUACCUUAUUUUCUCGUGCCAAAUUUACCAUAUUGAAACAAUAUGGACAUAACAAUUUAUGUACCAAACAUAAUUUUAUAGCGAAACGAUCUUAAGAAUAACUCGAGUGCAAAAUGACAUACUCUGCACCCUGGGUGUUGAGUGGGAGAGGAUUUGGGGCAUGCAGGUGCGGGGCACCGAGUCUCUCGCGCGUGCUUUUUUUGGCUUUUUGAUUUCCAGACUUUCAUUUCUUUUGAAUAAAAAUUCUAAAUUAAGUUAUUUUUUCAUAUUCGUGUUUUUGCUCACGAGGGCUUCCGAAUAAGAUCCAUUUUUGAUGAUUUUUUUUGUGAAGUUCCAACUCUUGAAGCUUACUAUGAGAGCCACCGAUUAUAAAUCACGAUUUCAGUGCCGACGACCGACAAAAAAUUGCUUACACUUUCAGCUCUGAAACUUGAUACACACGAUCGAGAAAAUCAGAAUUUUUAGAUGCAAAAUCGUAAGUUUGAACAAUUAAAACAUAAAAUUUACUCUGCCGUCGUGCGGGGUGUAACUACUUCAUGAAUUGCGAGACAAUCUAGCGGCGAGGCAAGGCUUGACAGGUGCGCGCUCCUGAGAUUUUCUAGGCAAAGAUAGCAUUUUUAUGUAUAUUUAUGUAAAAGUACUUUAUAGUUGAGAUUAUCAUGACAAGUAAAAAUGACUUAUUCUGCAUCGUGGAUGAUAUCUUAGAACCACUUAGUCGACUUAACAUGCUAAAUGUGAAAAGAUGACGAUAGAGGUGAGACUGUGACAAGUUGGUGCUAAUCUAUUAGUAUAACAGGUCUUAUAUGGCACAAUCAAGAUCCUGACAACCCCGCACUCAUUAACCUAUCUUGUUUUGGCAUAAUAACCGCAACGAAAGCUCCAACAAAAGCAAGGAUUGAAAGGCGUCAAUCCAAUCGUGUGACCUUCAAAUACUUGGUGUAUCUUAAUGCAUUGCACCAGCGACGUCGUUUUUCUAGCUGGACCAAAGCUCUUUUAUGCAUGAAUGAUUGCUCACCCCACGUACUUUACGUCGUUGCAUGCACCACCCCUGAGGAAACUGAAGCAGCCACGUGGCAUACCUGGUGGGCAAUCUCUUCUUUUUGGCAUACUUGGUGGGCAAUCAAAGCUUUAUGAUUGAUAGUAAAAAAGAUGAACGUACGCCUGUAUGUAUAUACGUCAUGUACGUGGUGGCUCCUAAGCCUCAAAUGUCGCAAAGAGAAAAGUCACACGUGUUUAUCAUGUACACACAAAGCUCUUUUUAUAUUUUUUUUGGCAAAAUGAUGUACACACAAAGCUCUUUUUUUUUUUAUCUUUGGCAACAUCAUGUACACACAAAGCUCUCUUUUAUGCUUGGCAAAAUCAUGUAGACGGAGGUCAGGCUAUGUGUGCCUAACUAGUUACCAUUGAGUGUACAUUGGACCAGGCAUAGAUAGUAAUGGAAGUAAUGGUAUACACGUCAUCCAUUUGGAUACGAGCUAAGACGGGAGAAACCCUUUUGAUCCAAUCCGACGACAGCAUGCAGCUAGUGCGGGAAACGAUAGCAAUUUAAAAAGUAAGCGAGUACACCGAUCAUGCACAAAGCACCCUCCGAUGGAAAUGAGACGGGAUCCAACUUGCGGGGAGGCGAAUGGGACAGCUCGAUCGUAGGAUAUGAUAGGAUAUGAUAUUGUUUCUCUAAUAAGAAUUCGCGUAAUUGGGUUGCUAAACCCCCCUGGCUCUGUCGUUUGUAAUCUCGUGUCGACGAUGUAACCUUUUGCUUGACCAUCAAUAAAGCUUGAUUGACGUGGUGGCCUUCACUAAAAGAAAAGCAUGAUCUACCUUCACCUUAUUUUACAUCUGAUGGAUGUGUGCCCUUGGAUGCCCACCCAACGGCUAGAGGUUAAAGACUGAGGAUUUUUAUUGCCAUUGAAGAAAAUGAAAAAUGAGUCUCCAUGUGCCAGCAGCAAGUCCUAAAAGAAUGACGCAGAUUUAGCUUGCUAGGUAAGUUUCAGAAAAUGACAAAUAUAUAUUUAGUCCAGCAAAAAUAGAAUGCGACAAACCAUGAAGAUUUGAUACAAAAAUAAAUCAUAAUUAAGCUUCAUGAUGAUUAAAAAUACCGCGAGGUGAGGCUAAUUUAGAUGGUUAGGCCCCAUGUGGUGGAACCAAUCCAUCCAGAUUCAAAUCCUACAAUUAACACUUGCGCUCGCAUAUUUUCUGAAUUGACUUCGGACUUUGCGGUGCUAUACAUUCAGUGGUAUGGCGUGCCGUUAACUACACGGUGCCUAUGAAGACUUCAUCAAUAUCAAGAUCUACCGGUUCCUUCUCUCGAAAGUGCUCCCAGGAUAGAGUUUGUGAGCGUUUGCAUCUGUACCGUGUUUCUCAGAAAAUUAAUAAAAUUUAAUGGAUCUCAAGGUCUCCAUUGAUAUGAGCUUCGCCAUGUACAACCAAAGAAGCGCAGCACCUCCCCUCCCGUGGUUGUGGAAGGGGAGCACCAGGUUAGCCGAAUCGAGAAGCAACGGUGGCACCAACGAGGAAGCGAGUGAACAAAUCGGGCAAAUUGCCUGACAUAGUGGCUGGAUCUGAGCUCGCCUGGUGGAGCUCCCAACUGUAGUCACGAACCGUGUUUUGGUUCAGUGAUGUCUCAAAAACACCGGAGUAAACCUGAAAAAAUUAGGGUGUUAACUAAACCAGAGACGGGAAACCAAUCUAUGGUGGAAUAGUUAGAAGGAUAGAUGUAUCCCUAACCCAUUAGAGUUCAAUAUCUAGCCUUGAUACUGGUGCUUGCAUUUUUCUUCAUUUAUUUCAAGCCAUUUGACGAUGCUUGUUCAGUGAUAGAAGACGUUUUCGUCGACUACGAAGACGUCAUUAACGACUUUCUAUCUUAAAAUGAUGUAUCUGCUCAGUAUCUUGAAGAUGCACAUAGAGAUAGGAUACACAUGCAUACAUUAAUUUAGGUAAAUGUAUGUACGUAUGUAUAAGCGUAUGUACUGUGUUAAGAAAUAAGCUAAACCACAGACAUUUGCAAUCACAGAGAAAUCAAGAAAUAAAAGGUAAUUUGUGUCACAGGUUUGCUAAUUGAGGGGAAAAUAAUAAUUUUUCCUAAAUGAGGUAAAAAUAUGUCAGAAACAUGAAACAAGGAGAUUAAAAAAAUGAAUUCACUCAUUUUAUAUAUAUAUAAAAUUUCGACUGAUGAAUUCAUUAAACAUCUUUGCGAACAUUGAUGGGCUGGAUCGUGGUCUAUAAACACACAGAAUAAGUGUGCCGCCAAUCCUAGGACCCAGGCCGAAUCAUACGGAAUCAUCAUCAUCGUACUAGUUUGUUUUACAUACAUACAGUAGGUACAGGCACCUGCAGACCGUGGUGCGAAUAUUAUUUUUCUUGGAAAAGAAAAACGUCUUAUACGAAUAUUAAAGCUUGCACGACUCAUGCAUGAGCCAUGCAUGCCUGCAUGCGUGCGUGCGUGCGUGCGUGAAUCUAGACCACCUCGACAGAACGGGCAAAGCCCGCCCCCGGGGCCGCCGCCUCAGUAGCGCAUCUCCUGGGGACGUCGCCGGCCAUCUCGGUGACCGGGCGCACCUCGGCGCAUGAGCUCUUGUCGGCCUUGCCGACGUUGAUCACGACGACGUGGUCCUCUGCGGGCACCUUCCAUGCCUCUUUCCCCUCCUUGGCAUCGGUUGCCACCACCGGCGUCGCGUUCAUGUAGAACAUGUAGAGGACCAUCUGGAUCAUCCCGAAGGUGAAGCCAAGGAUGUUUGGGAGCUGGAAACACAAAUUUAAUCAUCGAUCACUGCUCAUGCUUGAGAAUUGUAUGCGUAUCCAUCUGCCAUUAGAAGGAUCGUUUGUGUAGUUACCGCGACGUAUUUGUCCUUGAUGAGCAGGCCGUAGAGGAACCAGACGAUGGCGCUGAGGGUGAGCGUGAGGGAGAGGGAGAAGGGCAUGUACUCCACACUCUUGGUCUUGAUCACACGACCCUUUGGGAAGGACAGAACACAUACAAGAGGUUGAGGAAUGAGCAACAAUAUAUACAGCAAAGUUUAUCGGUCGAGGGCUCACGAUGAUGCUGAGAGGCGCGACGAAGACGCACACGGAGAAGCCGACGCAGAUCCAGCCGAGUGAGACGACGCGUGUCUCGCCGUGGAAGGCGAAGAGGGUGAGGACGAAAAUGAGCCCGAAGCCGGCGAUGUUGAGGAGGAGGACGAUCUUGGCUGUGAAAAUCUUGGCCUUCCUGGGGGCGUAGACGAGGUACAUGAUGAUGUAGACGGUCUCGAUGACGCAGCCGGCAGCGUUGAUGGUGAUGAGGAGGCCCUCGCCGGUCUUGACCAGCGCGUAGAAGAUCCACAGCAUCGCGCUGAAUAGGGCCACGACAUAGGGCACCGACUGGAACCCCUCC
rnacentral:lncRNA from 1 species